CCAUAUGGCAUCUUAGCGCCGUAAAUGUUAACAUUUUCCUUAGUGUAAUCAUUGUUUUAGCUUCAAUUAAUCUGCAGAUGUUCAGUUUAGACAUCUCAAACACAAAAGCUUCAGCUUCUGACAGGCCACCACUUCCUAGUCUCUGCUCAUCUCCUUCCCAUUUAACUAUUGUCAUCAACCUUCGAUUUUUUUACAUCGUUGAUGGUAAAAGAAUCAUAAUUGUACUACAUUUGUUGAGCAUGGAUGCUACCAUUUAAUUUCCAUAUUCAAGCUUUUCUUGUACUUACAAAUGAUAAUGUGAGCUCUGGAUUUUCUUCUUUUAAAUUUGUGAUUCUGAGGCAGAUGCUUGGAGAAGAGAGAAGUCAAACCAUAUUCAAAGUCAUUGCAGUGCAGAGUAUGGUUUUGUUCCACCAAGUUCAGGUCAGUUGAGUGGAAUCUUAUUAAUACUUCAAGGACGCAUGAUCAAAUUGGCUGAUUUUCCAAACUUGAUGAGUGCCUCUAACCAUGAACGAACUAUUUUUUUUACCAGCUUUGUGUUAAGAAAUUGUGAUCGUGUUGGAUCUACUCAUACCACCUCCCUCCAUGAUGAAUUUUAACUACUCAAUACUUGGAGGAUGGCUACUCAACUGAAUUCUAUUUAUUGGAGCACGAUUUGAGCUUUUCUUCCUUACUCAGGUAUAGUGCUAUAAAAUUUUCAGUCUGAAGAGUAUUUAUAACCCCCUACGAAUUUUAAUGUCAGAUUCAGCUGAUUGGCAUGUGACCGUAUUUUUUUUCAGAUGGUAGCAUUUUGAAUCUUUGGAACAAUUGCAGGAGGAAGCUUUGCCAAAGCCUCCCUAUGCAAUACAUGGGCCUUUGGUUGCAAGUGAGAUUUGAGGAUUCUAUUUUCUCUUGGAAGACUUCAACUCAUUUUUUUUGAGUUUUGAGCUUUGCGCUUUUACUUCCAAGCAUAUGCAAAGAAGAAAGAAAGCAACAACAAAGGUCCAGUUAUAGAAGUUUUAUACGGAGUGAGACUCCCAUGAAAAAUAUUGUAGCUAUUGGUUUGUCAACCUUGAAGGAUAUAGUUUUGUUUCCCAUUGGAUCUCUGACGAAUGUGUUUGUUGAAUCAUACAUUUUGAACUUACUAUUGAUUUUGUGUAUAUACAUAAAUAUAAAUGAUGUUUUCUUCUUCCAAAUACUGCACAUGACAAGUCAGAACAAGAAACAUUUUAGAAAAAGUAGGAAACUGACAUUAGCAUUAAUCAUGAGGCCUCUAAUGGUGACCAAGAAAAUGGCAAUUGCAAAUGACUCACCAUCAAAAUGGCAAAAGAAUUAGCAACUACUAUGUCCCCAUCCACUAGUGCCGGCACAAAAUUGAGAGGAUUCAGCUUUGAAAACUCUAAAAUUCGAAAAUUGUAAAAAUAUUAAGAAGCUACUUGAAAAACAACAGAAUGAUCAAGGUAAGUCCAGUACUCAUAAAUUUUGCAUAUGUUUAAAGACAAAUUGGAAAGCUGAGAAUAUAACGGAAUUAAGCAAUGAAUAAGAACCCCCAAAUAUAUUCCUUUCACAGAAAAAAUCAGUGGAACGGGAUGAUCCCAACAAAACUAAGAAUUAUAUUAAAUCCAUGUUUAUCUCCUAGAAAUACAGGGAAAAAAAACAAUAAAAAGAAAUCAGAAGUUCUGAUGAUGCGUAUCAAGAAGAGUCUAACUGCCUUGUACCAAGUUCACUGCCUUGUACUCGUUUUUCAGCCCUGUUCAAAGUUGAAGCACAAAAGACCCAGAUAGAAUAACCAAAAAUUGAUUUAAUGAAAAGAAAAAGAAAAUUAGGGUUUGGAGUAAAGAAGGAAAGAAGGAAAAAGAAUGGAACGUUUCAAGUUGAGGGCUAUUCGAACACGACAGGAGCAGGAACUCCGCCAAUAUGAAUACAGCUUCAGCUGAGUAUCCUCCUAUCCCCAUAUCCCCCAUAGUCCCCAUACAACAUAAACAUAUCAGAAUUCAGAAAUAUAUAAAAAGAAUUAUGAUGGAGAAGACCCACUCACCAUAGUUGCAGUUUGAUGGAAAAACACUGAACACUGCCCACUGCCCACUGCCCACUGCCAUCUCCUUUACCUCCCCAAACAAUAUUAAUAUGGAGAAUUAUAAUUUAGGUUACAAAUAAUAAUUUUUCUAUAUUUUAAUAUUUUUUUUAAAGAUGAUGAGAUAACAUCCGUAAAGACGUUAUAUUUUUAUGUUUUUAAAAGGUAGAAUUCAUCUUUUUAGAAUAUUUUUUUAAUUAAAUAACCCUUUUAAAAUAUCAAAUAAUUUGGUAUACAUUUUCUCCUACAAUUUAUAAAUUUACUUAAUAUAAAAAUAUUUUACUACUAAGACUAUAAAAAUUUUCAAAAUUUUCUUUUCUUUAUAUUCUUCUUAUUUUCCAUAAUUAUUUUUCUUUCAUUAUUAUUAUUCACUUUAUUAUUUUUACAAAUAAAAAAAAUGAAAGGAUAAAUAAUAAUUAAAAAAAUAAAAUAAAAUAAUAACAUUUUUAUCUUUUUUUCUCAUUUAUUGAUUUAUAGUUUUUUUUUCUAAUAUUUUAUCUCAAUUACAACACAUUUUAUAAAGCAUAUUCUCCUAAAUUAAUAAGGAAGAAGAUGACAAAAAUGCAAGAAAAAAAAAAAAAAAAUAUUUCUUCGCAUCUUCCUAUGUCAUCAACUUCCAUGCUCAUUUUAGUUUUAUUGCCACGUGGGGCCCUAAGUGGUAAGAGUAGACACAUUGAUUUAUUAUUAUAAGGGAAAGUUAGGUUUUAGACUAUCAAUAUCAAAAUAAUAACAUAUUCAAAACCUAUGUUGCUAAUUUCAAGUUUAAAAUGCUAAUCUCAAAAAUAUUUUAUAUUUCAUGCACUUUGAAUUGAGCUAUUUUUUAAUACUCAACAUACCUUCUCUUUCUGUCAAGUCAACCUCCACAAGUUUUAAAAAAACAAAAGACCAAAAAUAAAAAACAACUUUAUAGCAAAAUCUUUGUUCUUCGUUGUUUUAUUUCUGCGUAAACCCUCAAAUCACUUUUCCUUCUUUUGCAUUUUGGUGUAUACAAGAGUUUACAUCUUACGCAAAUAACUUCCAAUCUAGCCUCUUUUAAAAUUUUUGGUUCCUUUUAUUUUAUAUAGUUUAAAUUGAUGUUGAAAACCCUUUAUAAAAAAUAAUUAAACAUAUCUUAAAUUUAUUCUUAAAAAUAACUACAAACCAAUUUUCAAAAUUCUUUUUUUUUUCCUUUAUCAAAAGCUUACCUGUUUCAAAAUCGCAUUAAUUUUGUCCUAGCCAAAUUUUUAUUUAUUUAUUUUCCUGUUGUAAACUAUCAUUUUGGUGGCUGCAGGGACUGUCUCCUAGUUCUGCCACUUGAUCUCUCCGGCCAAACUGCUGUUAAUUAAUCAGCAUGUCUCCGUCCUCUUUGUGGAACUUUUUCUUUUCUACUGUGGAACUUUUUCUUUUCUACCCUAAACUAAAAUUGCACUACCUCUAAAUUAUUAUUAUUAUUAUUAUUAUUAUUAUUAUUAUUAUUAUUAUUAUUAUUAUUAUUGUUGUUGUUGUUGUUGUUGUUGUUGUUGUUGUUGUUGUUGUUGUUGUUGUUGUUGUUUAAUAUGAUUGGAUUUUGGAUUUUUUGAAUAAUUUAUUUGAGUAGAGGCUCAAAACGGAUUUUCCACAAGGUGGGUUCAGCUGUUGGUUUGGGUGUGGUCACUGCAACAGAAUGGGUGUGAGCUCCUCCCCAAAACCCCCCUCACAUGACAUCUCUCUUUCAGCUGUUGGUUUGGGUGUGGUCACUGCAACAGAAUGGGUGUGAGCUCCUCCCCAAAACCCCCCUCACAUGACAUCUCUCUUUCCUCCUUUUUCCCUCUAUUCCCAAAACCCAAUGCCCGCCUUUCUCAGAGGGCUUUUUUUAACUUCUUCGGUUAGUUUUUUUUUUAAAAAGAAAAAUCUUAAAAAUUAUAAUUUUAAAAUUAUUAAUAAACUUAUGAUACUUUUUACCACGUUGAAAUAUAUGUUUAAUAAAAAACAUUUUUUAUAUUUUUCAUAUCAAUGAUAUGUGUUAAAAAAAAUUGAAUUUAGACUAAAAGUAUCUCUUCAAGAGACCUUCCAUAAUUUCAUAAAACUGAAUUUAUGUUACAAGCAUUUCUUCAAGAGACAUUUUUUUUAUAAUUUUUUUUAUUAUUCAUACAUGUUAAGCAAAUUGAAUUUAUAUUAAAGAUGUCUCUUUAAGAGACACCUUUAAUGUAAAUUUAUUUAUUUUUAUCGUGUGUUAUUGAUAUGAAAAUUGUUGAAGUAUUUCUUUAAGAGAUAUUUUUUAAUGUGAUGAAAAGUGUGAUAAAUUUAAAAAUAUUUUCCAAUGUACUGUUGAGAUAUUAUGAAUGUUUUCCUUAUAUCAUUCUUUCCUUAUAUCAUUUAGUGUUGAGAUAUUAGGAAUGUUUAGAUAUUAGGAAAGUUGAGAUAUUAUGAAUAUUGAGAUACUAGGAAUAUUGAGAUAUUAGGAUAUUAGUUGUUAUUUCCUUAUAUCAUUCUUUCCUUGUAUCAUUCUUUCCCAUUCUUAGAAUGGUGAUUACCCUCUAUAUAUACUCUGUACAUGAACGAAUGAAAGUAUGAAUGAAAAAACUACCAUUUAUCAAUUUGAAGAUGGUAUCAGAGCCAUGGAACUGAAAUCCUGGAUAUUUUGUUGCUAUGGUAGUCCGACAGCGAUCAACCAUCCUAAGACAAACCCUAAUAUUGAUAAGUCAACCUUCAAAUGCACUCACUUCAAUAAGACUGGUCCCACCAGUCUGGAUAUCCCACAAUUUCAAAGCAACGACUCUUGGUAUGACUAGGAAAACAAUAAGGAACCGAGGGUUUGAACCAUGGACCUUUAGAUCAUGUUUAGGCUAUCAACACUUUGUUAUUAAUUAUAAUAAUCGUGAUCAACGGAAGAAGGAUCCCAAAAAAACCUCGACUACAACUAUUGUCGAAAUAAAAAUAGAGGCUAAUGUUGCUGAUAAAGCCUUUGCAUUGGUAGUCGCUACUAAUCAUGGUGGUAAGUUUUUAAAUACUUUUACAUCUGUUAUUAAUAGUGCAUGGAUAAUUGAUUUUUGGUGCUACAGAUCAUAUGACUUUUGAUUCUAGACAGGUUUCACCCCUUAGACCUUCCUCACAAAAAAUUGUUUCCACAGCCAAUGGUAUCACAACCCCAAUCAUUGGGGAAGGAUCCUUAACUCUUACUGAUACUUUGAAUUUGGAUUCUGUUUUAGUUGUUCCAUCUUUAGAUUACAAUCUUUUGUCAGUUUCUCAAAUCACUACAGCCUUAUCUUGUAUUGUCAUUUUUUGGUCUGAAUUUUGUUUGAUUAAGGACAUCCAAACAAGACAGACGAUUGGUUGUGGUAUUAAACGAGGAAAACUCUAUUACUUGGACUUGCAAUCAAAGGAUUCAAAUAAGUUGCAACAAGCCUUGAUGGCAGAUGGAUUUGAGGGGGAGAAGAAAAAGUCUGAAAUUUGGUUGUGGCAUCGACGUCUGGGACAUGCUUCCUUUGGUUAUUUAAAAAAAUUGUUUCCUAGUUUGUUUGCAAAGAGUGAUAUUUCUGGUUUCCGUUGUGAUAUUUGUGAAUUGGCUAAAAGCCAUCGUGCUUCGUUUCCGUUAAUUUUGAAUAAAAGUCCGUUUCCUUUUAUGGUUAUACAUUCUGAUGUUUGGGGCCCAUCCAAAGUCCCAACUUUGAGUGGCUCACGUUGGUUUGUUACUUUUAUUGAUGAUUGUACCAGAAUGACAUGGUCAUGCUUGAUGAAGACCAAAGAUGAAGUGAACUUGUUGUUUCANNNNNNNNNNNNNNNNNNNNNNNNNNNNNNNNNNNNNNNNNNNNNNNNNNNNNNNNNNNNNNNNNNNNNNNNNNNNNNNNNNNNNNNNNNNNNNNNNNNNGAUCAUAUGACUUUGAUUCUAGACAGGUUUCACCCUUAGACCUUCCUCACAAAAAAUUGUUUCCACAGCCAAUGGUAACACAACCCCAGUCAUUGGGGAAGGAUCCUUAACUCUUAUUGAUACUUUGAAUUUGGAUUCUGUUUUAGUUGUUCCAUCUUUAGAUUACAAUCUUUUGUCAGUUUCUCAAAUCACUACAGCCUUAUCUUGUAUUGUCAUUUUUUGGCUUGAAUUUUGUGUGAUUAAGGACAUCCAAACAAGACAGACAAUUGGUUGUGGUAUUAAACGAGGAAAACUCUAUUACUUGGACUUGCAAUCAAAGGAUUCAAAUAAGUUGCAACAAGCCUUGAGGGCAGAUGGAUUUGAGGGGGAGAAGAAAAAGUCUAAAAUUUGGUUGUGGCAUCGACGUCUGGGACAUGCUUCCUUUGGUUAUUUAAAAAAAUUGUUUCCUAGUUUGUUUGCAAAGAGUGAUAUUUCUGGUUUCCGUUGUGAUAUUUGUGAAUUGGCUAAAAGCCAUCGUGCUUCGUUUCCGUUAAUUUUGAAUAAAAGUCCGUUUCCUUUUAUGGUUAUACAUUCUGAUGUUUGGGGCCCAUCCAAAGUCCCAACUUUGAGUGGCUCACGUUGGUUUGUUACUUUUAUUGAUGAUUGUACCAGAAUGACAUGGUCAUGCUUGAUGAAGACCAAAGAUGAAGUGAACUUGUUGUUUCAAAAAUUUCAUAAAAUGAUUGAAACUCAGUACAAUGCAAAGGUUUGGGUUCUACGUAGUGAUAAUGGUGGAGAAUAUCAAAGUUAUGAUCUUCAAAAGUAUUUGGAAGGACAUGUCAUCAUUCAUCAGACUACUUGUUCCAAUACACCCUAGCAAAAUGGAGUCGCUGAACGAAAAAAUCGACACUUGUUAGAGGUUGUUCGUGCUUCCUUGAUAGCAGCAAAAACACCGAUAUCUUAUUGGGGAGAAGCAAUCACAUCUGCCGCAUACUUGAUCAAUCGGGUACCUUCUAGCUCAAUUAACUUUCAAACACCUCUCCAAGCUCUUACUAAUGCCGUAGUUGCCCCAACCGUCCGAAAUCUACCUCCUCGUGUUUUUGGUUGCUGGCAUUUGUGCAUCUACACAAGCACCAACGCACCAAGUUAACUUCCCAUGCAUUGCAAUGUGUGUUUGUUGGAUAUGCAUUGCACAAAAAGGGAUAUCGAUGCUACCAUCCUCCAACUCGACAAAUGUAUAUUACAAUGGAUGUGGUGUUUCAUGAAGAUUCAAUGUAUUUUUCAUCUGAGUCUGAACUUCAGGGGGAGUACCAAAAGGAAAUUUAGACUCUCGAUUAUGAUUAUCAUAUCUCUGAGGAAGAUGAAUCUGGACAAUCUGAACUAGUGAACCAGGAAGUGGGUGAGUUGGAUAUGAGUAGUCAACAAUUUGGGUCCGAAGAUGUCUUCACUGAAAUACCAAACCAAUCGUUGUCUGUUGAGGGUGUUCUUAAUUUGGAACCUGAUCCAUUCAUGAAACGGUUACGACAUCGUCAUAAUAGAGGUAUUCCUAAACCCACAUAGGAACCUGAAUUGUCUACUAAAGUCAAAUAUCCCAUGAGCAACUAUGUGUCUACCCAUCGUUUGUCUGAAUCAAAUAAGUCAUUUGUAAAUCAAUUAUCUACUAUAGCUAUUCCAAGGUGGAAAGCAGCCAUGAAUGAAGAGAUGAAAUCAUUGCAAAAGAAUGAAACAUGGGAACUCGUAGAAUGUCCACUAGGAAAGAAGCCAGUUGGGUGUCGUUGGAUCUAUACUGUGAAGUACAAGGCAGAUGGUAGUAUUGAACGAUUUAAAGCAAGACUGGUAGCAAAAGGGUACACUCAAACUUAUGGAAUUGACUACACAGAGACAUUUGCACCUAUAGCUAAGAUCAACACAAUUCGAGUAUUAUUGUCUUUAGCUGCAAACCUAGAUUGGUCAUUACAACAAUUCGAUGUGAAAAAUGCAUUUCUGCAUGGCGAGUUAUCUGAAGAAGUAUAUAUGGAUCUUCCACCAGGAUGCAUGGUAUCAGAAAAGCAAUGUCAGAAGGUGUGCAAAUUGAAGAAGUCAUUGUAUGGGUUGAAGCAAUCCCCGAGAGCAUGGUUUGGAAGGUUCACAAAGUCAAUGAGAGCUUUUGGCUAUCGUCAAAGUAAUUCAGAUCACACUUUGUUCCUAAAAAAACAACAUGGUAAGAUUACGACACUCAUUGUAUAUGUGGAUGACAUGGUAGUUACAGGAAAUGAUCCUGAAGAAAGAAAAGCUCUGCAAAAUUAUCUAUCUAGAGAAUUCGAAAUGAAAUAUCUAGGUCAUCUGAAAUACUUUCUUGGGAUUGAAGUUUCUCGAUCAAGUGAAGGAAUUUUUCUGUCUCAAAGAAAGUAUGCCUUAGAUCUUUUACAGGAGACUGGAAUGUCGGGAUGUCAACCUAUUAAUACACCAAUAGAAGAAGGUCUGAAAUUGUGUGUUGAGCCUAAUCAAGUAUCAACCGAUAAGGGAAGAUACUAGAGACUUGUGGGGAGAUUAAUGUACUUAGCUCAUACAAGACCAGAUCUUGCUUAUGCAUUGAGUGUAGUGAGUCAAUUCAUACAUAAUCCUAGAGAGCAACAUAUGAAUGCAGUCAUGCGUAUUUUUGAGGUAUUUGAAGAAUGCUAACGGGAAGGGGAAUUUUNNNNNNNNNNNNNNNNNNNNNNNNNNNNNNNNNNNNNNNNNNNNNNNNNNNNNNNNNNNNNNNNNNNNNNNNNNNNNNNNNNNNNNNNNNNNNNNNNNNNGUGACAAUAAAGCCGCAUGUGACAUUGCUCAUAAUCCAGUACAACAUGAUCGUACAAAGCAUGUCGAGGUGGAUAGAUUCUUCAUUAAGGAAAAGUUGGAUGAUAAGAUUGUGGAAUUGCCUAAGAUUCGAUCAGAAGAUCAAUUGGCCGAUAUCCUUACCAAAGCUGUCUCAAGUCAAGUGUUCUCAAAAUUUUUAGACAAGUUGGGCAUGUGUGACAUCUAUGCACCAACUUGAGGGAGAGUGUUGAGAUAUUAGGAAUGCUUUCCUUAUAUCAUUCUUUCCUUAUAUCAUUUAGUGUUGAGAUAUUAGGAAUGUUUAGAUAUUAGGAAAGUUGAGAUAUUAUGAAUAUUGAGAUAUUAGGAAUAUUGAGAUACUAGAAAUAUUGAGAUAUUAGGAAUAUUGAGAUAUUAGGAAAGUUGAGAUAUUAGGAAUAUUGAGAUACUAGGAAUAUUGAGAUAUUAGGAAUAUUGAGAUAUUAGGAAAGUUGAGAUAUUAGGAUAUUAGUUGUUAUUUUCUUAUAUCAUUAUUUCCUUGUAUCAUUCUUUCCCAUUCUUAGAAUAGUGAUUACCCUCUAUAUAUACUCUGUACAUGAACGAAUGAAAGUAUGAAUGAAAAAAACUACCAUUUAUCAAUUUGAAGAUGUACUAUAUUUUGAAAUUUUAAUUUUAAAUUCACCAUACAUCUAUGAAAAAUCCCUUUCUCAUACAACCAUUUAAAAAAGGCUACCAUGGCCCCAUACUUUUCCAAUUCCAUGAAUGAGAUCGGAAAUGCACAUCUACCCACUUCUUCGUCCCCCACACUUUGGUUUCCCCUUUUAAUGGAACAACUCCAAUUAAUUGAGGUAUAUGCAAGCUUUCAAAAAAUGGGUAUAUGUUAAUUUAGAUAUGCCAAUCCAAUGGCCCAAAAUGAACUUGUAAUCUAGCUGUACUUUUUCUCCAUUAUAAGGCACUAAAAUGAAUUCCAUGAUUAAGAUUUUGUUACAUGUUUUGGUUUGGAUCCAAUUACCCAUUUGGACCCAAAACCCUAAUAUGUGUUAUUUUCCUAGAUGAUGAAUCUCACUUCAUUAGGGUUUCAUAUGUAAACAAGUAGCUGAUCAAAAACUACCACAGUCAAAAAGUGGAACUCGAUCUUCACAUAUAAAAAUUUAAUACUAAAUCCACUCAUUGUUGCUUUUAGUCAUAAUUCCUACAGAAAAAUUAGAGCAAGCUAUUAUGAAAAAUUAUGAAUGAAGAUAUGAGAAAUAUUAUAUUAUUUAAUUGUUAUAAAAUUUAUCUUAAUCAGGUCUUUUCCUAUUGCAAAAUAAAUAAACAAAUAAAUAGAGUUUUUUUAAUUGCUAUAAUAUAUUUAUUUGUAAGUCUAAAAGUGAACUCAUUGGGAGCUCUAAACCUACUAGUGUGAACAAUUGGAUUACUUAAUUUGGUGAUAGCUCAUUCAUUUAUUUUUUUAAUUGAUUUUUAAAUUUAUUCAUUUCUUUCUUUAUUGGUCUUAUCUCUUGGAAAAUGAUGUUGGACAUCUGGGGCAACCUUCCUAGAAAUUGUAGUGUAUUUUAUAAUCUCAUACACCAAUAGUGAUAUUUCUUGGAAAAUGUGGCUUCUUUUCUUCUUCUUUUUUUCUUUUUUUUCAAUUAAUCACAAAGGUGAUCCAAUGGUCACGCCUUUAGUUGUUUAGAAACCAAACUUUGGUUCCACAUUGCCCUUGGCUUUUAGUCCAAGUAGUAGGUGGUAGCCACAGCCAUAUAUGAUAGUGUUUUCCACUCCCAAGAUUCCAUGAUAUCCCUCUGGUUAUCUAUUCUUAAUCCUAGUAACAAAUAUUGUUAUGAGCAUAUGGUUCUACACCUCAUGCUCAUAUACUUUAUUGAAUUUAACGUGAUUGUCGAAUAAAGGUGCGACAAGUCCAUAUUUUUUUUUAUAAAAAACAAAUGAUUACGAAGACUCUUAUAACAAAAAAAGUUAGAAAAUUUUUAUAAUCCCUAUAAUUUUGUACAUAUCUAAUCCUUAAGAUUAUGAUCAAUCAAGAUUAACAUAAUCAUCAAUGGGUGAGUCAGCUGAAUUUUACUCAUUUACCACUUUGAUUAUUAAUUAUUAAAAGAUUAUAAAUCAAUUUACUCUACCCUUUCUCGCUAUUCUAAGAUUACAUCCGCAUUCAUGAAGGAAGAAAAAAAACAAAGUUGGUGCUCCUUUUAACUUAAAAACCCCAUGAUUAACAAGCAUUGGACAUUGUGCUCAUUUGACCUAGAUGUACCAAUCUAAUGGUUGAAAAUCAAUUUAAUCAAUGCUUCUUAUUAUUUCAUAUCUAACUUAUAUAUUUGUACAUCCUUCCCUAAAAUAUAAACAAUCAUAAAUCACUCAUAAUAAAAGAGUGUAAAAAUCUAUAUAGAUGAUAAAUUGUUGCAUGUGGAUAAUGUUAGGUUCAAUUUAAGUUGAACUCUCAAGGCUUGAACUCACGCCAACUAUGCAAAUUUAGAUGGAAUUAGGACUUUUUAAGUCCAAUUUAAAUUCAAUUGUCUUGAUUCUAUUUAUUUAUUGAUCAUACUCUGAUAUGAUUUGUUUCAUAUUAAAUGUCAGAUUUUUUUUCUUGCCUGUUAGGUCCAACUAGGAGGUGGAGUCACUGCUAAGGUCCUCUCCUUCUCUCUCUCUCUCUCUCUCUCUCUCUCUCUCUCUCUCUCUCUCUCUCUCUCUCUCUCUCUCUCCAUCCAUAAACCUUUGAUUGAUUAAAAAUAUACAAAACAAUAAUGGUGUUCCCCACUAUCCAAAGAUAUCUCUUUGGAACAAACAUGUAUUCAACAAUUAUACAAAACAAUAAUUGUUUCCAUUUCAUAUUUAAUUCAUGCAUGUUAUAUAUAUUGAAGAUUCUAAAAUAAAGACCAGGCAUUUCCAAUAAAGACUAUAUUGCAGUGCAUUUCAUAUACAUGAAACAAAAACUACUCUCUUUUACCUUCUACUUGAUUUCUCUCAUUCACCACCCACUUCUCUUCUCUUUGUGAAGUUUCUACUUGAUUUCUCUCAAUUCACCCACUUCUCUUCUCUUUUGCCAAGCUUCUACUCGAUUUCUCUCAAUUCACCCACUUCUCUUCUCUUUGCUAAGCUUCUACUUGAUUUCUCAUUCACCCACUUCUCUUCUCUUUGUGAAGCUUCUACUUGAUUUCUCUCAUUCACCCACUUCUCUUCUCUUUGUGAUACUUCUACUUGAUUUAUCUCAAUUCACCCACUUCUCUUCUCUUUGCGAAGCUUCUACUUGAUUUCUCUCAUUCACCCACUUCUCUUCUCUUUGCGAAGCAAAGACAUGGCUCUAGUUGGAGAGGCAUUGCUCACAGCUUCUAUUCAAGUUUUGUUGGAAAAGAUGGCUUCUCCCGAGGUCCUGAGCUUCUUCGGGGGACAGAAACUCAAUGCUGCACUCUUGAAUAAGUUGAAGAUCACAUUGCUCACUGUCCAUGCAGUCCUCAAUGAUGCGGAGGUGAAGCAGAGUGAGAAUCCAGCAAUCAAAGAGUGGCUCCACGAACUUAAAGAUGCUGCCUACGACGCGGAGGACUUGUUAGAAGAGAUUGCUACAGAAGCUCUUCGGUGCACGAAGGAGUCUGACUCCCAAACUAGUGGAACUCUGGUAUGGAACGCCAUCUCGACCUCUCUUAAUCCAUUUGGUGACGGGGUGGAGUCCAGGGUUGAGGAGAUAUUUGAUAGAUUAGAAUUUCUUGCUCAAAAAAAAGAUGCUCUUGGGUUGAAAGAAGUUGUUGGUAAGAAACUAGCAAAAAGAUGGCCGUCCACUUCUGUGGUGGAUGAAUCUGGUAUUUAUGGCAGGGAGGGUAGUAAAGAGGAGAUAAUUGACAUGUUGCUCUCAGACAAUGCAAGUGGCCAUGUCAAAACUGUGAUAGCUAUAGUUGGCAUGGGCGGCAUUGGGAAGACCGCCCUAGCACAACUUUUGUAUAAUGAUGAAAGGGUAAAAUCAUAUUUUGAUAUGAAAGCUUGGGUCUGUGUAUCUGAAGAAUUUGAUCUUUUCAAGAUAACGAAAACAAUUCUUGAGGCCAUUAAUGGAGCCGCUUUUAGUUGUACUCGUGAUGUAAAUGACUUGAAUCUGCUUCAAGUGGAGCUAAGAGAGUCCCUUAUUGGGAGGAAAAUUCUAAUAGUUCUGGAUGACGUCUGGAAUGAGAGCUACAAUAACUGGGACAUGCUACAAACUCCGCUUAAAGUUGGAGCAAGUGAUAGUAAGUUUAUUGUAACCACACGCAAUGCAAAUGUUGCAUUAACCAUGCGUGCGCAUCACACUCAUCAUCUCGAGCAACUAUGCUUUGAAGAUAGUUGGCGGCUAUUCACAAAACAUGCAUUUGAAAAUGAAGAUCCUGGUGCACAUCCAAAACUGGAGGCCAUUGCAAAAGAAAUCGUGCAAAAGUGCCAGGGCUUGCCUUUGUCCAUCAAAACACUUGGGGGUCUUUUGCACUAUAAGAUGGAUGAAAAAGAAUGGGAUAACAUAUUGAGGAGUGAAAUGUGGGAUUUGCCGAGUGAUGAACUUCUUCCAACUCUGCGGUUAAGCUAUUAUCAUCUCCCCUCAAAUUUGAAGCGAUGCUUCGCGUAUUGUGCAAUUUUUCCUAAGGGCUAUCAGUUCCGAAAGAGGGGGUUGAUUUUAUCGUGGAUGGCAGAAGGUUUUCUGCAACAACCAAAAAGCAAGAAAAGAAUGGAAGAGAUAGGGGACUGGUACUUUCAUGAAUUAUUGACAAGGUCAUUUUUUCAUAAAUCGAGUAGCAGAGACUCGUGUUUUGAAAUGCAUGACCUUAUAAAUGACAUGGCUCAACAUGUAUCUGGAGAUUUUUGUACUCGAUGUUCGGAAGAUAAGAUGAAUGAUGUGUAUAAGAAGACUCGCCACUUCUCAUACCUUGUAAGUGAAUAUGAUUCCUUUGAAAAAUUUGAGACUCUUGUUGAAGUUAAAUGUCUCAGAACCUUCUUCAAAUUGCAACCACUAUUCAUGCAGUCUUGCUUAAGUAAUAGGGUUUUACAUGAUGUGAUACCAAAUAUUAGAUGCCUCCGUGUUUUGUCCUUGUGUGGUUAUUGGAUUGUUGAUUUGCCUGAUUCAAUGGGCAAUUUAAAAUGUUUACGUCUUUUGAACCUUUCUCACACACCUAUCAAAAGGUUACCAGAAUCAGUGUGUAGUUUGUAUAAUUUACAAAUAAUUCUACUCUCUAAUUGUCGUUGUCUCUGUGAGUUGCCUCGUGGAUUGACGAAAUUGAUUAACCUACGUUAUCUUCGUAUUCGUGAUUCUGGAAUAAAAGAGAUGCCUGAUCAUAUUGGUCAAUUGAGAAAUUUACAAGAAUUGAGCAGAUUUAUUGUGGGUCAAACAAGUGGUCGUAGGAUUGGAGAGCUCAGGGGGCUUUCAGAAAUUAGAGGGAGGCUACACAUUUCAGAACUCCAGAAUGUGGUUUGUGGUAUGGAUGCCUUAGAGGCAAAUUUGAAGGAUAAGAAGUAUGUUGAUGAUUUGGUGCUGGAGUGGAAGAGCAACUCUGAUGUUCUACAAAAUGGAAUUGACAUAGUCAACAACUUGCAACCGCAUGAAAAUGUCCAGAGGCUUACCGUUGACUCCUACGGGGGUACAAGAUUCCCCGAUUGGUUAGGAGAUCAUUUGUUCUUAAAUAUGGUGUUCCUAAAUCUCAAGAAUUGUCAACAUUGCUCUUCUUUGCCGUCACUCGGCCAGCUGUCCUCGCUUAAGGACCUUUAUAUCUCAGGGGUGCAUGGCAUAGAGAGAGUUGGUACUGAUUUCUAUGUCAAUAAUUCUUCCUCAGUAAAGCCCUUCACAUCCCUGGAAACUCUCGUUAUUGAGAAGAUGAGACAGUGGAAGGAAUGGGUAUCUUUCGGAGGAGGCGAAGGUGGAGCAUUCCCUCAUCUGCAGGUGCUCUGCAUAAGGCACUGCCCCAACCUCACUGGAGAAGUACCCUGCCAACUUCCUUCCUUGACGAAACUUGAGAUUUGUGGAUGUCAGCAGCUUGUGGCUUCAGUUGCAAGGGUUUCAGCCAUUCGAGAAUUGAAGAUACUCAAUUGUGGUCAGGUUCUGUUUGGAAGCCCGCCUUAUGACUUCACUCAUCUUCAAACUUUAGAAAUUGAAAUUUCAGACAUCUCACAGUGGAAGGAACUACCUCAGGGAUUGCGGGGGCUCACAAUUCUAAAAUGCUUCUCUGUGGAGUCUCUACUAGAGGGAAUAAUGCAAAACAACAGUUGUCUUCAACACUUGACUCUCAAAUGUUGUUGCCUUUCCAGAUCCUUGUGCAGAUGUUGUUUACCCACUGCAUUGAAAUCAAUAAGCAUAAGUAGGUGUAGGAGACUACAUUUCCUCCUGCCUGAGUUCCUAAAAUGCCACCAUCCCUUCCUUGAACGAUUGUGUAUUGAAGGUGGUUACUGUAGAUCUAUCUCAGCCUUCUCAUUUGGCAUCUUCCCUAAGUUGACUCGUCUUGAAAUCAAUGGUAUUGAGGGGCUUGAAUCCCUCUCCAUUUCGACUUCAGAGGGAUCUCUCCCAGCUCUUGAUAUUCUAAAAAUCCAUAACUGCCACGAUCUCGUAUCUAUUGAGUUUCCAACUUUCGAGUUGACACACUAUGAGAGCAUUCAUUGCAGGAAGCUCAAGUCGUUGAUGUGCUCCCUCGGCUCUUUUGAGAAACUAAUUUUACGAGACUGUCCCCUAUUGUUGUUUCCAGUUCGAGGUUCUGUGUCCAGCAUAAAUUCACUUAGAAUUGACGAGUGCGACAAACUCACACCCCAGGUGGAGUGGGGCUUGCAAGGGCUGGCUUCUCUUGCACAAUUCAGCAUUAGAUGUGGAUGCCAAGACUUGGUGUCGUUUCCAAAGGAAGGCCUGCUGCCCUCAACUCUCACCUCUCUUGUAAUUGAAAGUCUUCCAAAUCUCAAGUCUCUGGAUGGCAAGGGGCUUCAACUGCUUACCUCUCUUCAAAAAUUACACAUCGAUGAUUGUCAGAAUCUUCAAUCCCUGCCAAAAGAGGGGCUUCCCAUCUCCAUUUCUUUUCUAAAAAUUAGCAACUGUCCCCUGCUGAAAAAUCGAUGCCAAUUCUGGAAAGGGGAAGAUUGGCAGCGUAUAGCUCACAUUCCACGCAUUGUGGUGGACGACCAAGUUCUGUAAUGAAGGUACUUAUUCUGUCCUAUAAAUGAUUUCCUUCAAAAGAAAGUAGGUUGUGAUUGAAGCUUUCUAGUCAUAAUAAUAAUAUCUUGUAUUAUUUGUCACUUUCCUGUGCUGAAAAAAUAUUACACCAAUUUAUGUCAUGGCAGGCCUAAAAGCAUUUUUCUCUGGAAAACUGACAUGCUUAAAUACCAAUUUUAUUUUGAUCCAUAAUAAAUAGGAAAAAUAUUCUUUAAAUUUUCUAAUUAUUAUAACAAUUUCUCGCUUUCUUUCAGAUUAUCUGUAUGUCUUGACUCUGGCACUGAUUCAACAUGUGGUCGUGAGGAAUAUUUUAUGACUCCCUUGCUUAAUUAGCGCCUUGAAAAAAUGAUGCUUAAAAGGCAAGCAGCUCUUCAGGUCUGAUUUCGUAAAAUGAGUAAUUUUGUGGACAUUGAGUUUGUUUUCACUGGCUAAUUUGUUGAACUGUCAUGGCAGGCCUUCGAUCCUAGUUUUCUCAACAAAUUCAAGCUGCCUAGAAAUGAUCCUUCCAAUGGGACCAUUUUUUGCUGUGAGUUCAGAGUCAUGAUUCUCUUUCUGGAAGAAAGUGGCAGAGAUUUUUUUCCCAUCCCAAGACUCAUGAGUUGAUACUCCCCUCGAGGAACUACAGAAAGCUUGACUCUGUUGGAGAGUAAAGUAUGUGGCAUGCUCUAUGAUUCCAAUUAGUAAGACAUUUCAAUUGCUUUGGUUUACCUUUCUCAGCUACAAAUUACAAUAUUCAUAAUCUCAUAUGCAUUAAUUCUUCAGGUUCUGAGGCUGCAUCUGUGUUGAUAUCUUAGUUCUUCUCUAGAAACAACAGGUAUAUUUUGAUUCGUACUUUUCAUAAGCUGACACAUUGUGGAGUUCCAUGAUUUUCAAAACGAGAUAAACCUAAUACUAAAUUAUACUGAAGCUAAAACAAAAAUCUUACUGCCUGAGGUUAUGUCUUUGAUGAAUUUUAUUCACUAUGUUCAUACAGCCUCCCGGUGACCUAGACUUUAGCAUGUGCCUUAGUGCACACAUUGUUUUCAUCUCUUUCAGCUUUAAUUGAUCUGCAGAUGUUCAGUGUAGGCACCGCUCAUCUCCUACUCAUUUACAUGAUUGCCAUGGACCUUUGUGCUUUACUUUGUUAAUGGUAAGGUAAUCAUAAUAGUACUACAUUAGUUGAGCAUGGCUGCAACCAUUUUCAUAUUCAGGCUUUUCUUGUGCUUACAAAUGAUAAUGUGAGCUUGAAUUUUCUGUUUUUAAAUUUGUGAUUCUGAGGCAGAUAUUUGGAGAAAAGAGAAGGCAAACCAUAUUCAAAGUCAUAGCACUGCAGAGUAUGCUUUUGUUCCACCAAGUCCAAGUCAAUUGAGUUGAAUCUUAUUAAUACUUCUAGGACACAGGUUCAAAUCAGUUGAUUUUCCAAACCUGAUGACAGCAUCAAAUUCUGCUGAUUACCAUGUGACCAUUUUUAUUUUCAGAUGGUGGUAUUUUGAAUCUUCAGAGCAGUUCCAGGAGGAAGCUUUGCCAAAGCUUCCCUGUGCAAUAUAUGGGCCUUGGUUGCAAGUGAGAUUUGAGGAUUUUAUUUUAUCUUGGAAGACCUCAACCGAUUGUUUUGAGUUUUGAGCUUUGAUCUUUUACUUCCAAGUAUGUGCAAAGAAGAAAGAAAGCAACAACAAAGAUUGGUUUGCCGAAGUUUUAUAUGGAAUGAGACCCCAAUGAAAAAAAUUGUAAUUAUUGGUUUUUCAGCCUUGAACAGUAUAGUUUUGUUUCCCAUUUUGUUCUUUGAGCAAUGUAUUUGUAGAAUCAUACAUUUUGAAGUUACUACUGAUUUUGUGUAUAUACAUACAUAUAAAUGAUGUUCUCUUCUUCAUUCAUAUGGCAUUUGCUUCUUUGGUAUAUGCCGAAAAGUUACAAGUUUGCUCUAGGGUUUUACUUGAAGUGAGGUUAGAUAUGGUUUUUUUUUUUUUUUUUUUGGUGCAUAUAAGAGUUUACAUCAUAGGCAAAUCACUUCCAAUCCAGCCUCUUUUAACAUUUUUGGUUCCUUUCAUCCUCCUCAAUGUGACUUUGGUGCAAGUUGUCUUGAUAUAAAUGUUUGGAGUUUAAGCUUUUGGGUCAAUUUAAUCUUUAACUCAGCAUCAAAGUCUUUGUUUUCAAGAUUUCCUGGUGCUCAUAAGAUGUUUAAAUUGAUACCCAAGUGGAAUUCUAGGACAAAUAUAUAUAUAUAUAUAUAUAUAUAUAUAUAUAUAUAUGUAAAUCAAAAAAGAAAAAGAAAACAUAUAUACCAAGUAUCAAGUAUCAGCGCACUUCAAAUGAUUUUCUAAAUUUUUAAUUUUUUUUUUCAAAUACUUAACUUUAAAAAAAAUUAAAUAAAUAACACUUUAAAAAGUGCUUUUAAUUCUAAUAGAAUCACUUUUAAACGAAUUUGGAUAUAAAUCAAACAAGUUGAUAUUUAGUGCAUCUAAGGCCCUUUCAGUAAUGUUUUUAAAAAUAAUUCUUUUACAGCUUUUGAAAAUAGUUUUUAAAAACGGUUCAUAAUUAUUUUUAGUAUAAAAAACAGUUUUAUUAGUUUAUUAUUCAUAAAGAUAUCAUAUACUUAUCUACUAUGUAAAAGUUUUUAUUACCAAUUCAUGAAUAAGAUCAUAAACCCAUCCACAUUUACCCACUUUUCCAUUCCCCACCCAUGGAGAAGAAGAAAAAGGAAAAUUUUGGGUUCCCCAUGGAACAACACCAAAUUGAGGUAUAUGCAUGGAUGAAAAUUUCGCUAAAUAUUGAUAUAUUGCAUAUCGGGGGAUAUGGAAAUAUCGACUAGGCAAAAUUUCAGGAAAAAUCGCUGAAAAUCGCCAAUAUUUCCCUAUAUAUUGGUGAUUUGGUGAUAUUUCGCCGAUUUUCCCAAUUUUUUCAAGUGGUCAAUGCUGGUCAACACGCGUUACAGUAAAAGCUUAAACUUGUUGUUGAGGGGACUUGAACCCCAAACAAAAGGCUUAAAUUUGCUAUUGAAGGGACUUGAACCCCAAACAAAAGGCUUACCUGAAGCUUGGCCUACCCUUGUUUAAUAUAUUGCACCAAACAUGUUUAUAUUGAAAUUCAUCAAAUAAAAAAAAAUAUUAAAAGAAUAUUUUAGAGAACAAAAUAAUUAUAAUUAUUUUAUAAUUAAAUAAAAAAUUUCAUUUAAUUGAUUACCCAAAAUAUAAAAGUUAUCAUGAUAAUUUUCUUCAUAACGUUUUUAAUAUCAUUAAUAGAUUAAUUAAAUAUUAAAAAAUUAUAUAUAUAUUCUAUAUCAUUUAAUAAAAUGAAUCAUAAUUUUAAUGAUAAAUAUAUUUUAAAAUUAAACAUAUUAUAAUCAAUAUCACAAUAUUAUUAUGAUAUAAUAUUUGAUGUAAUUUAAUAAUAAAUAUACACUUAUAAAAUUCAUAUAUUUUUAUCAAUACAUAGAAUAUUAUUAUCAAAUAUGAUAAAUCAUAUUAUGCAUGCAUCAAAUUCUUCAACAAAACAACUUUAAAAUAUCUAUUAUAUUUCUAAUUAUAUUUGUAUAAGGUUUUUCUUACAUUUCUAUGAAUUUUGAUCAAUUUUAGGUCUACCGAUAUUUUUUUCCAAUAUAUCUAUAAAAUCGAAGUACCGAUAUAUUCGUGAUUAUUGAUAUUUUCAUCCUUGGAUAUAUGCAAGCUUUCAAUGAUGGGUGUGUUAAUUUAGAUCUUUCAAUCCAAUGGCCCAAAAUAAACUUGGAAUCUGGUUGUGUUUUGCUCCAUUAAGGCACUACAAUGAAUUCCAUGAUUAAGAUUUUGUUACAUGUUGUGGUUUGGAUCCAUAUACCCAUUUGGACCCAAAACCCUAAUUUCAGUUAUUUUUUAUGAAAUAUUGAAUCUCACUUCAUUAGGGUUUAAUAUGUAAACAAGUAACUGAUAAAAAAUUACCACAAAGUGACAAAGUAAAACUCUGUAAAAAGGGUCUUCACAUAUGAAAAUUUAAUACUAAAUCCACUUAUUGAUGCUUUUGGUCAUAAUGCCUAUAGAAAACUUAAAAGCGAGCUAGAAUGUAAAAGUAUAAGUGAAGAUGCAAAAAAAUAUAAUAUUUUCUAAUUUUUGUUAAAUCAAUCUAUGGACCCCGCAUUUCGGCUCAUGCGUUUUCCACUCGAUGGCUAGCUCGAUUUUAAUUUGAAAAAUGAUUUUUAUUGAUUAAGAAAAUGACUUGGAGUCGCCACUUAUUUUUGUUUUAUUUUUAAAGGGUAAACAAAAUAAGAAAGAAGAACCCUAAGUGUGACUCCUUAGUUUGGAAAAGGUGGUCUGUGAAAAAUCAGAUCGGGCUCGGGGGUCAGGUUACUUAUCAGGAAGGUUCGGUAAAGACCGUAGCACCCUUCUAAGUCCUAAAGUUGGGUCUCUACUAAUAAAAUGAAGUUGACGUGGCAAUCAAUAGGAAAAUCAAUGGGUACUCAAACCGAUUAAGCGCAUAUGGAAAUCAAAACAUGCAAUAGAGAAUGACCAGAAUAGGAGUAGAUGCAUACCUGGGCCACGAACGAGCAAUGCGCUAUCAUAAAAAUGGGGUUAGUGCACAAUAUAGAGCACGAAACACGUCACAUGCAUCACCAAACGGAAAUUAAAAUUGUUUGAAGGAAAAUUGGAUUUUCGAAAUUCAUUUGAAAAUUGGAGUCUUAGAGGUUAUUUGGAAAUUGGAGUUUUAAAAAUUAUUUGAUGAGAAUUUUAGAAAUUGAAUUUGAAAGAAAUUGGGAUUUUGAGGAAUUAUUAGAAAGUUCGGGAUUUUUAAGGAAAACUAAGUUACGAAAAUUGGGGCUUUGGGAAUUAAAUUUUGAAAGAAAUCAAAAUUGUAAGUUAUUUGAGAAGUAGAGAUUAUGAAAGUCGAUUUAUAUAUAUAAAAAAAAAAAAAAAGUGGCAAUCUUGAAAAUCAUUCAAAGGCAGAAUUUAUAGAAAUAAUGAAUAAAGUAAUAGUGAUAAUGAUAAUAAUAAGUAGCGGGAUAAAUACGGGGAUUGGAGCAUGGGAAAAUGGAAAUUAAGUUUGGAGAUAGGACAAUUGGAAUUUCAGAUAACUAAACUUAGAAAUCGGAAUUUUGAAGAAUUAGACUUUAAUGAUUGAGAUUUUUAAGAGAAAUAAAUAGGUAAAUAUGGGAUAAUGCUACUAAUUAAUCAAAGCGAUAUUGGAACGGAUGACAGUGAAUAGUGAGAUUUGUGAGAUUAAAAAUUAAAUUUUGAAAGAUUGAGAUUUUUAAAAGAUACAAAUAAAUAAAUAUAGAAUAACAUUACUAGUUAAUCAAAAACGAUAUUCGGACGGGUGAAAGGGGAUAGUGAGAUUCGUGAGAUUAAAAAUUAAAUUAGGGAGUCAGGUUUUUGAAGAAUUGGACUUUGAAUAAAUAAAUAAAUAAAUAAAUAUAGGAUGACAAUUCUGCUUAAGGAAAAUAACAUUUAAAUGAAUAAAGAAGAAUAGUGGAAUUUUUAGGGUUGAAAAUUAAGUUAGGACAUCGGAUUUUUGAAGGGUUAGACUUUAAAUAACUAGAUAAAAACGGGAUUGUAAUUCUAAUUGAUGAAAAUAAGACUUAAACGAAUUAUUGAAAAAUUAAGUUAAGGCGGGGGAUUUUCGAAGGAUUAGACUUUAAAUAAGUAAAUGAAUAUGGGAUACUAAUUCUAAUUAAAGAAAAUAACAUUUAGACAAAUAGUAGAAUUUUAGGAUUGAAAAUUAAAUUAUGACAUUGGAUCUUUUUAAAGGAUUGGAUUUUGGAUAAAUAAACUAAUAUAGGAUGAUGAUACUAAUUAACGAAAAUAAUCAUUUAAACCGAAUAAAAUGAAUAGUGGAAUUUUUAGGGGAUUGAAAAUUAAGUUAGGACAUUAGGUUUCUGAAGGAUUGGAUUUUAAAUUAGUAAACCCGUAUAGGAUGAUAAUACUAAUUAACGAAAAUAACAUUUAAACGGAAUAAAAAGAAUAGUGGAAUUUUUAGGGGUUUGAAAAUUAAGUUAGGACAUCGGAUCUCUGAAGGAUUGGAUUUUAAAUUAGUAAACUCGUAUAGAAUGAUAAUACUAAUUAACGAAAAUAACAUUUAAACGGAAUAAAAAGAAUAGUGGAAUCUUUAGGGGUUUGAAAAUUAAGUUAGGACAUCGGAUCUCUGAAGGAUUGGAUUUUAAAUUAGUAAACUCGUAUAGGAUGAUAAUACUAAUUAACGAAAAUAACAUUUAAACGGAAUAAAAAGAAUAGUGGAAUUUUUAGGGGUUUGAAAAUUAAGUUGGGACAUUGAAUUUUUGAAGAGUUGGACCUUAAAUGAAUAAAAAACACAAGGGAUAAGAAUUCUAGUUAACGAAAAUAACAUUUAGGCGAAUAAUAGAAUUUCUAAGGUUGAAAGUUAAAUUGAGAUUUUUGAAAGAUUGGACUUUAAAUAAAUAUGGGAUGAUGAUUCUAAUUGAUAAAAAUGAAAUUUAAACGAAUUGUAGAAUUUUUAGGAUUGAAAAAUUAAAUUAAAAUAUGGAAUGUUCGAAGGAUUAGACUUUAAAUAACUAAAUAAAUACGGGAUUGUAACUCUAAGUGAUGAAAAUAAGAUUGAGUUGAAUUGUAGAGUUUUUAUGAUUUGAAAGAUUAAAUUAAAACAUGGAAUGUUUGAAGGAUUAAACUUUAAAUAACUAGAUAAAUAUAUGAUAAUAAUUCUAAUUGACGUAAAUGAGAUUUAAAUGACUUAUGGAGGGAUUAAAUUAAGACAUGGGAUUUUUAAAAGGGUUAGACUUUAAAUAACUAUAUAUGUAUGAGAUAAUGAUUCUAUUUGAUGAAAAUAAGAUUCAAACGAACUAUUGAAAAAUUAAAUUGAGGCAUAGGAUUUUUGAGGGAUUUAGACUUUAAAUGACUAGGCAAGUAUGGGAUCAUAAUAUUCCAUUUAUAAAAAUAAGAUUUAAGCAAAUAUUUGAAGAAGUAAAUUAAAACAAGGGAUUUGUGAAAGAUUGGUAUAGGGCCCUUCAUCCACACGAACUGGGCCUGGGCUGCAACUCAAAUCCAAGCCCAAAGUCUUCAUGAGUAAGCCCAAUACAAAUAUCCAUCACAAACUUGGGCCUAGUGCCCCAACUCAAGCCCAAGUCCAAAGAUUUCAAUGGGCAAGCCCAAGACACCCAAUGCCUUCACAAACUUGGGCCUUUCAUCUGGGUCCAACCCUCUAAAGCCCAAAUCAACUCUCAUAUCUCUUUGGGCCAUUCAAUCACAUGUUCUUCUCCACUUCAGGUGACGACGACGGAGGAACUGGAGAUGAGAGGCAUCGCCGGGGGCCCUCGAAGCUGGUCCAAGCUGCCAACGCUCCGCGCUGCCUCGCCACAGCGUCGUGCGUGCACACUGUCCCCUUCGUCGCGUCGAACAGUGCACCACCAUUGCCUGCACCGCCACGGAUCUCAACCGGCUGCCUCCCCGCGAUCUCUUCAUUCGAAUUCGCCGAAAACGACGAUGGAACUUUGACGACUUGGCAACUGGCGCGACAGAGACAUGGAUGGGCUUCUUGACGACACCACUUCCAUGGCGAAUCCGCUUCAAUCUGUGACGAUAGGGUCGAGGUUUGGACGCCGAAAGGAGAAGAAAGUAGAGAGAUAUAGAGAGAGAGAGAGAGAGAGAGAGAGAGAGAGAGAUGCGGCGUGGGUGUGGGCACGUAUGCAUGAGGUUGGAAGGUUGGGUUGCCAGCAGCAGGUUUCGAAGAAGGAAAUGUGGGCAAGAUGGUGAAUACGACUGUGGGUAUAGUGAGGUAUGAGCAUGGAAGGUGAAAGUGUGAGGAUGGAAGGUAUGAAAGGAGCGGGUUAGUGAGAUAAAUAGGUAUUCGAAAGGUGGCUAUGCAUGGUGAAAAUGUGGGGGGUAUGGUGGUGCUAAAAAAAGUGAUAAGCAUGGAGGCAUGAAAGAUGGAUAUGAGGGUAGGUAUAAGGAUAUGUGGGUUUGAUAAAGGACGUAGAGAAAGAAAAGGUGGUGGCUGAUUCAUGGGGUUUGUUGGGUAGAGGAUGUGUGCAUAGGAUUAAUGGAAUGGGUAGUGGGCUGGUUUGAUGAGUAGUAAAAGUGGCCAUGGCUAGGGAGGUGGUGAUGAACGACGAAGGUGUCAUGGCGAGAGUGCUAUGAUAAUCAGCAAUAUCAACAAUCAACAACAAGAAAAUGAUCCAGAAAAUCAAUGAAAUACAACGUGUAAUCCAACCCAAACUGAUAAGCAAUGCAAAGAAAACCCAAAAUGAGAAAGAGAUGAGAAGAAAAUGAAUCAAACGGGGCAAAAGACCCACCUCAAGCUCGCCUGUAGCAGCUUUCUUCCUCCGUGCUCUCCCUCUCCAGUCCGCUCCCGCUCAAGAUCCCCCCCUUUCCUAUAGAUAUCUCAUAUCUUUCUUUUUCCUGUUUGUGUCUUCUUUCCCAAGCCAUUACUGGCUCCACUGUUCUUCCAUCCGUCAGCAGGCAUGGCUUCUCAACUACCUACCUGCAGCUGCAUGUCCAUGCCUAGAGAAGGGAUCAAGCCUCCAACUGGGGGUCCCCUACCCCUUUUAGAAAUACAAUGAAAAGUCAAGAAAAAACAACUCUCGGGCCCUCACCACCAAAGGGGGUCUACACAAUCUUAAUUAGGUAAUUUCCUAUUGCAAAAAACAAACAAACAAACAAACAAAUAAAUAAACUUGAAAUUUUUUGUACUUGCUAUAAAAUAUUUAUUUGUAAGUCUAAAAGUUAGCUCAGUGGAAGCUCUAAACCUACUGGUACGAACAAUUGGAUUACUUAAUUUGAUGGUAUCUUAUUCAUUUAUUUUUUAAAUUAAUCUUUAAAUUUAUUUGUUCUUUCAUUAUUGGUCAUGUUUCUUGGUAAAUAAUGUCGUCCAUUUGUGGCAAUUUUCCUAGAAAUUGCAUUGUAUCUUAUAAUCUCAUACACCAAGAUCAUGUUUGAUUUCCAAAAUAGAGAAAAUAUAGAGGAAAGAAAAUAGAGAAAAAAUAGAAAGAAAUAAGAAGUGAAAGAAAAUAAAAAAAAUAAAUUUAAAAUUAAUAAAUUAUUUUUUAUAUUCUGCUUCAAAUUUAUUUCACUUAAAUAAUUUUAAAAUAUAUAAAUUUUUAUUUAAUUUGAAUUAUAUUUGAUUUUCUUUUAUAUUUUUCAUGAUGAAACUAAAUAUGAGAAAAUAAUUUUUCUUUAACAUUUUUUUUUCUUAAUAAUUUAUGAGAGGAAUUUUUAUAUAUAAAAGUACAAUCAAUUUAAAUUUAAUUUUUUAAAAUACAACAUAUUGGAAAAUAUAACUCUAUGGUACUUUAUGUCAUGUUGGAAGUUGUCUUUUGAAGAGGCACAUUUUACAAUUUUCAUAUUAAUCACACCAUUGAAAAUAAAAAUAUAUUUAUACUAAGGAUAUCUCUUGAAGAAACACCUUUAGUAUAAAAUCCAAAUUUGUGAAAUUAUGGAAGGUAUGUCUUGAAAAGACACCUUUAAUGUAAAUUCAAUUUUUUUUUUCAUGUGGCUAAUAUGAAAAUUGUGGAAGAUGUCUCUUCAAAACACAUAUUCAGUACAAAUUCAAUUUUAUGGAAAUGUGAAAGGUAUCUCUUCAAGAGACAUGUUUAGUAUAAAUUCAGUUUGUGGAGUUAUGGAAGGUGUCUCUUGAAGUGACACUGUGGACCCCGCAUUUCGGCUGCUCAAUGUGUUUCCCACUCGAAGGGCGAGCGCGAUUUUUAUUAUUUUGAAGAAUGGAUUUGUCGAUUAAAAUGACUUGGAGUCGCCACUUAUUUUUGUUUUAUUUUUAAAAGGUAAACAAAAUAAGAAAGAAAAACCCUAAGUGUGACUCCUUAAUUUGGAAAAGACGAUCUGCGAAAAACCGGAUCAGGUUCGGGGGUCAGGUUUCUUGUCGGGAAGGUACGGUAAGGACCGUAGCACCCCUCUAAGCUCCUAAAAUGGGUCUCUACUAAUAAAAUGGAUCAAACGUGGCAAUUAAUUCGGAAACCAAGGAAUACCCGGAACUAUCAUGCACAUGUGAGAAUCAAAGCAUGCAUGUAGAAAUACCAUAAUGGGAAUAAAUAUGUACCUGGUUAGCAAACGGCAACGCGCUAUCACAAAAUAGGGUUAGUGAACAAACACAGGUUGAUUAUAUACAUAUCAUGGAACAUAGCAAAACAAUCAAUCAAUUAGUUAGUCAUGAAUUCACAUAUGUGGGGCCCCCACCAAAGCCCAUUUUAUCUUGCUUGAAUCAAUUCCGAUAACUCCAUUGUUCGGAAUUAUGGAAUUUGAUUCCUUGCUUAUUUCAAAACAUUAAAAAAAAAAACAAAAAAAACAGAGGAAGUAUGAAAAUUGCUUGCCAGAAAUAAAAGUGGCAGCGAAGCUUUAUUAAAAAUGUGAUGUUGGAACCUAAAAAAACUUUAAGGAUGAAGUAUGAGGCGAUUGGGACCAUUUGAAUACCAGGAUUUAGAAGAAGUUACAAAAUGGGAUUCGAGGAGCGAGGUACCCAGGAAAGAUGGCGGCGGAGGAAUUCCGGGUACAAUGGGUGUUUUUCCGGACGCGAUGGGCGUCCGGAGGAAAAUGGCGGCGGAAGAAAUUCCGAGUACAAUGGGCGUUCGGAGGAAAAUGGCGGCGGAAGGAAUUUCGGACUUGAUAGGCGUCCGGAGGAAAAUGGCGGCGGGUGAUUCCGGACGCGAUGGGCGUCUGGAGGAAAAUGGCGGCGGAGGAUUUCGGGUAUAAUGGGCGUCCGGAGGAAAAUGGCGGCGAAAGGAAUUUCGGACGCGAUAGGCGUCCGGAGGAAAAUGGCGGCGGAGGAUUCUGGACGCGAUGAGCGUUCGGAGGAAAAUGGAGGCGGAAGGAAUUCCGGGUACAAAAUGCCGUCCAAGUGUAAUGACAGCGGGGGAAGGUUCCGGAACGUGAGGGUGUCCGGAUGGAAUGGUAGAACGUGGUUAUGAGUAGCAUGAAGGAUAGGUAUGGGUGGUAUGGAUAUGGGGGCUUGGGUGAGUAGUUUUAGUGGGUAUGUGUGGGAAUGAAGGAUGGAAUGCACCCCUGAAAGACUAAGUAAGCGAGGGAGCGAGAUGGAGAAUGAAUGAGAAGAAGAUGGGUGUGGGCAUAUUGGAUAAAACGAUGAAUAAGAAACGAAAAUGGGUAUAGAGAUGCUGAUGAGGGGAGCUUUGCUGCCAUGACAACUACUCCAGAUUUUCUAGGAUCUCUUUCGAGCAGGGAUGAGAAAAUGGAUGCGUACCAUGGACGGAUAUCAAGAAACAGGGGAAGUAGAGAAACAGAGUGUGAAAGAAGACGAAUAAAUAAAGAAAAAUCUCAGAAAAUCCAUUUCAUGAAUCAUCCAUGAAUCUUCUGAGCGGGUGGGUAAAUCAUAUCAAAUGCAACCACCCUCAUGAUUCUCAAGCAUUUCAUAACCACAACAGAAGCAUAUCAAAUUUAAAAGAUGGACAAAUCUACGCAAACGCAGGCAUAUAUAUCAACAAACAGAUCGGUGGCCUUCAACAUCCACCCAAAACAACAUUAUGUUAUGGAAAAUCAAUGAAUAAUGAGGGACGAGGAGAAAAACUGUGUACAUACCUGGUUCCUCAAGCAAAAAGAAAACCGGUCUCAGCUCUCUCAAUGAGUUUCCCUCUCUAAAAGACUCCCAAGUAAAUCAGCUAGGAAAAGUCUCCCUCUCUCCUUUGCUCCCUCUUGGCAAUGGAAGAAAAACCAGAGAAAAAUCUCCUCUUCUCUUUCCCCAAAAAUCCUCCUUUCCCACCAGUUCUCUCCAGCUAAAACUCUCCUCUCGUUUUUCUUCCUAUUCACUGGUCAGCACGCAUGGUUCUCCCAACCACCCUCCUGCUGCACGUCUACAAUCUUGUCCCCUCAAACGAUCUCUGCCGCAACCACCUUUUCUCCCUGCAACACUCCUUUUGCAGCCACCUUUUUUCUCUGCCAUCUGCGCCCCUUAACGGCCUACGGGACCCCCUUCCAAAACGUUUCUCCACGUAUCAAAGUCAUACUGCAGCCUCAAAAAGCGAGGUUGAUUCCUUAUGACCACUAAGGAUGUGACACGUGGCCCGCUAGGAUAGUGACACCUGGCUAAAAUGAGCUGCUGAAAAACGAGCCCCAAAUGGGGGUCUACAGACACCUUUAGUAUAAAUUCAAUUUUUUUCAAUGUGUGACCGAUAUGAAAAUUAUGGAAAGACGUCUCUUAAGAGACACUUUUAAUAUAAAUUUAAUUUUAUGAAAUUGUGGAAAUUUUCUUUUAAAGAUACAGUUUUAGAAUAAAUUCAAUUUUGUAAAAUUGUAGGUGUCUCUUCAAAAGACACCUUUACUAUAAAUUAAAAAAUUUCAAUAUGUGGCUGAUAUGAAAAUUAUGGAAGGUGUCUCUUCAAAAGAUAGCUUCUGACAUGAAAAAAAACUACCAUAAUUCCUUAAUAGUUUCACAAGUACCUUUUUUAAAUUUCUUUUGUUUUUUAUAAUUCAUUGUAGAAGUUUUUUUUUUUUUUAAAAAAAAAAACCCCCUUUCCAAGAACCAAGCAUAGUUUAAAUAAUGUUGAUAAUUUUCUACUGAUUCUCCCCAAACUUUUAUUGGAAACUAACAAAAUGGGGCUUAUUAUAGAAUUUUUAAUCUACCUAUCAUUUUGUUGGUCUUCGAAACCACUUUACAAAAUUAAAAAUAAAAAUAAAAAUAAAAACAAAACAAAAGUAGAGGGAACAUUGAUUUCUAGCUUUUAACAAUAAAAAAAUAAAAUAAAAUAAAAUAAAACCCAACAAUUUCUUAAAGUAGGUUUUGGACCUAAUGAAAUACAUAGCAGUUAAACAAUGUCAAAUGACAUAUGACUAUUUGAAAACAAUGUUAAAGACAUUAGUUUGAUCACUGUGAUUCUUAUUACAGCUAGAAUUUUAUUUAUGUAUUUUUUGUUCGUGUGUCACAUUAUAGAGUCUACCAUUGUGAGAACUACAACCCCUUAAGCUUCAAUACUCAUCUCAAUUUUAUGAAGGUUCUUUUAACUAUUAUUUUGAAUUGGGAUUUGGCCACAACCUAAAUUAACCAAGAAUUGACAAUUGAGACAAACUCAUACUCAAAAUCCAAUUGGUUGAACUAAUUGCACUAUGGAAUGCUCAUAAUGUUGGUUCGGUUCAAUAAUUGAGUCGCUAUAGGUAUCAAACUGAAAACAAACUAACUAAACUAUCAUUGAACCCUUUGGACCAAUUCUAUGGUCUGUGCUGUCGAUUUGGUUUAGCAAUCUAGUCGUGCUGGGUAAUGAAUUGAAAACAAAGUUGGGUUGUCUCUUGACCAGUGAACCCAAUAUAUUAGAAUGUAAAAGGCAAAUGAUAAUUAUGCAUGCGCUACUUUUGUGUUUGUUGUAGUGUUAAAUUAUUUUGAAUGUGUAUUCAUAUGUUAUCAUUUUUAAUAAUUAAAUAUAUUGUACCAAAAUGCAAAAGGCAAAUAAUAAUCAUGUCUCUUGCUACUUUUAUGUUUAUUGUGGAGGUAAAUUAUUUUGAAUGUGUAUUUAUAUGUUAUCAUUUUAUAAUUUAAUAUACUAUUUAUCAAGAUUAAUACAAUAAUGUAAACUUAAUAAUUUUUAAGAUAAUAGAAUAGGAUAAUGUAAUGGAUAAAAUUUUAUUAUUUCAUUCUAGAAUAUAUCAUUGAAAUAGUAAAUCAUAAAUAUUACAUAUUCAUACUAUUUAAUAAAUAUACAAAUAUGGAAAUGAUAUAUGCUGGCAAUUUUGUUUCUUUUAAUGUUUGACCUUAUAAGUCUUUUUAGAUAGUGACUUACUCUUCAUUGAAGAUCAAGAGUUGUUGUUCGUCCAAUUAGGAAGUCAUAGUUAUGUUUAAAAAUGUUUGGCUUAUGGCAAGUUAGGCUCUCAAGAGGUAUAAAGAGAAACAAUGCCUUCUUAAUUAAAGAAAAAUGAUUUUUUAUGAAUAUUGAAAGAAAUAGGGGAUGCUCAAGUGGAAAGCAACACUCAAGCACUAGGAUCGCUCAAUUGCUAAGCAUUGUUUAAGUGCCCAAGGUGCUCAAACGAUGGUUAACUAUGCCCAAGGCGCUCAAGAUUUUUCUAUUGAGAUUUGGAAGAUAUUUUUGAGAAUUUCAUGCAAAUCUCAUUUGGAAACCUUAUGAUACCGAAUCUCUUCGGGAUAUUUGCCUAUAAAUAUCUCAUUAUAACCCUUCUAGGGUUAAAUAUUGGAGAGAUUUCGAAGAAGUCUCCUUGAGAGAAAGCAUAAUGAGCCACACCAUUCUCAAUCUCUCAUUCGAAGGAUUCAAGCAUUGAAUCUUAGGUUGAAGACCUUCAUCUCUUCAACAAGGUUGAAGAGUAUUUAUUGAAGCAAUCAAAAGUUGCUACAUCGCGAAUGUGGAUCAAGUUGUAGUUACUUGAAACUAAGUCUUUAGAGUAAAGUGGUCAAGUAAAUUUGUAUAACUUGAUCUCAAUAGUGGAUUUAGAUUAACAGUCCUAAACCUCAUGAUUUUUUAUAUCCACGGUUAGUGUGGGGGGUUUUCCACAUAAACAUCCUUAUGCUUGAUUGCAUAUCUUUAUUUUCUUGUUUGCAUUGCCUAUUAUGGAAAGAUUUGAUAAUUUUUAACUACUCGUAGGGAAAAGUUAGUUAUAAUAUAAAAAUAUUUAUUUAAAAUUUUUUAAUUACACCCAUUCACCCUCCUUCCCUCCCCUAGGUGUUACCCUAUUGAACUUCAGUUUUUCAAUUGGUAUCAGAGUGAGAUAAAAAUUGAUCUUUUACUAAUCAUAUUGAUUAAAAAUCAAAAUUUUAUUGAUAUUUCUGGAUAAAGAUCAAAAUUUUAUUAAUUACAUAGAAUAAAUUUUUAUUGAUCUUGUAAGUCCAAUAAGGAACAAUCAAAAUCUACGGCUUCUCUAAAUAGUCCACCUUACUUCGAUGGCAGUAACUAUUCUCAUUGAAAAGCCUAGAUCAAGUUUUUUCUUAAAAUGCAAGGUUAAUGGAUAUGGAAUUCAAUCAAAUAUGAAUAAGGACCCCCAUUGAUUAUUGAUGUCCAUGGAAGAUCAAUUGAAGAAUUAAAACCUAAACAAGCUAGAUUGGGGCAAAGCCAAUAAUGAAGGGAGUGAAGUCAAUGCUAGGACUUUAUUUAGUAUCUUUAAUGGAGUUUGUCCAUAUGAGUUUCACAAGAUAGCAAAUUUUACUCGUGGUAAGGAAGCAUGGGAUAUUCUUCAAGUCACCUAUGAAGGUACGUCCGUUGUUAAAAUUUCUAAAUUGUAAAUGCUUACUACUAAGUUUGAGAAUAUUAGGAUGCAUGAAAACCAUAACUUUUUUUUUUUAUGAACUAAGUGAUAUAAUUAAUUCUUCAUUUAACCUUGGAGAACCUGUUCUAGGUUCAAAGGUAGUAAGAAAAAUAUCAAGAUCCCUCUUAGAGAGAUUUAAACCUAAAGUUAUAGCCAUAGAGGAGAGUAAGGACAUUGAUUCGAUGAGAGUUGACAAACUUGUUGGCUCCAUACAGACAUAUGAGAUGACCUACCUAAUUCUCAAAGGCCUAAAGACUCUCUGCCUUUAAGGUUUUUGAGAAUAAGGAAAAAGAUACUGAAAUGACAUAUAAUAUAGCUAGGGAUAAAUUGGCUUAUAUGGCUAAAAGAAUUAAAAAGGUCAUGAAAUUCAAUAAAAAGUUUUUCAAAAAUCAAGAAUCUGGAAAAGAAAAAAGACCUAAUGAUAAAUCUUCUAAAGAAAAUGAUAAAGGUUCCUCCAAAGGUAAGAAAGUAGAAUGCUUUAACUGUGGUGGUCUAAGACAUUUUACCAUUGAUUGUCCUAGCCCUAAAAAUAUAAAAAAGUCUAUGUAGGCCACAUGGAGUGACAUUGAUUUUGAAGAAAGUGGUUUCACAACUUCUGAAGAUGCAAGGUAUGAUCCUAAUGACUUUUUAGCCUUUGUGGCAUCUAUGGAAUCUAUGCAUGAUAGUGAAUGUGAUAGUGAUAGUGAUGAUGAAUUCACAGAUGAUCAAAAGCUGUUUUUUUUUAAAUAACUUUGUUGUUAAACAUGAAAAACUAAUUAAGAAUUAUUUAAGAGACCAUGAUAUUCCUGAAGCUCACAAAACUAAGGUUGAUGUGCUAAACGAACAGAGUAUUAAUCUUCUUGAAAAAACAAAAAAUAGAUUUCUUGAGUUUGAACAUCAUUAUUUUCUUAACAAGAAUAAUGCUCUCUCAUUCAAGAGAUGAAAAGUAAUAAGUCCUCUUCAUCUACAAAUGAGAUCUUUCAACCUGGAACUAAAGUGUUUAAUGAAAUACUUGAUAAAUGUAAAACCUAUGGUAAUAAAAGAGGUUUGGGAUACAUUAAUAAAGAUGAAACUCUUUUUAGUGGAGAAACAAUUUUCGUAAAAGAAAACAAAGAAACCCUUAACCAAGUUGGAUCUCUUAUCCUUACAUUACUAUGCACACACUAAGAAAUAGGAUACACUCAAUAUAGGUGCUACAGUAAGUUCCUAGAGAGAUUUGAAUCUCAAAUGAGUAGGCUAAUGAAUGACUUUAAUUCCCUUGAAAAUAACAUGUUUCAAUAAUGGGAAAGGGAAUAAACCUAAUCAAAAGCCUAGAAAUCAACAAAUCUUCUCUAAGUCAUCACCUAGGAUUAAACAAGUUUGGAUGAGAAAAGAUUGGGAUAAAUGUUAGGUUGUCUUCACUACUCUUAAAGUUACGUCUUCUAGUGAGUGGUACUUCUAUAGUGGCUGCUCUAGACACAUGAUAGGAGAUAAGUCAUUUUUCACUUCUCUUGAGGAUUAUAAUGGUGGCACAGUUACCUUUGGGGGUGGAAGCUUAGCUCAUGUGAAAAGAAAGAAAAGUAUAUCUAUCCUAAUGUCCUAAAUUAGAUAGAGUUCUCCAUGUAGAUGGAGUAAGAUCAAACCUCCUAAGUAUUAGUUAGAUAUGUGAAAAUGAACAUAGGGUGAAUUUUUGUCAUGACUUAUGCAAGGUAGUGAAUAAAGAAGGAAACACUACUACAAAAAUAAUAUAUGAUGUCACUAUUUAUGGUGUCGCAUUUAAAAUAAUGACACCAUUGAACUUAAAAUUUAUAAAGGUGACACAUCAUAUAAAAAAUCUUCAAUUAGGAUAGUUAGAUGAUGCUAAUUUCAGAUUUACGGUGUCAUUUUUUGGAAGUGACACCAUAUGAAAUAAAAAGUUUUAAAUUUUAUAACUUAAUGGGCCCUUUUUAAAAAUAGUGAGUAGGAACAAUUUAUGAAAAGUCCAUUGUUUCCAUAUAUACAUUAACUAAUAUAAAAGAUCUUAUUGCUUAACCCUAACCAUCGUUUUCUUCUCCUUCUUCUCACACCCAUGGUCAGCACACCCAUAAUUGAUAUUCUUUGCUUCGUAAAAUCUCGGGUAAGUCAAAAUCUCUUAUCUAUCAUCUUCAUUUUUUUUAUUAAUGCAAAAAACUUUGUUAGUAUAAUUGUUUUAUAUCUCUUGAUUUAGUAUAUCUAUGAUGUGGGUUUUGUAAAUGGUGUUUUUUAUCGAGUUCCAAUGAAGUAAAAACUAGGUUUAACAUUCUAACAUAUUUUUUGUUUCAUUGCUAAUAAGCCCCAAAACAAAUGAAAACAAGAAAAAUGAAUUAUUUUUAAAAUUUUUGUCUAAUUGAGAAUGAGAGAUACACUAGUUUGUAGUAAUUUUUCGCAUGAAAUAGUAUUUUAUUGAAGACUUGACUAUAUUUGAUACUUUUUUCCACCGUGCUAGGAGCUUUUUGGUGAAAUCUAACAAUAGAGAUUGACAUCUACUACAAGAUGAUACUCAAUUAAUCCAAAAGCACUUAAGUUAUUUAGGGUUUUCUUCAGUUAACCUAAGAAAACAUUCCCACUUUCUUUGUAUUGAGUCACCUAAAUAGAAUAGAAUAUUGGGUAUCAGAGUCGUAAAGGGUAUUAUAAAUAUGACUUUUUUUUUAGAGUCACCUACGUGGAAUGAAUUAUUGGUAGGUGAACAAAAUAUUGGGGUGAUUGUAAUAGUUGAAUUAGUAAAUGGAAGAUAAGUGUAUGUUGCUUUGUUUAUUCUAUAAAAACAAUAAUUUUAGUAGUUGAAAUUUACAUGCUUUGUUGUUUUAUAAAAACAAUAAUUUUAGUAUUUGAAAUUUUAAAAUGUGAAUGAAAUGCCUGAAAAUAUGUUUUGAAAAAUAGGAUAGUAAUAAAUGGAAAAUAACUCAUUUCCUAAAAAUAUUUUGAUAAAUUAAAAUAAUAUGUGGUUAAAAUAUAUUUUUGUGAAAGUAUUUAAAAAUGAAUNNNNNNNNNNNNNNNNNNNNNNNNNNNNNNNNNNNNNNNNNNNNNNNNNNNNNNNNNNNNNNNNNNNNNNNNNNNNNNNNNNNNNNNNNNNNNNNNNNNNAAAAUAUUUUUGAAAAUAGAAAUAUAAAUGAUAUAGCUCAUUUCCUAAAAAUCUUUGAUAAAUAAAAUAACUGUAGUUAAAAUAUAUCUUAUGAAAGUAUUUAAAAAUGAACCAAUAUAUUUAUAAUUGUUAUUUGUUUAAAAAUAAUUUAAUAGUAAAAAAAUAAUACUGAGUUCAAAUAUGACUACUUUGUUAUGAGAUUCAUUAAAGAAAUAAUUGUUGAUUUUACAGUUAUUGCAUAAAAUGUUUUACUCGUUUAAUGAAUUGUACAUAAUUUCAUACUUUCAAUUAUUGUGAUAUUAAUGUUAUUCUCAUUUGAUUUCAGUUUGAUGACAAAUAAAACAUAUUCUCAAGUAGAAUUUGAUGAAAUUAGAGAAAAAUAGAUUACUUUUGUGUUAUAACUAAUCAUGAAUCAUAUUGAUGUAUCGUGAUCAUUCAUGGUAAGUCCCUUAGUUGUUAUAUGAUUGAAUUUUCCAUUGAUAUUGUAUAACAUUACUUAUUCUUUACGAACUAUUUUUAUACCAAAAUGAGAAAAAGGAAAAAGAAAAAGAAAACAUUAGUACUUAGAUUUGUUUAUUGUUUAUAACAUCACAUUUUUAUUUUCAAUAAGAACUCUAAAACUCAUUAAACUAUGAAAUGCAGGUAUACACUCUUGGGAGGACAAUAUGAAGAAUAAAAAGAAAGGCGAAAGAGGCAACAAGAUUUAGGUUUUUAGAUAUGUCUCUUAUGUCAUACAUUAUAGGACAUAAAUGUUACUUUAUUUGGAAUUGAGAAUUUUGGGUUUUUGGAUGCAACUCUUGUGUCUUUUUAUGGUUAGUCAGUUUUAUGCAUAUGAAAUGCAAGUAUAUAUGAAUGUUGGGAAGCUUAACAUUUCUAAAUCAUGUUUUAAUGUGUAUUCACUUUUCUUUUUUAGUUUUGGUGGGUUUGAUGUGUUUGAUGUACUAUCAUUUUGUGAACAUUUGAUAUACAAAUAUUAUUGGAUGAUGUAAUAUGUUACAAAUUAAUUCAUAAGCNNNNNNNNNNNNNNNNNNNNNNNNNNNNNNNNNNNNNNNNNNNNNNNNNNNNNNNNNNNNNNNNNNNNNNNNNNNNNNNNNNNNNNNNNNNNNNNNNNNNUAUAUUUUUGUGAAAGUAUUUAAAAAUGAAUCAAAAUAUAAAUAAUUGUUAUUUUGUUUGAAAAUAAUUUAGGAAUAUAAAAUAAUAUUGGGGAUAAUUUUUGAGUUUAAAUUGGGUUAUAAAUGGUUAAUUUUUUUAGGACUGUCCUUUUUGAAAAUAAUCCAAUGAUAAUUUUUUUAAAUAAGAAUGUUGAAAAUAAUUUUAAAAAUAAAAUUUUGUUGACAAUGAUUUUUCUAAAAGUAUUUUAGGCAUAAAUGGAAAUUUCUUGUAUGAAAAUAAGAGAAUUUAUAUAUAUAUAUAUAUAUAUAAUAGACAUAAAAAUAGACUUCUUUGAUAUUUAAUAAACAAGUGAAUUUUUCUCUAAAAAAAGAAUGAAAUAAGAAUUUCUCUAUAUAAUAAAAUAAUUUAUAUAUGAGAUAGUUUUCAAUAAGAAAGUUUUGAAAAUAAAUUUGGGAUAAAAUAUUUUUUAGUAAGUUUUGUUUAGAUAAUUCAAGAAUAAAGUGGUUUAUUAACUUUUCUUAAAAAAUAACAUUCUUCUUUCUUUUUUGAAUUGAUCAAUUUUUUUAGAAAUAAAAUUGUUAGAUUCUAUUUUUUGUAAAUGUUUAAGAAAUUCUAAAAAAUUCUUUAAAAAUGAAAUGACCUUUCUACCACAUUCCUUGUAAUAAAUAAUUGUUUUUUUUAUACAUAUUGUAAAGUAAAAAAAAAAAGUAUUUGUUUAGUUAACCUAAGAAGACAUUCCUACUUUUCUUUGUGUUGAGAGUCACCUAAAUGGAAUAAAAUAUUCAAUAUCAUAGGAGAGUAAAAAGUAUUGUAUAAAUGAUUUUGUUGAGAGAGUUAUCUAAAUGGAAUGAGAUAUUGGUAGGUGAAUAAAAUAUUAUGGUGAUUGUAAUAGUUGACUUAGUGAGUGGAGGAGAAGUGUAUGUUUCUUUGUUUAUUCUAUAAAAACAAUAAUUUUAGUAGUUGAAAACGUGUAUGAAAUGACUGAAAAUAUUUUUUGAAAAAUAAGAAAAUAAUAAAUGGAUAAUAGCUCAUUUCCUAAAAAUCUUUUGAUAAAUUAAAAUAACUUGUAGUUAAAAUAUAUUCUUAUGAAAGUAUUUAAAAAUGAACCAAUAUAUUAAUAAUUGUUAUUUUGUUUAAAAUAAUUUAUAGUAAAAAAUAUACUGAGUUCAAUAUGACUACUUUGUNNNNNNNNNNNNNNNNNNNNNNNNNNNNNNNNNNNNNNNNNNNNNNNNNNNNNNNNNNNNNNNNNNNNNNNNNNNNNNNNNNNNNNNNNNNNNNNNNNNNGCAACUCUUGUGUCUUUUUAUGGUUAGUCAGUUUUAUGCAUAUGAAAUGCAAGUAUAUAUGAAUGUUGGGAAGCUUAACAUUUCUAAAUCAUGUUUUAAUGUGUAUUCACUUUUCUUUUUUAGUUUUGGUGGGUUUGAUGUGUUUGAUGUACUAUCAUUUUGUGAACAUUUGAUAUACAAAUAUUAUUGGAUGAUGUAAUAUGUUACAAAUUAAUUCAUAAGCAUUAUGAAAAUAUAAGUUAAAUGUAAUAUGAUUAUUAUAUUUAUGGACAAUUUACACAGGUUAGUCUUAUUUAUUAAUAAGCAUUACAAAAAUCUACAAACUAAUCAAUAAAAAACAACCAUAUCUUCCAUAAUCAUUUACAAUGAUGUGACACCAUAAAUUAAAGGUGAUACAUUUAACGUGACACCAUAACUCAAAGAUGAUGCAUUUAAUAUGACACCUUAUAUAUCUCAUACAACUCUAUAUCAAAUUAAGCAUCACUAAAAAUAUAUGGUGUCUUUUCUGAAUGUGUCACCAUUUAUCUACUUUGGUGUCGCUUCCAAAUACGUCACCAAUUGAUACCCUCUAUGGUGUCAGUGGAUAAGGUGACGCUAUAUUGUAGUGACACCCUAUGUUUAUAGCGACUUAUUAUAAAUGUCACCAUAUAUUUUUUUCCUUGUAGUGAAAAGUCAUUAUCAUAGGACACAUGAAAGUUAACAACUCUUAUGUAAUAAAUUCUAACUCUAAAAGUGCACUAGGGCAAAGGUAGAUCUUACUGAACUCUAGUAUAGAAGGCUAGGUCACAAACUAUAGGGAUCUUGUACAUGUAGUGAAUAGUGAAAAAGUUAGAUGUGUCCUUAAACUAAGUGGUGAACCUAAACCCAUUUGGUAGUGAGUGUAUGAAAGGUAAACAAACUAAAAGUUCACACAAAAAGGUUAAAGAAAUUAGAAUCACUAGACCUUUAGACCUACUUCAUAUGGAUCUUAUUAGUCCCAUGUGUACUAAAAGUAGAGAUGGUAAGAGAUAUGUCCUAGUUGUUGUGAAUGAUUUUUCAAGAUACUCAUUUGUGAGUUUUCUUAGAGAGAAAUCAGAGACCAUAGAGCAUUUGAAGUCAUUGUUCACAAGAAUACAAGUGGAGAUAGGCCAUCCAAUUGUGAGGAUUAGGAGUGAUAGUAGGGAGAAGAGAGUUUGACAAUGUGGAUGUUGACCUCUUUUGUGAGUAAAAAGGUAUCAAACAUGAAUUUUCAGCCUCUAGAACUCCUCACUUAAAUGGAGUGGCUGAAAGAAAAAAUAGAGUGUUACAAGAAAUGGCUAGAGUGAUGAUUCCUACGCAUAAUACCCCUAUGCAAUUUUGGGUUGAAGCUAUAAAUACGACAUGUUAUACUACCAAUAAGAUUUUUCUUAGGCCUGCAACAAUGAAAACAUCUUAUGAAUUAUGGACUAGGAGAAAACCUAACCUUACGUAUUUUAGAACUUUUGGUAGUGAGUGCUACAUACUCAAGGAUGGGGAGAACCUAGGGAAAUUUAAUGCAAAAUUUGAUGUAGGUAUCUUCCUAGGCUAUUCUACUAAGAGUAAAGCCUAUAAGGUUUAUAAUCAAAAUUCACACAUUGUCCAAGAAUCCUCUAAUGUGGUUAUAAAUGAUAUUGGGUAUGAUCAUGAUGUAUUAAUUGAGAAUCAAAUUUUAACCCAAGAAUUAAUUGGGGAUAACCCUAAAAAUGUGGAGAUCAUAGAAGAUAACCCUAAUAAUAUCCCUAAAAGUAAAAUCAAACCCUAACAAGGAUGAAAAUUUAUCUCAAGAAGACACUAUUGAAGAAACAAGGAAUAAACAUAAAUCCAGAGUAGAAAAAAACCACCAUAUCUCAAAUGUUAUAAGUAACAUGAAUGAACGUGUGGUUACUAGAACAAAAUCAAGAUUAAAUGAGAUGUUGUAUGCUACACCUCCCAAUUGGAGCCAAAGAAUUAUAGAGGAAGUUUUAGGAUAUGAGUCUUGGGUCUAAAGAUAAGCAUGUCAGAAGUACAAAAUAAAUUUUAAAAAAUAUACAAAAUGAAAAUAGGGUCAUUGUGAGGAACAAAGUAAGAUUAGUAGCCCAAAGAUAUUCAUAGGCAGAGGGGAUUGACUAUAAAGAGACAUUUGCACCCGUAGCUAGAUUAAAAUCAAUUGGGAUACUUUUGGUCAUAGCAUGCUCCUUGAGGAUGAAGCUUUGUCAAAUGGAUGUCAAGAGUGCUUUCCUAAAUGGGAUUCUUCUUAAUUCAAACAUUAGGUUAGAAAUUAUGCAAAUUUCAUUAAAAUGAUUUUUCUUUACAUGACCAUUAUUCAAAACAUUAUUAAUUUUUUUAUAUAAAAAACUUCAAAUCAAUAGGAUUAGAUAGAAAAAAAAAAAACAAUUUGAAGCAUUUCUAAAAGAAAACCAAAUGCUUAUAUCCUUCUUGUACCAAUUUGAUACGUUUGAUGAUGAUUGACAUUGCCUUCAUUUCCUUUGGAAGAUUAUUUGUUUUUUUACUCUAUUUGUUGUGGAGUUUUCUUCAACUUCACUUGACCUUUCAUUCUCCUUCACCUGCCCUUGUUGUUGAGCUAAGCAUCAUCAAUUCUCUCUUCCAAUUGACUAGCUCAAAAUCAUCGUUGACAUAUUCUCAACCAAGAGAGUUAGAAGAAUAAAAAAUUAAGAAAUGCUCCAUCAUUGAUAUAAAUCAAGUUUUUGCCAAAAACUUUCUUUUGAUUUGAAAAAUCGAGCAUUUGCAUCCAAAUGACAAGUCCAAAGAUAAUAUUCAAAAAAAAUUCUUUAAAGAUGAUUUAUGCGUAAAAAAAAAAAAUUAUAUUUCACAUUAUCAACAUAUCUAUUUUAAAGUAUGAGAGGGACAACAUUACUUAAAAUUACCAAUUUCAAUUUUAUCCAAGGUAAACAUAUUCUUCUUUUUCAAGCAUGGAUUCCUACAAAACCAAAUAGAUAAUCAUUGGUACCCAUAUCUCCUUAGGUCCUAAACACUUAGUCUCUCAUUCCUUUAGAAUCUAAAAUGAUCUAGAGUUGAACAAUAUGAGAAGAUUUUCUUAAUGAACAAUUAUUACCAUAGUUUUAAAACCAACUGUCGACCAGCAGCCUUUCCGGUCCAAUCCUUUCUUUUGAGCCGAACACCCAUCGAACCAUUCUUAAGUUGCCUGAACAAGCUAAUGAGUUGGCGAACCAGAUGAACUAGGCUAUUUUGUAAUAACCGAAUAGUUCAAAACUCACUCUAUUUGCUACCCUUUUCUUUUUGGCAAAAUGUGGCCCAAAUUGCUUUUCGACGUGGAAUAACUGGAAUGAAUAUUUUAAAGAAAAAUUACAUUUAUAACUACAUGAGAAGAGCUUAAACCCCAAACCCCAAGUUAAAGUAAAGUCGACAACACCACUCUAUUACGCCCCAUUUGUUGUUAAAAUUGAUUAAAAAUAAAUAAGUAAAUUACCUAUGUUAUUUCAAAAAAAUAAUAUAUAUAUAUAUAUAUAUAUAUAACAAAAGCACCUCUACGAGGGGGUGCAACCCUUUGAAUGGACCGUAAAGGCUAAUCCUUGGAAAAUUUGGUUUUGGGUAUAUAUCAUCAUUAAGUUAGAUUAUUUUUAUUUAUGUUUCUAGAUUACACUCAAUGACAGUUUUUCAAGACUUAAUCAUUUAGGUAGAUUGUGUUUUCUAGAUCUAAUUGAAUAUAAAGUUAAUUGUUUUUUCCAAAAUUUGUUUUCUAUAUAUUAUCGUUAAGUCCAAAUUGAGUAAUAAAUACAUCACUUUUGAUAAAUUAAGUAAUACAACAUGACUCAUACCUAUUUUUCCUUUGAUUUUAUUUUCAAAUAAUAAAAAAAUAAGUUGACAAGACCUAUUUUGCCUUAAAUUUUAUUUUCGAAUACUAAAAGAAAAUUGACAUGAACUAUUUUUCCUUAAAUUUUAUUUUUGAAUAGUAAAAAAUAAUUUGACAUGAACUAUUUUUCCUUAAAUUUAUUUUCAAAUAGUAAAAAACAAGUUGAUACUAUACAUAAUAACCUAUCCUAUUUAUUAUGGUCAAUUCCAAAAUGAGUAAUAUGACAUCACUCAUGAUAAAUUAGGUGAUACAACACGAUAUGACCUAUUUUUUCUUAGAUUUUAUUUUCAAAUAGUAAAAAAACAAGUUGAUACAACCUAUUUUUCCAUAAAUUUUAUUUUUUGAACACUUAAAAACAAGUUAACAUGACUUAUUUUUCCUAAAAUUUAUUUUUGAAUAGUAAAAAACAAGUUGAUAUCAUAAUUACCUAUCCUAUUUAUUAUGGUCAAUUCCAAAUUGAGUGAUAUGAUAUACCCAUGAUAAAUUGGGUGAGACCACCUAUUUUUCCUUAGAUUUUAUUCUCAAACAAUAAAAUAAAAUAAAAAGUUGACAAGACCUAUUUUUCCUUAGAUUUUAUUUUUGAAUAGGAAAAAUAUAAGUUGACAUGACCUAUUUUUCCAUAGAUUUUAUUUUUGAAUAGUAAAAGAAAGUUGACACCACCUAGUUUUCCUUUAAAAAAAAAUGAACAAUAAAAAGCAAGUUGACACAACCUAUUUUUUCCUUAAAUUUUAUUUUCAAAUAGUAAAAACAAGCAGACACCACCUACAAGUUGACAUGAUUUAUAUUUCCUUAUAUUUUAUUUUCAAAGAGUAAAUCCAAGUUGACAUGAUCUAUUUUUCCUUAAAUUUUAUUUUUGAACAGUUUGCAAGGACUACCCUCUCCUACCUGUCUUAGAAUCUCAAGCCUUCAAAAGAAGUUAGAGAUCUAUGACUGCCCCAAGCUCCAAUCUAUAUCCUUGACAGAAGAGCAAUUGCCCCCCAACCUUUCUGUUCUAACAAUCCAGAAGUGCCCAUUGUUGAGAGGUCAGUGCAAAGUUUUGGACAAGGGAAGAUUGGCAUAAGAUAGCACACAUUCCACACAUUGUGAUCGAUGACCAAGUUUUGUAAUCAAGGUAGCAUUGCACCAAUUUUUAGUCAAGUAUUGGUUUUGUCCUGAAAGUAAUUUUCUCACGAAAACUUAUAUGCUUAAAUACCAAUUUUAAUUUGAACAAUUAUAAAUAGGAAAAAUAUGCUUUAAAUUUUCUAAUUAUUACAAUAUUUUCUUGCUUUCUUUCAAGUUAUCAAUAAUUCUUCACUCUUAUAAAUUGAUGCUUCAUAUCUUCGUAAGAAAUCUUCUUUUAAUCAAUAAUGUCUUAUUGAAUGCUUCAAAUUAUUAAGGAGCACAAUAUGCAUAUUGAACCAAAAUCCUUCAAGUUCAAGCUUUUAGGGAAAUUGGUAGUUCAAUAAGGUAUUAGAACUUGAUUUGCUAAGAGUCAUGAGUUCAAGCCACUUGCAAUAUGCAUGUUUGUUUCCCCUAUUUGUUUCUCAUCUCCCCCUUUGCAAUUCUUCAAUAUAUCUAUCCCCCAAUUUACAAUCCUUUAGUAUCUCUCUCCCCCAAUUUACAAUUCUAUGGUAUCUCUCCACAUGAGGGAGAGGGUUAAGGAGCAUGAUAUGCAUAUUGAACCCAAAUCCUCCAAACUUAAGCUUUUAGAAAAAUUGAUAGUUCUACCAAAAAGUCAAGCAAUUCUACAUGUCUGGUUUCAUAACUCGUGUUUCUUGUAUAACUUUAUGGACCUUGAAUUUGUAACUUGUGUUUCUUGAAUUCGUUUUCAUUGGCUAACUCACUGAAACCUCAUGGCAGUCCUUGGAUCCUAGUUUUCUCAACAAAUUCGAGUGGUCUAGCAUAUUUUUUUUAGCAUCCAAAGACCCAUGAUUGAUACACUUCUUGAGGAACUAGAGAAAGCUCAACUAUAUUGGAGACUGCAGUAUGCAACAUGUUCUAUGAUUCCAAUUAGUAAGACAUUUCAAUUCCUUUAUUUUAACUUUCUAAGCUACAAACUAAAAAGAUUUUCAAUCCCAUAUGCAUUAUUUUUAAGAUUCUUUGUGUUAAUAUCUUAGAUCUUCUCUAGAAUCAACAGGUAUGUACCUUAUGAUUCAUACUUUUCAUAAAGAAAAUUGUCAAAAAUUUAAUUUUCUUUUCUUUAACUUUUUCAUGUAGAAUCAAACAAGAAUUUUUUAUAUAGAUAAUUUUUACUAUGUUUUUUUUCCUUCUCUUUUUUCUUUAUGAUUUUUUUCCUUCAAAUUUUUAAGAAAUAAAAAAUUAUCUGACUUACAUUUAUAAAAUGUAGUCAUAUAGUAUAGUAUAAUGUUGUGUGGGCUAUGAGUUGAUAUGAUAUUCUUAAGGCCUUAGCUCAUGACCAAUAUGCAAGUUUAGUUUGAAUCAGAUUUUCUAAUGUACUAUAUCCUAGAUAGUCUUUUCUGAUGAUAAAAAUUCAAAUCUUUCUAGAAAUUUUAUUAUUUAAUGUGGAUGCGUAAACUUUGAUUUGCAACUUUGAAAAUUUAAGGCAAUUGUUGAAUAAAGGUGUGAUACGUUUGUUUUUUUAAUUAAAAAAUAGAUAAUAUAAAACUCUUAUAAUAAAAAAGAUUAAAUUUCUAAAAUCCAUAUCUAAUCCCCAGAUUCACAGUCGUCAAUCUAGAUUGACGUAACCAAUUGGCAUGCUAGAAUUUCACUCAUUUGGACACUUUUAUUAUUAAUUACGUACUAACAUGUUAAAGUCAAUGACAAUAAUCUAAUUUAGUCCACUCUUUUAUGCUAUUCUAAGAUUUCAUCCUCAUUCAUGGAGAAAGAAUAAAAAGGUGUUCCUUUUAACUUAACAAACCAAGAAUGACAAGCAUUUAGACAUUGUGCUCUCAAAAACACCAAGAUAUACCAAUCCAUUAAUGGUCUAAAAUCAACUUCACAAAUGACAAAUAUAAGCAACCAUAAAUCACUCAUUAUAAAAAAUGUUAAAAGAGAUAAAUCAAAAGUGAUUGUAGGUUUGUAAUGUUAGGUCCAACGGAGUAAAAAUUCUCAAGGUCUCAACUCAUGCCAAAUAUGCAAAUUUUGAUGGAAUUAAUUAGGAUGUCUCAACUUUUUCUUUUCCUUUUCUUAGGUUGGAUUUAUAUUGGUUGAUAGUGAUUCUAUUUAUCUAUUAAUAAAAAGUUUACUUUUUAAAUCUAAACUAAAAGUACAUUAUAUUUAUUAAUCUAUAGCAUUAUAAAAGUUUGAAAAAUCUUUAGGGUAACAAUAUCCAUAUUAUGUUCAUUCAUAUCUCAAAUAUUAAAGCUAUAUUAAAACUAUUAACAUUGUAAAUAUGAAUACUUAUUCUUAUAUAUUCUUAAAUAAGAUAUUGAUAGAUAGUGACUAAGUAUAUCCCGAACAAAUACUAUAAUAAUGUGUAAAAUAAAUAUAACAUGUGUUUAUUUUAUAGAAAAGUAUGAUUUAUAUAUAAUUUCACAUAUUUUAUAGGAUAUUUCUUUUCUAAAAAUGAGCUAUCUCCUGCUGAAACAUCAAUACCAAUUCUGGAAAGGGGAAGAUUGGCAGCAUAUAGCUCACAUUCCACGCAUUGUGGUGGACGAUCAACAAGGUUCUUAUAAUGUGCUAUAAAUGAUUUUUCUUCAAAAGGCAGUAAGUUGUGAUCGAAACUUUCUAGUCAUAUUGUUUUCUUCCAGCUUAGUACAUGCUUUUUCACUCUGGGGUUUAAUCCUUUGGCAAUACUUUCUAUUAUCAUGAUUGCCUCUAAUUAACCAUAAACUUAACUAUUUUUUAUAUCGGCUGUAUCCAAUCUACUCGUAUCACAGCUCUAUAAAUUUUCUUCCCUGCUACUUUGCGUAAGGUUAUGUUUGAUUUCUCGGAAAGUACUAAGAAAAGGAAAAAAAAAAAUGCUAAAAAUCGGAGGCUUACUAUCACAAACAAUCAGAGGCUUACUCCAAUCAAUUAAUGAGGGCAAACUAAUGAUACAUGAAUGAGUUUCUUCUAACUCAACAACUUAAGUUUAGGUAAAUUUCAGGCUCUAAUAGGCAUCUCCACUUUAGUCACAGCUUGUUUGGUAGCCUCUCCUAGUACUCAAAGAUAGACUCAUAAAGGAAGAAAAAAGAACUCAACCUCAUAAAUGAGAAGUAAGAAUUGAAAAAUCCAGGGAAACAAGCAAGCUAGAGCAGCAAGAGAAGAAUGGAGGCUAUCAAGAGGACUGUCCGGUCCUAUGCUGAGGAAAGAACAAAACUUGGACAACAUGCUUUGUGUUGCAGUUAAUACGGCAUAUACCCUUUGGGCUUGGACAACACUAAUUCUGGUCGGAAUAGGCAGGCCUAGGUUGGUGGGAAGGGUCUUGUCUCAGUGGAAGGGCCAAUGCUAGCAAGCCUGGCCCGAAGCUUGUUUUUCCUUUCUUGUUUUUUUGUCUCGGUCGGAAGCUUCUCUUUUUUAAGAAUGGGUUCCACAAUUGACACUGCCUAUCCGCUAGGUGUGCUGAAUGGUCAGCCGGCCUUAUCAGGAAUCUUGCAUAUUAUACUCUAAUUGUCGCAACUUGAAUAAAGUGACAACCCCAAAGGUCUUAUCCUUUCAAUAUUUUACAUAUUGUUUUCUUCCAGCUUAGCAUUACUUUCUAUUAUCAUGACUGCCUCUAAUUAACCAUAAACUAGCUAUUUUUUAUAUCGGCUUUUCCAGUAGUUGUGCUAAAUGGUCAGCCGGCCUUCAGGAAUCUUGGAUAUUAUACUCUAAUUGUCGCAACUUGAAUAAAGUGACAACCCCAAAGUUCUUAUCCUUUCAAUAUUUUACAUAUCAGAUAGGUGAUUUUGUUAAUAUAUAUAUAUAUAUAUAUAUAUAUUAUUAUUAAGAAUGGGUUCCACAAUUAACACUGCCUAUCCACUAGGUGUGCAUCUUAUACUCUAAUUGUCGCAACUUGAAUAACGUGACAACCCCAAAGGUCUUAUCCUUUCAAUAUUUUACAUAUCAGAUAGGUGAUUUUGUUAAUAUAUAUAUUAUAGACUAUUGAAGGGCAGGUUUAAUCCCUACCACUCAUAUUUUGUUUUUGGCAGCCAAAUUGCAAGUCACAUGACUGAGAGUUCUUGCUCACUAGUUAAUAUUUUUUUCUUUACUGGCCCUUGUGUUUGGUUAAGAAUGGCGAAGUUGUGAUAGGUCCCAAUCAGUACAAGCACAACAAACACAAAGAAAGUAUUCUCUUUGGGUGAGAAUGAACCACAAAUUCAUUAACUUCUCCUCUCCCUUUUCCAUUCUCUUCUUUCCAAAGUUAUACAUCAAAGAAACAACUGAAAUGAAGCUAAUGGUGUCCGAGUCUGUAGGAGACUCAUUCACCCACUACCCAUGACUUGCAGUCGUGCUAAUAACUGCCCUAAAACAAAAGUAAACCAGCAAAUACAAUAAAAGGAAAUGAUGCUGAAGUAGGAAAAAUGGGCUUGGCUUCUGAACAUGGACAUCAGUCCAUAUAGCGUGAGUUGGGCCUCAGGGUCCGACAGGAUCUUCUAGGCUUAUCAUUGCCCACCCCAUGAAGAGGAUGCUUGUCCUCAAGCAUCAGAUGAGGAAACUGGUGGCAAAGAGUAUCCGUGGACUCCCAGGUGACUUCUUCGUGGGGUAGAUGCUUCCAAUGCACCAAGCUUUCUUCCAUGAAGGUGUCACCCCGCUUAAUCCAUCGUGUAUCAAGUAUCUGUUGAGGUUCAAGGGUUAUGACACCAUUAUCUGCAAGUGGAGGUAAGUCAAGUGGAGUGACAGCUGGAGUGCCAUUGUAUGGUUUAAGCAAAGAGACAUGGAACAUGGGGUGAAUUCGAGCUAUAGGUGGCAAUUGCAGGCGGUAUGCUACUGCUCCGAUUUUCUCCAAAAUAGGAUAGGGUCCAUAGUAGCGGCUGGAUAAUUUUUGAUGAGCUCGUUUGAAGACUGUUUGCUGACGAUAUGGACGGAGCUUUAAUAGGACUUGAUCACCAACUGCGAACUGGAUAUCUCUUCUCUUGGAGUCGGCUUAUUGCUUCAUUCGGUUCAUGGAAAUCUCUAAAUUUGUCUUGAGUUGGUGGAGCAGCUCGUCACGAUGCAGGAGCGUUUGAUCCACUUCAUGAACUGGGGAAAGGCCCUCCGGAUAGGCUGGGAUAAGUGGUGGAAGGCGGCCAUAAAGAGCUUGGUAAGGUGUCAUUUUUGUUGAGGCGUGGUAGGUGGUAUUGUACCAAUACUCUGCCCAAGCGAGAUAAGUACUCCAUUUUCGCGGCCAUUGGUGAACGAAGCAGCGCAAAUAUUGUUCAACACAGCGGUUAACAACUUCAGUUUGGCCGUCUGUUUGUGGAUGGUAAGCUGAACUGAGCAUGAUUUUGGAGCCGAAGAGUUUGAAGAAUUCUUGCCAGAAUUUGCUGAUGAAGAUUGGGUCGCGAUCACUGAUGAUGGAGCGUGGCAUUCCAUGGAGUUUGACAUUUCCCUCAAUAAAGUUUUCUGCAACAACUUUGGCCGUAAAUGGGUGAGUUAAGGGAAUAAAGUGGGCAAACUUACUGAGCCUAUCAAUGACCACCAGAAUUGUGUCUUUGCCAUGAGAAGUGGGCAACCUUUCAAUGAAGUCGAGAGUGAUGUCCUCCCAAACCUGUGCAGGAAUUGGUAAGGGCUGUAAUAAUCCCGCCGGUGCCUUGGUCUCUGGUUUAAUGCGUUGACAUACCUCACAUUUCUGGACAUACUCUUGAACAACUUUAUGCAUCUUUGGCCAAUAAAAUUGUUGCUGCAAUCUUCUAUAAGUUCGAAGGAUCCCCGAGUGCCCUCCAACUUUAGAAUCGUGAACUUCAUACAACAAUUUAGCCCUUAAAGAGUGAUCAGCAGGCACCACAACCUUCCCUUUGUAAAGCAGCAAACCAUCACGCCAAGUCAAGUUGCCAUGAGGAGGAUCACCCGCCUUUUUUCCCAAAAGCUGCACAUAGGAAUCUGAUUUAGAGGCCUCGCGGAUCUGCUUCCAAAUAUCCACCUCCGAAAAAUGAAGAGCAGCCAAUAAUGGGCUUUCUUGCCGCCUAGAUAAAGCAUCUGUAGCAGAGUUUUCACGACCCGGUCGAAAGAUGAUUUCAUAAUCGUACCCCAGUAAUUUGGCCACCCAUUUUUGCUGCUCCGGAGUUGCAACACGCUGAUCUAAGAAAAAUUUGAGGCUUCGUUGAUCGGUUUUGAUGUAGAAUUUGCGGCCAAGUAAAUAUGGUCUCCACAUCCGUAUUGCUUCCACGAUGGCUAGCAUUUCCUUUGCAUAGAUUGACCAAGUUUGCUUAGUGAUUCCCAAGGCUCGGCUCAUAUAGGCAAUUGGUCUAUUUUGUUGAGUUAGAACAGCGCCAAUUUCGUUUCCCGAUGCAUCCGUUUCAAUGUGAAAGGUUCGGAAAAGUUUGGCAUGGCUAGUGUGGGGAUGGAUGUCAUGGCUUGUUUCAAAGCUAAGAAAGUCGCUUCCGUUUCGUCAUUCCAUUGAAAAUUCCCUUUUUUGAGGAGGUUAGUUAAUGGUCGAGCUAUUAAUCCAUACCCUUGAACAAACUUGCGGUAGUAGCCGGUGAGGCCUAAGAAUCCAUGGAGCUCGGUAAUGUUGGAGGGUCUUGGCCAAGCAACCAUUGCUUCAAUUUUCUUUUCAUCAACUUUGACUCCACGAUGUGUAAUUAUGUGGCCCAAAUACUCUAGCUCUUGUUUGCCGAAUGCACAUUUGCUCAUCUUGACGUAGAAUUGGUGUUGCCGAAGGACGGCUAAUGUAAGUUGGACAUGCUCCAAGUGCUGCUCCCAUGUCGGACUGUAAAUUAAAAUGUCAUCAAAAAACACCAAGAUGAACUUCCGCAAAUACGGUCGAAAAAUCGAGUUCAUUAUUGCUUGGAAUGUAGAUGGUGCGUUGCAUAGCCCAAAUGGCAUAACCAAGUACUCAUAGUGGCCAUUGUGAGUGCGGAAAGCAGUUUUAGGAAUAUCAGGGGUGCUAACUCGUAUUUGGUGGUAUCCUGCCUUGAGAUCCAGCUUAGUAAAAAAUGCAGCUCCGUGUAACUCAUCAAGCAUAUCAUCUACUGUUGGAAUUGGGAAACGAUCCUUUACGGUGGCAGCGUUUAAUGCUCGGUAGUCUGUGCAGAAUCGCCAUGUGCCAUCUUUUUUCUUCACUAGCAGUACUGGAGAAGAAAAGGGGCUAGUGCUUGGUCGAAUCAACCCUGCAUUGAGCAUGUCUCGAACCUGAUUUUCAAUCUCAGUUUUUUGGAAAUAUGCGUACCUAUAUGGCCUCACAUUAAUAGCUUCGGUUCCGUCUUUGAGUGGUAUUUUGUGAUCAAUUUCGCGUGUUGGUGGUAACUUGGUAGGCGCAGCAAAGACAUCUGAAUAUUCCUCCAGCAAUGCCUGCAUAUCUGAUGAGAGUUCCUCAUUGUUCUGUUGUCCUUCGAGCUGAACAUAUAAAGCAAACACAGCUUGUCGUUGUCGAAAGUCCUUAGUGAAGCCCUGCAAUGUGGUGUCUUGGAUCGGUGGAAUUUCAAUUCCCUGGAGUUUCUUAGGCUGUUGCUCCCAGAUGAAGUCCAUGGUUCGCUUUUUCCAAUCACAAACCACUGAACCCAACGUCUCUAACCACUGAAUGCCUAGCACCAUAUCCAAACCAUUUAAGGGCACAGAAAAGAAGUCGAGGUGGAACUCAUUACCUUGUAAAUUAACCGUGAGCUUCUCAUAUUUCCCUUUACAAGAUAAUCUUUCCCCAUUGGCAACUCGGACAGUAAACGGUGUUGUGGGCUUCACGGGCAAACGAAGCGUUUCGGCUACUCGGUCACUGAUGAAAUUAUGAGUGGAUCCACUAUCGAUUAAGGCAACCACCUCAUGCGCUCCAAUAAUUGCCUUAAUUCGCAUUGUUCUCGGUACAAUCCAUCCAGUUAGUGCAUGUAGAGUGAUCUCGGGCUCCUUUCCGUUGUCAUCUUCCUGAAUCUCGGAUAUUUCCCUUGUCGUGUUUACCCCUCCCAUUUCCUCUGGUGUUUCAUCUUCCUGUAUACAGCCCUCUAGGAGCAUCAACUGUGGUGCUUGACACUUGUGUCCAGGGGUGAACCUUUCAUUGCAGUUGAAACAUAAUCCUUGAGCUCUACGUUUCUGCAUCUCAUCCCAUGACAGCCUUUUGAUUGCCACUUGUGUGGAACCCUUGGGAGGAUUGGGGUUACUUACAGGAACAGAAGCUUGUAAGGCACUCGGCCGUGCGAAUCGCCUCUGUCUCGCAAGCUGAUCGUCCCUCAUUUUCGCCAAGCUAAUUGUCUCUUUCACAGAUUGAGGCUUGAACAUUCUUAUUCCAUCAGCUACCUCUGGUUUCAAGCCUCCCAUGAACGUACCCACAAGAGCCUUUUGGGUCCAUCCACGAACUCGAUUCCCAAGCCGUUCAAAUUCCCGUUGAUAGUCUCGCAAUGUUCCCGUCUGUCUCACUCAGGAUAGCGCUUCGUCGAAGUCUUCAGAAUCAGGGGGUCCAAAACGAGCCCUUACUUCAUCUUCGAAGGCUUCCCACGGGAUACUCCCCUGUCCUUCAGCGAAUGCCUUUCGGAACCACUGCCACCAUUGAUUCGCCUCGCCUUUGAGGUGGAACGAAGCUAGACGCACCUUUUGAUCAGCGGCUAUCUCUUGAAACUCGAAGAACUGGUCCACACGAUUGAGCCAUUCCGUUGGGUCAUCUCCAGAAAAUCUUGGAAAUUCCAACUUUGCAAUCUUGGAAGAAAAUGGCCGGAUGUUUUCGCCGGUAUCUCGGUUGGUUCGGUGGGGUCCUUCUUGCUGAUAAUUAUUAUGGCUAGGUGAUCCUCUGCUUGAGAGGAAUGCUUCAGAUAGUUGUUUUGCAAUAGUUUCUUCUAGUCGUUGGAUCUUGUCGGUGAUUCCCACCUCCAUUCGCUGCAUUCCUUCUUGAACUCCUCCAAGCUUCUCCUCUAGAAGCUCGAUCCGUUCCUUGUUUGUCGUCAUGAACCUGCUCUGAUACCAAUGAUAGGUCCCAAUCAGUACAAGCACAACAAACACAAAGAAAGUAUUCUCUUUGGGUGAGAAUGAACCACAAAUUCAUUAACUUCUCCUCUCCCUUUUCCAUUCUCUUCUUUCCAAAGUUAUACAUCAAAGAAACAACUGAAAUGAAGCUAAUGGUGUCCGAGUCUGUAGGAGACUCAUUCACCCACUACCCAUGACUUGCAGUCGUGCUAUUAACUGCCCUAAAACAAAAGUAAACCAGCAAAUACAAUAAAAGGAAAUGAUGCUGAAGUAGGAAAAAUGGGCUUGGCUUCUGAACAUGGACAUCAGUCCAUAUAGCGUGAGUUGGGCCUCGGGGUCCGACAGGAUCUUCUGGGCUUAUCAAGUUGCAGUGCGUUUCAUAUCAUAAACCGAAAUUCCACAGUUUGGUUUGCAUCUGCUUAAGUAUUUGUUUGCCAUAUGUUCAAUAAUGUGGACAUACCUGUAGGGUAGGGUAGGGUAGGUGGAAAAUAUUCUUCUUUGUUUAUGUGGACAUUUGGACCAUUAGUAGAGUAACUGACAGGCCAUGUUCAUCUGCCUCUUUAUUGUAUCCAAGGGCCUCCCUAUUUGGUGACAAGGUUCUUCGUUGUUGACCAAAACUACUCUGCUUGAUUUGCAUCUGCUUUCAUUCAUUUUUCUUUGAUCCUGUAUUCACUUCCCUUGCAAACCAACAGACAUGGUCGGGGCUAUAGUAGGAGGAGCAUUUCUCUCCGCUUCUAUCCAAGUUCUACUUGACAGGUUGGCUUCUCGCAAUGUCCUCACCUUCCUCCGGGGACAGAAACUCAGUGCUACGCUCCUAAGGAAGUUGAAGAUAAAAUUGGUGGCAGUUCAGGCAGUGCUCGAUGACGCUGAGGCCAAGCAAUUCACAAAAUCAGCUGUAAAAGAUUGGAUGGAUGACCUGAAAGAUGCUGUGUAUGAUGCAGAGGACCUGUUGGAUGAGAUAACCACUGAAGCUCUACGCUGCAAAAUGGAGUCUGAUGCUCAAACCAGCGCAACUCAGGUACGUGACAUCACCUCUGCCUCGCUUAAUCCGUUUGGUGAGGGAAUCGAGUCCAGGGUAGAGGAGAUCACUGACAAACUAGAAUUUCUUGCACAAGAAAAAGAUGUUCUGGGAUUGAAAGAAGGCGUUGGAGAAAAAUUGUCACAAAGAUGGCCCGCGACUUCCUUGGUAGAUGAGUCUGGGGAGGUGUACGGAAGGGAAGGUAAUAUACAGGAGAUAGUUGAAUAUUUAUUGUCCCAUAAUGCAAGUGGGAAUAAGAUAAGUGUGAUCGCCCUGGUGGGUAUGGGCGGUAUUGGAAAGACCACACUUACUCAACUGGUCUAUAAUGAUAGGAGGGUGGUGGAAUGUUUUGACCUUAAAGCUUGGGUUUGUGUUUCCGAUGAAUUUGAUCUUGUCAGGAUAACGAAAACCAUUCUUAAGGCAAUCGAUUCUGGGGCUUCUGAAAAAUAUUCUGAUGAUAGUGAUUUGAAUCUGCUUCAACUUAAAGUGAAGGAGAGACUUAGUAAGAAGAAAUUCUUACUUGUCCUUGAUGAUGUUUGGAAUGAAAACUAUACUAAUUGGCAUAUGCUACAAACUCCAUUGACGGUUGGUCUAAAUGGAAGUAAGAUUAUUGUGACUACACGUAGUGAUAAGGUUGCAUCGAUCAUGCGUUCAGUUCGUAUUCAUCAUUUGGGACAGUUAUCCUUUGAGGACUGCUGGUCGCUAUUUGCAAAACAUGCAUUUGAAAAUGGAGAUUCUAGUCUACAUUCAGAACUAGAAGAAAUUGGCAAAGGGAUUGUAAAGAAGUGUAAAGGAUUGCCUUUGGCUGCAAAGACCCUAGGGGGUUCCUUAUACUCAGAGUUACGAGUAAAAGAAUGGGAAAAUGUGUUGAAUAGCGAAAUGUGGGAUUUACCGAAUGAUGAAAUUCUCCCCUCCUUAAGGUUAAGCUAUUCUUUUCUUCCUUCACAUUUAAAGCGGUGUUUUGGAUAUUGCUCAAUUUUUCCUAAGGACUACGAAUUUGAAAAGGAAAAUUUGAUUCUAUUAUGGAUAGCAGAAGGUUUUUUGCAACAAUCUGAAGGCAAGAAAACAAUGGAAGAGGUAGGUGAUGGGUACUUUUAUGACCUAUUAUCAAGGUCAUUUUUUCAGAAGUCUAGUACCCAGAAAUCAUAUUUUGUAAUGCAUGAUCUCAUCAAUGACUUGGCUCAGCUUGUUUCCGGAAAAUUUUGUGUUCAAUUGAAGGAUGGUAAGAUGAAUGAAAUUCUUGAAAAGCUUCGACACUUAUCAUAUUUUAGAAGUGAAUAUGACCACUUUGAGAGAUUUGAGACCCUUAAUGAAGUUAAUUGUCUGCGGACCUUCUUGCCAUUGAAUUUGAGGACUUGGCCUCGGUUUGACAAGGUUUCAAAGAAUAGAAAUCUAAAUGCUACUAAGUAUAUUGUAGAUUUUCAGUUGAGUAAUAGAGUUUGGACUGGUUUAUUAUUGAAAGUUCAAUAUUUACGAGUAUUAUCAUUGUGCUACUAUAAGAUAACGGAUUUGUCUGAUUCAAUUGGUAAUUUGAAACAUUUGCGCUAUUUGGACCUUACCUACACACUUAUCAAAAGGUUACCGGAGUCGGUUUGUAGUUUGUAUAACUUACAAACAUUGAUAUUAUACCGUUGUAAAUUUCUGGUUGAAUUGCCUAAAAUGAUGUGCAAAAUGAUUAGCUUACGUCAUCUUGAUAUCAGGCAUAGCAAAGUGAAAGAGAUGCCAAGUCACAUGGGUCAAUUAAAAAGUUUACAAAAAUUGAGUAACUAUAUAGUGGGCAAGCAAAGUGGGACAAGGGUUGGAGAGUUGCGGAAGCUUUCCCACAUUGGUGGGAGUCUUGUCAUUCAAGAGCUGCAGAAUGUGGUUGAUGCUAAGGAUGCCUCAGAAGCCAAUUUGGUAGGCAAGCAAAAUCUGGAUGAGUUAGAGUUGGAAUGGCAUUGUGGCAGUAAUGUUGAACAAAAUGGAGAAGACAUAGUGCUCAACAACUUACAACCUCAUUCAAACUUAAAGAGACUCACUAUUCAUGGUUAUGGUGGUUCAAGAUUUCCAGAUUGGUUAGGUCCUUCAAUUCUGAAUAUGUUGUCGCUACGUCUCUGGAAUUGUAAGAAUGUGUCAACCUUUCCACCGCUUGGGCAGCUACCCUCUCUUAAACAUUUAUAUAUAUUGGGGUUGAGGGAGAUAGAAAGGGUGGGAGUUGAGUUUUAUGGCACUGAGCCCUCCUUUGUAUCCCUAAAAGCUCUAUCAUUUCAGGGUAUGCCAAAAUGGAAGAAAUGGUUGUGCAUGGGAGGCCAAGGUGGAGAAUUCCCCCGUCUCAAGAAGCUUUAUAUAGAGGAUUGUCCCCGGCUAAUUGGGGACUUCCCAACCCAUCUGCCUUUCUUGAUGACAGUACGGAUUGAAGAAUGUGAGCAGCUUGUGGCUCCACUUCCAAGGGUUCCAGCCAUCCGUCAAUUGACGACGCGCAGCUGUGACAUCUCACAGUGGAAGGAACUACCACCACUACUGCAGUAUCUCUCAAUUCAAAAUUCCGACUCUUUGGAGUCCCUACUAGAGGAGGGAAUGUUGCAAAGUAAUACUUGUCUUCGAAAGUUGAGAAUCAGAAAAUGUUCUUUUUCGAGACCGUUGUGCAGAGUUUGUUUGCCUUUUACAUUGAAAUCAUUAUCUAUAGAGGAGUGUAAGAAACUAGAGUUUCUCCUACCUAAGUUCUUAAAAUGUCACCACCCUUCCCUUGCCUAUUUUGGGAUCUUCAGUAGUACUUGCAAUUCUCUCUCAUCCUUCCCGCUCGGCAACUUCCCAAGUUUAACUUACCUCAGUAUCUGCGAUCUCAAGGGGCUUGAAUCCCUCUCCAUUUCAAUUUCAGAGGGCGAUGUUACAUCUUUUCAUGCGUUGAACAUCAGAAGGUGCCCUAACCUUGUGUCUAUUGAAUUGCCAGCUCUCGAGUUCUCACGAUAUUCCAUCCUCAAUUGCAAGAAUCUCAAGUGGCUGCUGCACAACGCUACAUGCUUUCAGUCAUUAACAAUAGAAGGUUGUCCUGAAUUGAUAUUCCCAAUACAAGGUCUGCAAGGGCUGUCCUCUCUUACCUCUCUCAAAAUCUCAGAUCUUCCAAAUCUCAUGUCCCUUGACAGUUUGGAGCUUCAACUGCUCACCUCUCUUGAAAAAUUAGAGAUCUGUGACUGCCCCAAGCUCCAAUUCUUGACAGAAGAGCAGCUGGCCACCAACCUUUCUGUUCUAACAAUCCAGAACUGCCCAUUGCUGAAAGAUCGGUGCAAGUUUUGGACAGGGGAAGAUUGGCAUCAUAUAGCUCACAUUCCACACAUUGUGAUCGAUGACCAAGUUUUGUAAUGAAAGUGGCAUUACACCAAUUUAUAGUCAGGUACUUGUUCUGUCCUAGAAAUGAUUGUCUCAGGAAAACUAACAUACUUAAAUACCAAUUUUGAUUUGAUCCAUUAUAAAUAGGAAAAAUAUGCUUUAAAUUUUCUAAUUAUUAAAACAAUUUUUUGCUUUCUUUCAGGUCAUCUGUGAUGCUUCACUCUGGCUCUGAUCAACGUAUCUUCAUAAGGAAUCUUUUAAGACUCCCUUCCUUAAUUAGUGCCUUGUCAAAUGCUUCAGAUUUCAUUUAGAGUGAAUUGAUGCUUAAAAGCCAAGCAGCUCUGCAGGUCUGAUUUUGUAAAUUGUGUUUCUUGUAUAAUUUUAUGGACCUUGGAUUUGUUUUCAGUGGCUAAUUUGCUGAAAUCUGAUGGCAGGCCUUUGAUCCUUGUUCCCUCAACAAACUCUAGCUGUCUAGCAAUGAUUUCCAAAGGGACCAUUUUUUUGUUGAGUGUUCUGGUUCAUGACUCUCUUUUUGGACAACAGUAGCCGAGAUUUUUUGCACCCAAAGAAUCAUGAGUUGAUACUCUGCUGGAGGAACUACAGAAGCUCAGGUCUGUUGGAGAGUGGAGCAUGCAGCAGGCUCUAUGAUUCCAAUUAGUGAGACAUUUCAAUUGCUUUGGUUUAACUUUCUAAGCUACAAAUUACAAUACUUAUAAUCUCAUAUGCAUUAUUUUUCAGGUUCUUUGAGGUUGCAUCUGUGUUGAUAUCUUAGUUCUUCUCUAAAAACAACAGGUCUGUUUCUUUUGAUUCAUACUUUUCAUAAGCUGACACAUUGUGGAGUUCCAUCAUUUUCAACACCAGAUAAACCUAAUACUAAAUUCUACUGAAGCUAAAACAAAAAUCUUACUGCCUGAGGUUCUGUCUUUCAUGCAUUUUAUUCACUAUGUUCAUAUGGCAUCUAAGCAACCUAGACAUUAACAUUUUCCUUAGUCUACAUACUGUUUUCAUCUCUUUCAUCUUUGAUUAAUCUGCAGAUGUUCAGUUCAGGCACCUCAAACUCAAAAUCUUCAGCUUCUGUCAUGCCAUCUCCUUCUCAUUUACAUGAUUGUCAUCCACCUUUGAGCUUUACUUUGUUAAUGGUAAGAUAGUCAUAAUAGUACUACAAUAGUUGAGCAUGGAUGGAGAACAAUGCAUGCUUUCAGUCUUUAACAUUACAUGGUUGUCCUGAAUUGAUAUUCCCAAUGCAGGGUCUUCCCUCCAACCUAAAUUCACUUACAAUGACAAACUGCAACAAACUUACAUCCCACAUGGACUGGCCUGCAAGGGCUGGCCUCUCUUAGCUCUCUCAAAAUCUCAGGCAUUCCAAAUCUCAGGUCCCUGGACAGUUUGGGGCUUCAACUGCUCACCUCUCUCCAAAAAUUAGAGAUCUGUGACUGCCCCGAGCUCCAAUCCUUGACAGAAAAGCUGCUGCCCACCUCCCUUUCUUUUCUAACAAUCCAUAACUGCCCACUGCUGAAAGGUCAGUGCAAGUUUUGGACAAGGGAAGACUCGCAUCAUAUAGCACACAUUCCAAACAUUGUGAUUGAUGACCAAGUAAUGUAAUGAAGGUAGCAUUACACUAAUUUUUAGUCAAGUACUGGUUCUGUCCUUACAGUAAUUUUCUCAGGAAAACUGAUAUGCUUAAAUACCAAUUUUAAUUUGAUCCAUCAUAAAUGGGAAAAAUUUGCUUUAAAUUUUCUAAUUAUUAUAAUAAUUUCUUGCUUCUUUCAGGUUAUCAGUAAUUCUUCUCUCUUGUAAAUUGAUGCUUCAUAUCUUCACAAGGAAUCUUCUUUUAAUAAAUAAUGCCUUGUCAAAUGCUUCAGUUCAGAUUUCAUCUAGCAAUUGAUGCUUAAAAGCCAAGCAGCUGUGCAGGUCUGAUUUCGUAACUUGCGUUUCUUGUAUAAUUUUAUGGACCUUGAAUUCGUUUUCAUUGGCUAAUUCACUGAAACUCAUGGAAGGCCUCUGAUCCUAGUUUUAUUAAUAAAUUUGAGCUGUCUAGCAACAAUCCUUCCAAUGGGACCUUUUUUUAUUGAGUUCAAAGACUCUUUCUGGAAGAUUGUAGCAGAUAUUUUUUAGCAUCCAAAGACUCAUGAUUGAUACUAGGCUUGAGGAACUGAGAGAGCUCAACUCUGUUAGAGAGUGGGGCAUGCAGCAUGCUCUAUGAUUCCCUUAGUAAGAUAUUUUAAUUGCUUUUGUUUGACUUUCUAAGCUACAAAUUACAAGGAUUUAUAAUUCCAUGUGCCUUAUUUUUUAGGUUCUCUGUGUUAAUAUUCUAGUUCUUCUCUAGAAAAAAACAGGUAUGUUUCUUCUGUGUUAAUACUUUUCAUAAGAUGACACAUUGUGGAGUUCCAUCAUAUGCAUGACAAGAUAAACCCAAUUCUAAAAUCAACUCAGGCUAAAACAAAAUAUCUUACUAACUGAAGUUCUCUCCUUAAUAAUUCUAUUCACCAUGUCCAUAUGGCAUCUUAGCGCCGUAAAUGUUAACAUUUUCCUUAGUGUAAUCAUUGUUUUAGCUUCAAUUAAUUUGCAGAUGUCCAGUUUAGACACCUCAAACUCAAAAUCUUCUGCUUGUGACAGGCCACCACUUCCUAGUCUUUGCUCAUUUCCUUCCCAUUUAAUUAUUGUCAUCAACCUCUGAUUUUUUUAUGUCGUUAAUAGUAAAAGAAUCAUAAUUGUACUACAUUAGUUGAGCGUGGAUGCUACAAUUUAAUUUCCAUAUUCAAGUUUUUCUUAUACUUACAAAUGAUAAUGUGAGCUCUAGAUUUUCUUCUUUCAAAUUUGUGAUUAUGAGGAAGAUACUUGGAGUAGAGAGGAGCCAAACCAUAUUCAAAGUCACAGCACUGCAGAAUAUGGUUUUGUUCCACCAAGUUCAGGUCAGUUGGGUGGAAUCUUAUUAAUACUUCAAGGACACAUUUUCCAAACUUGAUGACUGCCUCUAACCUGAACUAAGUAUUUUUUUUACCAGCUUUGUGUUAAGAAAUUGUGAACGUGUUGGAUCUGCUCAUACAACCUCCCUCCAUGAUGAAUUUUAACUACUCAAUACUUGAAGGAUGGCUACUCAACUGAAUUCUAUUUAUUGGAGCACGAUUUGAGCUUUUCUUCCUUACCCAGGUAUAGUGCUAUAAAAUUUUCAGUCUAAAGAGUAUUUAUAACCCCAUAUGAAUUUUAAUGUCAGAUUCAGUUGAUUAGCAUGUGACCAUUAUUAUUUUCAGAUGGUAGCAUUUUGAAUCAUUGGAACAAUUGCAGGAGGAAGCUUUGCCAAAGCCUCCCUAUGCAAUACAUGGGCCUUUGGUUGCAAGUGAGAUUCGAGGAUUCUAUUUUCUCUUGGAAGACUUCAACUCAUUUUUUUUGAGUUUUGAACUUUGAGCUUUUACUUCCAAGCAUGUGCAAAGAAGAAAGAGAGCAACAACAAAGGUCCGCUUAUAGAAGUUUUAUAUGGAGUGAGACUCCCAUGAAAAAUAUUGUAGCUAUUGGUUUGUCAACCUUGAAGGUUAUAGUUCUGUUUCCCAUUGGAUCUUUAAGGAGUGCGUCUGUUGAAUCAUAUAUUUUGAACUUACUACUGACUUUGUGUAUAUACACACAUGUAAAUGAUGUUUUCUUCUUCAUUCAUGUGGAAUUUGAUUCUCUAGUGCAUGUUGAAAAGUUAUAAGUUUGUUCCAGGGUUUUACUUGAAGUGAGGUUAGAUAUGCCCUUUUUUUGCAUUUUGGUGUAUAAAAGAGUUUACAUCAUAGGCAAAUCACUUCCAAUCCAACUUCUUUUUAACAUUUUUGAUUCCUUUUAUCCUCCUCAAGGUGACUUAGGUGCAAAUUGGGCUUUUGGGUUAAUUUAAUAGUUUCACAUUUCUGAGUCCUUGUUUUCAAGAUUUUAAGGAGCAUUAGGUGGCUCAUGAUGAAUGCAAUUGGAUGGAUUCAGCUUCCUCAAGAUGUUUGAACAUAUACCCAAGUGAAACUCUCAAACAAGUUUUGACAUUAUUUUUGGAUAAUUAAUCAAAAUAAUAAUUUUUGAAAGAAAUAUCUAUCAAUUUUAGUCCAAUAAUUAUUUUGACUAACUAUUAAAAGUGAUUUUUAGGAUUUUAUAGAGUAAUAAGUUUUAAAAAGAAGGCAGUUUUAAAAUUUAAAAAGUGCCUUUAAGAGUCUACUUGGUAAUCUUUUAAAAAACAAUUCUCAGAUCAAUUUUAAAAAUAAGUCCAAUUAUUUUUAUAAUAAAAUAGUCUUGUUAGAAAUACUGAACAAUUGUAUUGUAUUUCAUAGGAGAAAGAAUAUACAUCAGUGCCUUUAUAUAGGAGGCAUAUGUGUGCGGUACAAGUAACCUAACUGGGCCUAAAGCCCAUAACAUAAUAUACCCAUAUAAUAUACCCAUAAUAUACAUUAACAGCCCCCCUCAAACUCAAGGUGGAUGUGAGACCAACUUGAGGUUGUCAAUUAAAUCACGAGUACGUCUUGUAGGAAGUGACUUGGUGAAGAUAUCUGCAAGCUGAUCUUUGAAGGAGACGAAGAAAAGCUUAAGAGCACCAUGGACAAGAUGAUAACGGAUAAAAUGACAAUCAAUCUCGAUGUGUUUAGUCCGUUCAUGAAAGACAUCAUUGUGAGCAAUAUGAAUGGCACUCUGGUUGUCACAAUAAAGGGGAGUAGCAGAGGAGGUGGACACACCCAAAUCCUUAAGAAGCCAUCUUAGCCAAAGGAGCUCAGAUGUGGUAUCAGCAAGGGCACGAUAUUCUGCUUCAGUACUGGAGCGGGCCACAAAAGUUUGUUUCUUACUUCUCCAAGAAAUCAAAGAAGAACCAAGAAGGAAGCAGUAACCUGUAGUGGACCUGCGAUCAGUAGGAUCUCCUGCCCAAUCAGCAUCAGAGAAUGCACGGAGUACAAGAGGAGAUUGAGCUGAGUAGAAAAGGCCAUGAAAAAUGGUACCCUUCAGGUAUCGAAGAAUGCGCAGAACAGCAGCAUAGUGAGUUGAUCGUGGAGCAGACAAAUACUGGCUCACCUGAUGAACAGCAUAGGAGAUGUCUGGACGAGUAACUGUGAGAUAAACUAAGCUGCCAACCAAUCGUCUGUAAAGAGAAGGAUUGGACAAUGGUUUCCCCCCGGAGGGUGUCAGAUGCGCAUUAAGUUCGAUUGGAGUGUCAACAUUCUUACUGUCAGUGAGUCCGACUUGAGACAGCAGAUCAGAAGCAUACUUGGCUUGAGUAAUAUAAAGACCAUAUGUGGAAUGAGUAAUUUCAAGACCCAGGAAAUAGCUGAGAUGUCCAAGAUCUUUCAUCUCAAACUGCUGACUGAGAAAAUCCUUGAGUUCUUGAAUGCCACUAAGGUCAUUACCAGUUAUGAUCAUAUCAUCCACAUGUAGAAGAAGCAAAAUAGUGCCUUUAUCAGUACGAUGAAGAAAUAAGGCAGAAUCAUACGGACUGGCAGUGUAACCCAAGCGAAAAAUAGUGGAGCUGAACUUGGCAAACCAAGCUCGUGGGGCUUGUUUAAGACCAUAAAGUGCACGUCGAAGAUGACAAACCUUGUUUGAUUCAACAAAGAGACUAGGAGGAGGUUGCAUAUAGACUGCUUCACUCAGAUCCCCAUUAAGGAAGGCAUUUUUAACAUCCAUCUGAAAAAGGUCCCAUUGACGAGCAGCAGCAACAGCUAAGAGAGCACGAACAGAUGAGAUACGAGCAACUGGAGCAAAAGUCUCUUCAUAAUCAAUCCCAUAUUCCUGUGUAAAGCCUUUGGCAACAAGACGAGCCUUGUAGCGCUCAACGGAUCCAUCAGAGCGAGUCUUGAUCUUAUAGAUCCACUUACAACCAACCACAGACUGUCCAGGAGGGAGAGGAACCAGGUCCCAAGUAUGGUUUUUGGUUAAUGCAUCAAGUUCCUCUUUCAUAGCAAUCUGCCAUAAAGGGUCAGUAGAGGCCUCACGAUAGGUUUGAGGCUCGUGAAGUGUAGCAAGGGCAGUGUAACAAUGAUAGUCAAGUAGGUGUGGAGGAAUGGAUCUUACCCGGGUUGAGUGGCGAGGUGGAAUGUCUUGUGGAGGAUCUUCAGGCAGAGUAGGAGCAGGGGACCCAGUCUCAAAGUGGGGUAGCUCGUCAUCAAUCUGUUCAUCUGCAACCUGUCUAGGAGAAGCAUCAAAAAUAUCUGGAGAGAAGUCCAAAGGAGGAUCAAAAGUAUUUGUAGAAGGAACAAGAGACUCAUCUGGAAAGAUUUCUAAAACAGAGGAGUUAGUCAAGGAAGAAUGAAAGUGAGAGAGUUCAACAAACAAUCGAUGUUCCCAAAAAACAACAUUAUGAGAAACACGAAGACGAUGAGAGACAGGAUCAUAACACCUAUACCCCUUUUGAGUUUCACCAUAACCAAGGAAACAACAGAGUCUAGAGCGAGGCUCAAGUUUGUUGUGCUCAUGAGACUGAAGAAGAACAAAACAAGCAGAUCCAAAUGAGCGAAGGUGAUGAUAGACAGGGGGUGACCCAAAGAGACGCUCAUACGGAGUCUGAUUAUGGAUGACAGCACUUGGAAUACGGUUAAUUGCAUGAACAGCAUGAAGAGCCGCUUCACCCCAAAAUGGGGCAGGAAUUUUGGCAGAAAGAAGCAGAGCACGAAUAGUGUCAAGAAUAUGACGAAGUUUUCUUUCGGCUCGACCAUUUUGCUGAGAGGUACCUGGACAAGUUAGAUGAUGUACAAUGCCAUAGGAAUGUAACAGAGCUUGAAACGCAUGUUGAGUAUAUUCAAGAGCAUUAUCAGAUCGAAAAGUUUUGAUACGUUUGGAGAAUUGUGUUUCAAUCAUUUUUGCAAAAUUGCUAUAUAUUGAUAAAAUUUCGGAACGAGAUUUCAUAGGGAAAAUCCAACUAUAACGAGAAUAAUCAUCAAUAAAAACAACAAAGUAUCGAGAUCCACCAAUACUAGCAACAGGAGAAGGUCCCCAAACAUCAGAAUGAAUUAACUCAAAAAUACUAUUAGAAAUGGAUUCACUGUUAUUAAAAGGCAAAGCUGGCUGUUUUCCUAACUGACAAGAAGUACAAUAAAAAAUGUCUUUAGACACAGAACCCAACAGACCCCUAGACACUAACUGUUGUACCCGAGAAGAUGAUGCAUGACCAAGACAAAAAUGCCAAAGUGCAAGAGAAGGUAAGGAAGAAACUGCAGCAGCUGCAGUAGCAAUAGAAACAGAAGCAACAGGUGGAAGAUGAAGAUUGCUCACGGGAAACAUACACCCAACUCUAGGACCGGUCCCAAGCUCCUGCCCCGUCCUUGGAUCCUGCACAAUACACCCAGAAUAGUCAAAAAUAAGGCGAUGACCUAGUUCAGCUAAUUGUCCCACAGAGCACAAAUUAUAGGAUAGGUCAGGAACAUGGAAGACUCCAGGAACAGAAAGAUUAGAGGUUGAAACAAAACCUAGACUAUUCCCAUGCAUGGUGGAACCAUCAGCUAUAUGAAUAUUUAGAGGAUGUGGUGCAGGGUCAAGUUUGGAGAAUAGGGAUGAGUGAGGUGUCAUGUGAUUGCAGCAGGCAGAAUCAAAAAGCCAAGUUUGAGACUUACCAGGUAGAACAGAUAAGGUAGUGGAAAGAGAUGCAUUACUAGCCAUACGAACAGCCUGAGCUAUGAUCUCCUGUAGUUCAGUGGAGGAGAGGUUGAUAGUAGAUCCAGAAGACUUGGACUCAACUGAGGUGGAAGCCAUUGGCGGAGUAGGCUCAAUAUUAGCAACAGCAGCAGUAGAUUUGUUACGACGGUAACAAGUCUCAAUGGUGUGGCCAGGACGCUUGCAAUAGUUGCAGAACUUUUUGUUGGUCUGCUUGCGACGAUUGCUAGAACCAUAAGAAUCACCUGAUUGCUGGGGUUGCUCUAUGAGUGGAGUAGAUGGAGUAAUAGCCAAAACAUUGAACUUAUUCUGGGCUUGAAGGGUUGCAAGACAAGCUUCUUCUCUAACCAACUCAUUUACAGCAGUAUCAAGAGAGGGAGUAGGACUGCGAUUGAGUAGCUGACCACGAAUGGGCUCAAAGUCCUUGUGAAGUGACAUCAAGAAUUCAUAGAGGCGAAAUUCAUCUCUAAUGGAAGCAUAUUGCUGAGCAUCUUUUGAGCAUGUCCAAGUUGGAUCAGAAAGGUCAAUUUGGUCCCAAAUAAAGCGAAGCUGAUCAUAAUAGUCAUUGAUGGAUUGCCUUGGUUCUUGCCUGAGUUGAUGUAAUUCAACCACUAAUUGAUAUUUUAGGGAUCCAUGAGUAGUGGAGUACCUUUUGGCCAACAUAUCCCAUGCAGAUUUUGCAUCAUCAAAGCUGCCCAUCAGAUUGGAAAUAGAGGGAAUGGAAGUGUUCCGAAUCCAUGUGAGGAUCAUGUGGUUAUGACUAUCUCAUUCAAUCAUGCGAUUAAGAAAAACAGCAUCUCCUUCACUUGCUCCCUUGACAGGAAUAGUCAUUACACCAGUACAAUAAUGCCAGAGCAUGCGACCCUUAAGAAAACUGCGCAUAGCUUGAGACCAAGAUAAGUAAUUUUUAUUUCCCUCCAAUACAGUAUUGAUGGGGCUAGAAAGAAAAAUAUCCUUUUUAUCCAUUUAGAGACACAAUAUGCAAAAACAGACUGCAAAAGUGAAAUCUACGCGAAAAACUGGGUAAGGAGAACCUGGUCAGCCCUGGAAAAGUCAACGGUCAACACUGGUAAAAGUCAACGGUCAACAUUGGUCCACGUGGGGGUCACGGUCAAAGUCAACGGUCAACGAUGGCAAAGUCAAUGGUCAAAGCGGGUCAACGGUCAACGCUGGUCAACGGAUGACGUGGAGAUGAUGUCAGCUAGGGCUAACGUGGCACUGACGCGUUAGUAGUUGUGACGUAGCUAGGGCUGACGUGGCAGAGAGAAUGACGUACGGGCUCCGAGGGCGACGAGGUUUCCACGAAUGUGUAGAUCGGCGUUGGACGAUCUCAGUGGUACCGUCAAAAUUGAAAUCGGAGCAAUAUUCGCAGCGGUGAUGCGAAAAACAGUGAUCUUGUGCGGUGUGAAACUCCUUAAGGACUGCAGGUCCGGAACCCAAGGACGACGCCUGGAUGACGUCAGAGGUUCAACGGCAAAAGGCUGUGACGACAGUUGUGAUUGGCAGAAGCGUUAAAAAGAAAGGAAGUCACACUAAUGAAGACAGACUGCUAAGAAAGGGUCAGAGCAGUGGCUCUGAUACCAUGUUAGAAAUACUGAACAAUUGUAUUGUAUUUCAUAGGAGAAAGAAUAUACAUCAGUGCCUUUAUAUAGGAGGCAUAUGUGUACGGUACAAGUAACCUAACUGGGCCUAAAGCCCAUAACAUAAUAUACCCAUAUAAUAUACCCAUAAUAUACAUUAACAAGUCUUCUUAAUUCAUAAAGGUCAAAAGUUCCUAUUUUCUAUAUUUUAUAUGGAUGCAAAGGACGCUCUAUACUAUUUUAAAAAUCUAUCCCCAGAAGUUAUUUUGAUUAGGUUAUUUUUAAAACGCUUUUUCUUUUUUUUUUUUAAAAAAAAGGAUAAGUUAUUUUUAAAAAUAAUUUUUUAUUUUGAUUUUGUAAAAAACAAAUUGUUAAUUCAAUUUAAAUAAUAUAAAAUAAAUUUAAUUCAAGUAUUAUUAAACAAAAAAAUAAUUUUUUAAUUACAAAUAAACUAAAAUAAAUAAAUAGUUUUUAAUAAAAUAUGAAUAAUAAUAUUAUAAUAAAUCAUAAAUUACAUUUUUUUUAUAUAAAUAUUAUUAAAAUAUAGAUAUUAACAUCUUAUAAAAGCAUUAUUUAUUUUGUUGAAACUAAAUAACAAUAAUAUAAAAUUAAUAAUUGCUAAUACUAUUUUUAAAAAUCAUUAAACUUAUGACUUUGCUUUUAAAAAAUUGUACUCAAGAACAACAACCAAACAAUGGUAUUAAUUUUUAAAAACAAUUUUAUUUUUAAAUCAUAAGCCCAAAUAGUUUUUUAUUAUUUAGCAAAACAAAAAACCCUCAAAGUUGUUUUUUUCUUAAUUGAAAAUAAAAAAUUAUUUUAAAUUCAGAUUUAAAAGAAGGAAAAUAAAAUAUUAUUUUAAACUAUACAUAAAUAUUGCCUUUUUUUUUCAUUCCCGUUCCAUUAUUACUUAACAUUAAAAUGGAAAUUAACAAAUAUACAUCCAAGUACAAGAAUUGAAAUAACCAAAUUAUUCAUCCCUAUUCAAUGACAAGUAAGAAUGGAAAGAAAAUUUUCAUUCUCAGUACUUAUUCUCAUGUACCAAAUAUUAUCUCAAAGAUUUGAGACCCUUAAUGAAGUUAAUGUUCUUCGGACCUUUUUACUAUUAAAUUUUAGGACUUGGCCUCAGUAUGAUAAGAUUUCAAAGGUUAUAUAUCCAUCGGAUGGGCGUAAAUAUCUUCUACAGAUAUGCUUGAGUAAUAGAGUUUUGGAGUGAUUUAUUAAUAAAGUCCAAUAUUUACCGAGUGUUGUCACUGUGAUAUUUAGACCUUACCUCCACAUCCACCAAAAGUUAUUUGAAUCAGUUUGCAGUUUGUAUAACUUACCAACAUUGAUACUAUAUUAUUGUGGUUCUCUUGUUGAAUUGCCUGCAGUGAUGUGCAAAUUGAUUAGGUUGCAUCAUCUUGAUAUUAGUCAUAGUGGAAUGCACGAGAUGCCAAGUCAAAUGGAUCACUUUUUACAAAAAUUGAGUAACUAUAGAGCGGGCAAGCAAAGUGGGAACAGGGUUGCAGAGUUGAGGGAGCUUUCCCACAUUGGUGGAAGUUUUCAAGUGGUGCGGGUGGUGGUAGAGGUAGAGGGUAUGCCUUCAAGUGGGUCCUCUAGACCACGAGUUGGAGUUCAUGCACGCGUUCUUUAAUUUUGAAGGAUUUGCAAAGAAACUUUCAAAUAUCCAAAAUCUUAAAUUAAAAAAAUAAAAAAAUAAAAAAAAUAAAAAGGACCCAGUAGAAUAAUUUUGUAUCAUAGGAAUAAGAGUUGAAUCCACCAAUCAGCAAGAAUAAUUAUUAAAUGAAUCAACCGUAUUGAGACAAAAAGUCUUCAGGUGUGAAACGCUUGAGACUUUCCCAAAGGCAAAAUCAUUCAAUAGAAAAAGGACUCCAGCUACAAGCAAAACAAAGGGGCAAAUGUAUAUAAAGAUAAAAGUCUGCAUUCAUUCCCAAUCUUCCUUGGAUCAACUGUAGACCACAGGGCACGCCUCAACCCCGCAAAGGAUACUCAUUUCCUUCACCUUGAUCAACAGACCCUUCACUCUUUUUCUUAUACGUCCUCCUGGCUGUGUCAUUCAUUAUCCAUUGGAGCUUGACCUUCUUCCUCCCCAUAGCCUGAUGUUUACUUGGAUCUGUCACCAAGAAUAUCAAAAUAUCUUGCUUUCCCAUUGAUUUAUGGGUCUUCUUAUAGACAUAAAAGCGCCUGUAAGAGGGGGUGCAACCCUUUGAAUGGACAAUAAAAGCUAAUCCUUGGAAAUUUUUGUUUUGGGUAUAAAUGAUCAUUAUUUCGAUUAUUUUUAUUUAUAUUUCUGGAUUGCACUCAGUGACAGGUUUUUAAGACUUAAUCCUUUACAGAUAUUGUGUUUUCUAGAUCUAAUUGAAUCUAAAGUUUUUUUUUUUCCCAAAAUUUGUUUCCUAUUUAUUAUGGUCAAGUCCAAAUUGAGUAAUACAACAUCACUUGUAAUAAAUUAAGUAAUACAACAUGCCACUACCUAUUUUUCCUUAGAUUUUAUUUUCAAACAGUAAAAAAGCAAGUUGAUACGAUCUAUUUUACCUUAAAUUUUAUUUUCGAAAACUAAAAGAAAGUUGACACGACCUAUUUUUCAUUAAAUUUUAUUUUCAAAAAUAAAAAACAAGUUGACACAACCUGUUUUUUCUUAAAUUUUAUUUUUGAAUAGCAAAAAAUAAUUUGAGAUGGACUAUUUUUCCUUAAAUUUAUUUUCAAAUAGUAAAAACCAAGUUGAUAUCAUAGUAACUUAUCCUAUUUAUCAUGCUCAAUUCCAAAGUGAGUAAUAUGACAUAACUCAUGAUAAAUUAGGUAUGAUAAAUUAGGUGAUAUAACAUGACCUAUUUUUCCUUUGAUUUUAUUUUCAUACAGUAAAAAGCCAAAUUGACAUGACUUACUUUUCUUUAUAUUUUAUUUUCAAACAGUAAAAAAACAAGUUGACAUGACCUAUUUUUUUCCAUAAAUUGUAUUUUUGAAUAGUAAAAAAAAGAAAAUUGAUGCCACCUAUUUUUUCUUAAAUUUUAUUUUUUGAAUGUUAAAAAUCAUAAUAACACGACCUAUUUUGCUUGAAAUUUAUUUUUGAAUAGUAAAAAACAAGUUGAUACCAUAGUAACCUAUCCUAUUUAUCAUGGCCAAUUCCAAAUUGAGUGAUAUGACAUCACUCAUGAUAAAUUAGGUGACACAAUAUGACACGACCUAUUUUUUUUACAUUUUAUUUUCAAACAGUAAAAAAAAUAAAUUGACAUGAUCUAUUUUUCCUUAGAUUUUAUUUUCGAAUCGUAAAAAUACAAGUUCACAUAACAUAUUUUUCCAUAAAUUUUAUUUUCAAAGAGCAAAACACAAGUUGGCACGAUAUUUUUGAACGGUUUGCAAGGACUGCCCUCUCCUACCAGUAGUAGAAUCUUAGGUCUUUAAAAAAAUUAGAGAUCUAUGACUAGCCCAAGCUCCAAUCCUUAACAUAAGAGCAACUGCCCCCCAACCUUUUUGUUUUAACAAUCCAGAAGUGCCCACUGCUAAAAGGUCAGAGCAGAAGUUUUGGACAAGGAAAGAUUAACAUCAGAUAACACAUAUUCCACACAUUGUGAUCGAUGACCAAGUUUUAUAAUGAAGGUAGCAUUACACCACUUUUUAGUCAAGUACUGGUUUUGUCCUAAAAGUAAUUUUCUCAAGAAAACUGAUAUGCUUAAAUACCAAUUUUAAUUUGAACAAUUAUAAAUAGGAAAAAAUAUGCUUUAAAUUUUCUAAUUUUUAUAAUAAUUUCUUGUUUUCUUUCAAGUUAUCAGUGAUUCUUCACUCUUAUAAAUUGAUGUUUCAUAUCUUCAUAAGAAAUCUUCUUUUAAUCAAUAAUGUCUUAUUAAAUGCUUCAUAUUAUCAAGGAGCACAAUAUGCAUAUUGAACCAAAAUCCUCCAACCUUAAACUUUUAGGAAAAUUGGUAGUUUAAUAUGGUAUCAGAACUUGGUUUUGUAGGGGGUUAUGAGUUUGAGUCAACUCUCCGCAAUUUGCAUAUUUGUUUCUCUCAUUUGUUUCUUUUCUCCCUCUUUACAAUUCUUUAGUAUCUCUCUCCCUCAAUUUGCAAUUCUAUGGUAUUUCUCCACACGAGGAAGGGUGUUAAGGAGCAUGAUAUACAUUUUGAACCCAAAUCCUCUAAACUUAGUUUUUUUAAGAAAAAUGAUAGUUCUACCAAAAAGUCAAGCAAUUUUGCAUGUCUAGUUUCAUAACUUGUGUCUCUUGUAUAACUUUAUGGACCUUGAAUUCGUAACUUGUGUUUCUUGUAUAAUUUUGUGUACCUUAAAUUCAUUUUUAUUAGCUAACUCACUGAAACCUCGUGGCAAGCCUUUGAUCCUAGUUUUCUCAACAAAUUCGAGCUAUCUAGCAGACAAUUUUUAUCAUCUAAAGACCAAUAUAUAAUUUAUAUGUUACUUGAGGAAUUAGAGAAAGCUCGACUUUGUUGGAGAGUGGAGUGGAGUAUGCAGCUUGUUCUGUGAUUCCAAUUAGUAAGACAUUUCAAUUCCUUUAUUUUAAGUUUCUAAGCUACAAACUACAAUGAUUUACAAUUUCAUAUGCAUUAUUUUUCAGGUUCUCUAUGUUAAUAUCUUAGUUCUUCUUUAGAAACAAUUGGUAUGUUUCUUUUGAUUCAUACUUUUCAUAAAGAAAAUUGUCAAAAAUUUAAUUUUCUUUCUUUUCACUUUUUCAUGUAGAAUCAAACAAGAAUAUUUUUUUUUUUUUUUACUAUGUUUGUGCUCCUUAUCUUUUUUCUUUAUGAUUUUUUUCCUUCAAACUUUUAAGAAAUAAAAAAUUAUUUGGCUUACAUUUAUAAAAUAUAGUCAUAUAGUAUAAUAUAAUAUUGUGUAGGCUCUGAGCUGAUACGAUAUUCAUAAGGCCUUAGCUCAUGGCCAAUAUGCAAGUUUAGAUUGAAUUAGAAUUUCCAAACUUUAAUAUUUUUUAGAUUGGCUUUAAAUUGAAUUGUGUUUAAAUUCCUAGUUUCAAGAGACCUAAAAUGGUGGUGAUCUUUUUGAUUCAUUGAUAUUUUUUUUUUUUUUUUUUUUUUUUUGCUUUUUUCAAUCAAGAUAGAAAGUAUAUCAAUUUUAUUAAUUAAUAAAAGAUGUUCUCUUUGCAAAGCAAAAGACAUGGCUGUGGUUGGAGAAGAAACAUAUUGAGACAACUUAAAAUAAUUUUGUUUCUAGUUGGAAUUUUGCUUUCAAAACUUAUAAAAUUGGUAAGUUAAGGGGUUAAAUUGAGAUAUGAAUUUCCGUGUAUGUUGGUUUUUCAGAAUUUAUCAUAAAAAUGAAUACAGUGAAGGAAAAGGAGAGGGAAUGAAAAAGAAGGGGGGAAAAAGAGAGUUAGGAUUGACUAGGGUUUUAGAUGAGUGUGGUGAUAAAAAUGAUGGGUUAAGUCCCCCAUUCAAAUAGAUGUAAAAUCAUAUAACAGGGGAUCAUUCUUGAUAAAGAUCAAGAAACUAACAGCUUCAACAACUCCUCAACAAACUGAUGUAUUGAUCAGUUAGAUAGUUACACCUGCAAGCAGCUAGAACUCAAUCAAGAUUUUAUUCACUGGAGAAGAUUUGAUAGAAUGAUUCGCAGCUGGAUAUAUUCAUCCCUUACUCCUGAAAUUAUGGGACAAAUAGUAGGGCACUAGACAUCUCAUGCAGCAUGGACUGCAUUAGAGAAAAUUUUCUCUGCUUCCUCAAAAGCACAGAUAAUGCAACUAAGGCUGGAGUUCAAACCACUCGGAAAAAGAUCUCUUUCCAUGAUGGAAUAUAUACUCAAGCUCAAGACACUAACCGAUAAUUUGGCUGCCAUUGGAGAACCGGUCACAGAGAGAGAUCAAGUUUUGUAGCUUCUUGGUGGUCUUGGAGCUGAAUACAGCCCCAUAGUGGCGUCUCUCACAGCUUGAGAAGAUGAAGUAUCUCUCCACUCUGUCCACAGCAUUAAUUCUGCUCACACAUGAGCAGCGCCUCCAAUUUCAAAACUCCAUCAUAGAAAAAGAAACUCUAUCCACUCAUAUUGCUUCUCACAGUCGAACUACUCAAUCAAGAACAUCCCAGAAUAACAGAAAUAAUUUUUCUCUUCACCAACAGAAUGGUUUUUCUCAUCCUUCAAGAAGAGGACACCCAGGAGGUCAUGGACAAGAACAUGUUUAGUGUAACAAUAUCCAUAUUAUGUUCAUUCAUAUCUCAAAUAUUAAAGCUAUAUUAAAACUAUUAAUAUUGUAAAUAUUAAUACUUAUUCUUAUAUAUUCUUAAAUAAGAUAUUGAUAGAUAGUGACUAAGUAUAUCCCGAACAAAUACUAUAAUAAUGUGCAAAAUAAAUAUAACAUGUGUUUAUUUUAUAGAAAAGUUUGAUUUAUAUAUAAUUUCACAUAUUUUAUAGGAUAUCUCUCAAAUCUUAUGACAAACAUCUUGAAUAUUCAUAAAGUUAAUUUCAUUAUUCAUUUAUUAUAAUAAUAAUAUUCAAUUUAUUUUUUAGUUAAUUAUAUCUUUAUUAUUUGACUUUUCUCAUUUAUGUUGAAUAUUAUAAUGAUAAUAUUAAAUUUAUUUUUUAAUUACUUAACUAUAACUAAUAUGAUUAUCACUUAUGUUGAUUGCUGAAAAGUUAAAUUGUAAUUAAACAGUAAAAAGUUAAACAGGGGCUUCCCACCUCUAUUUCUUUUCUAAAAAUGAGCUACUAUCUCCUGGUGAAACAUCAAUACCAAUUCUGGAAAGGGGAAGAUUUGCAGCAUAUAGCUCACAUUCCACGCAUUGUGGUGGACGAUCAACAAGGUUCUUAUAAUGUGCUAUAAAUGAUUUUCUUCAAAAGGCAGUAAUUUGUGAUCAAAACUUUUUAUAUCAGCUUUGCCUUAAGGAAUUGUGAAUCAAUCCGAUCUACUCAUACCGCAACUCUAUAAAUUUUCUUCCCUGUUACUUUGUGUAAGGUUAUGUUUGGUUUCCGGAAAGUAUUAAGGAAGGAAAAAAAAAUGCUAAUAGCCCAAAGGAGAAGUAUAAUAAAGAUCGGGGCAUUAAUGGAUGAGAUUGCCUGAUCAAGCGGGCCUAAUCGGGGCCCUUAACAUAUGGGCUUGGACAGCACUAAUUCUGGUCGGAAUAGGCAGGCUUAGGUUGGUGGGAAGAGUCUUGUCCCAGUGGAAGGGCCAAUGCUAGGUAGCCUGGCCCGAAGCUUGUUUUUCCUUUCUUUUUUUUCGUCUCGGUCGGAAGCUUCUCUUUUUUAAGAAUGGGUUCCACAAUUAACACUGCCUAUCCACUAGGUGUGCUAAAUGGUCAGCCGGCCUUAUCAGGAAUCUUGCAUAUUAUACUCAAAUUGUCGCAACUUGAAUGAAGGGACAACCCCAAAGGUCUUAUCCUUUCAAUGUUUUACAUAUCAGAUAGGUGAUUUUGUUAAAAUAUAUUAUAUAUUAUAGACUAUUGAAGGGCAGGCUUAAUCCCUACCACUCAUAUUUACACAUUCAGAAAAACAAAAAUCAAUGAUUCUGCAAUUUUGUUUUUGGCAGCCAAAUUGCUAGUCACAUGACUGAGAAUUCUUUGUCACUAGUUAAUAUUUUUUCUUCUUUACUGGCCCUUGUGUUUGGUUAAGAAUAGGGAAGUUGCAGUGCGUUUCAUAUCAUAAACCGAAAUUCUACAGUUUGGUUUGCAUCUGCUUAAGUAUUUGUUUACCAUAUGUUCAAUAAUGUGGACAUACCUGUAGGUGGAAAAUAUUCUUAUUUGUUUAUGUGGACAUUUGGACUAUUAAUAGACUAACUGACAGGCCAUGUUCAUCCGCCUCUUUAUUGUAUCUAGGGGCCGCCCUAUUUGGUGACAAGGUUCUUCGUUGUUGACCAAAACUAGUCUGCUUGAUUUGCAUCUGCUUUCAUUCAUUUUUCUUUGAUCCAGUAUUCACUUCCCUUGCAAACCAACAGACAUGGCCGGGGCUAUAGUAGGAGGAGCAUUUCUCUCCGCUUCUAUCCAAGUUCUACUUGACCGAAUGGCUUCUCGCGAGGUCCUCACCUUCCUCCGGGGACAGAAACUCAGUGCUACGCUCCUAAGGAAGUUGAAGAUAAAAUUGCUGGCAGUUCAGGCAGUGCUCGAUGACGCUGAGGCCAAGCAAUUCACAAAAUCAGCUGUAAAAGAUUGGCUGGAUGACCUGAAAGAUGCUGUGUAUGAUGCAGAGGACCUGUUGGAUGAGAUAACCACCGAAGCUCUUCGCUGCAAAAUGGAGUCUGAUGCUCAAACCAGCGCAACUCAGGUAAGUGACAUCACCUCUGCCUCGCUUAAUCCGUUUGGUGAGGGGAUCGAGUCCAGGGUAGAGGAGAUCACUGACAAACUAGAGUAUCUUGCACAAGAAAAAGAUGUUCUGGGAUUGAAAGAAGGCGUUGGAGAAAAAUUGUCACAAAGAUGGCCCACGACUUCCUUGGUAGAUGAGUCUGGGGAGGUGUACGGAAGGGAAGGUAAUAUACAGGAGAUAGUUGAAUAUUUAUUGUCCCAUAAUGCAAGUGGGAAUAAGAUAAGUGUGAUCGCCCUGGUGGGUAUGGGCGGUAUUGGAAAGACCAUACUUACUCAACUGGUGUAUAAUGAUAGGAGGGUGGUGGAAUGUUUUGAUCUUAAAGCUUGGGUUUGUGUUUCCGAUGAAUUUGAUCUUGUCCGGAUAACGAAAACCAUUCUUAAGGCAAUCGAUUCUGGGGCUUCUGAAAAAUAUUCUGAUGAUAGUGAUUUGAAUCUGCUUCAACUUAAAGUGAAGGAGAGACUUAGUAAGAAGAAAUUCUUUCUUGUCCUUGAUGAUGUUUGGAAUGAAAACUAUACUAAUUGGCAUAUGCUACAAACUCCAUUCACCGUUGGUCUAAAUGGAAGUAAGAUUAUUGUAACUACACGUAGUGAUAAGGUUGCAUUGAUCAUGCGUUCAGUUCGUAUUCAUCAUUUGGGACAGUUAUCCUUUGAGGAUUGCUGGUCGCUAUUUGCAAAACAUGCAUUUGCAAAUGGAGAUUCUAGUCUACAUCCAGAACUAGAAGAAAUUGGCAAAGGGAUUGUAAAGAAGUGUAAAGGAUUGCCUUUGGCUGCAAAGACCCUAGGGGGUGCCUUAUACUCAGAGUUACGAGUAAAAGAAUGGGAAUUUGUAUUGAACAGCGAAACGUGGGAUUUACCGAAUGAUGAAAUUCUCCCCGCCUUAAGGUUAAGCUAUUCUUUUCUUCCUUCACAUUUAAAGCGGUGUUUUGCAUAUUGCUCAAUUUUUCCUAAGGACUAUGAAUUUGAAAAGGAAAAUUUGAUUCUAUUGUGGAUGGCAGAAGGCUUUUUGCAACAAUUUGAAAGCAAGAAAACAAUGGAAGAAGUAGGUGAUGGGUACUUUUGUGACCUAUUAUCAAGGUCAUUUUUUCAGAAGUCCAAUAGUCGGAAAUCAUAUUUUGUAAUGCAUGAUCUCAUUAACGACUUGGCUCAACUUGUUUCUGGAAAAUUUUGUGUUCAAUUGAAGGAUGGUAAUAUGAAUGGAAGUCUUGACAAGCUCCGCCAUUUAUCAUAUUUUAGAAGUGAAUAUGACCGGUUUGAGAGAUUUGAGACCCUGAAUGAAGUUAAUGGUCUUCGUACCUUCUUUCCUUUGAAUUUGAGAACUUGGCCUCGAUCGGACAAGGCUUCAAAAAAGAGAAAUCUAAAUGCUGCUAAGUAUGUUGUAGAUUUUCGGUUGAGUAAUAGAGUUUGGACCGGUUUAUUAUUGAAACUUCAAUAUUUACGAGUAUUAUCAUUGUGCUACUAUAAGAUAACGGAUUUGUCUGAUUCAAUUGGUAAUUUAAAACAUUUGCGCUAUUUGGACCUUACUUUUACACUCAUCAAAAGGUUACCGGAGUCCGUUUGUAGUUUGUAUAAUUUACAAACAUUGAUAUUAUAUCAUUGUGAAUGUCUUGUUCAAUUGCCUAAAAUGAUGUGCAAAAUGAUUAGCUUACGUCAUCUUGAUAUCAGGCAUAGCAAAGUGAAAGAGAUGCCAAGUCACAUGGGUCAAUUAAAAAGUUUACAAAAAUUGAGUAACUACAUAGUGGGCAAGCAAAGUGGGACAAGGGUUGGAGAGUUGAAGGAGCUUUCGCACAUUGGUGGCAGUCUUGUCAUUCAAGAGCUGCAGAAUGUGGUUCAUGCUAAGGAUGCCUCAGAGGCCAAUUUCGUAGCUAGGCAAGCAAUAUCUGGAUGAGCUAGUGUUCGAAUGGAAUCGUGGUAGUGAUGUUGAACAAAAUGGAGCAGAGAUAGUGCUCAACAACUUACAAACUCAUUCAAACUUAAAGAGACUCACUAUUUAUGGUUACGGUGGUUCAAGAUUUCCAGAUUGGUUAGGAGGUCCUUCAAUUCUGAAUAUGGUGUCGCUACGUCUCUGGAAUUGUAAGAAUGUGUCAACCUGCCCACCGCUUGGGCAGCUACCCUCUCUUAAACAUUUAUAUAUAUUGGGGUUGGAGGAGAUAGAAAGGGUGGGCGCUGAGUUUUAUGGGACUGAGCCCUCCUUCGUGUCCCUAAAAGCUCUAUCAUUUCAGGGUAUGCCAAAAUGGAAGGAAUGGUUGUGCAUGGGAGGCCAAGGAGGAGAAUUCCCUAGUCUCAAGAAGCUUUAUAUAGAGGAUUGUCCCAAGCUAAGGGGGGAAUUACCAACCCAUUUGCCUUUUUUGACCACAAUAAGGAUUCAAGAAUGUGAGCAGUAUGUGGCUCCACUUACAGGGGUUCCAACCAUNNNNNNNNNNNNNNNNNNNNNNNNNNNNNNNNNNNNNNNNNNNNNNNNNNNNNNNNNNNNNNNNNNNNNNNNNNNNNNNNNNNNNNNNNNNNNNNNNNNNUAAAAGCUCUAUCAUUUUCAGGGUAUGCCAAAAUGGAAGGAAUGGUUGUGCAUGGGAGGCCAAGGUGGAGAAUUCCCUCGUCUCAAGAAGCUUUAUAUAGAGGAUUGUCCCAAGCUAAUUGGGGACUUACCAACCCAUCUGCCUUUCUUGACCACACUACGGAUUCAAGAAUGUGAGCAGCUUGUGGCUCCACUUCCAGGGGUUCCAACCAUCUUUGAAUUGACAACGCGCAGCCGUGACAUCUCACAGUGGAAGGAACUACCACCACUACUGCAGUAUCUCUCAAUUAAAAAUUCCGACUCUUUGGAGUCCCUACUGGAGGAGGGAAUGUUGCAAAGUAAUACUUGUCUUCGAGAGUUGAGAAUCAGAAAUUGUUCUUUUUCGAGACCCUUGUGCAGAGUUUGUUUGCCCAUUACAUUGAAGACGUUAGAUGUAGAGGAGUGUAAGAAACUAGAGUUUCUCCUACCUGAGUUCAUAAAAUGUCACCACCCUUCCCUUGUCUCUUUGGUGAUCAUCAGAAGUACUUGCAAUUCUCUCUCAUCCUUCCCACUCGGCAACUUCCCAAGUUUAACUAAUCUCCAAAUCAUGUAUCUCAAGGGGCUUGAAUCCCUCUCCAUUUCAAUUUCAGAGGGCGAUGUUACAUCUUUUCAUCUGUUGCACAUAAGAGGGUGCCCUAAUCUUGUUUCUAUUGAAUUGCCAGCUCUCAACUUCUCAAAAUAUUACAUCUUCCAUUGCAAGAAUCUCAAGUGGCUGCUGCACAACGCUGCAUGCUUUCAGUCAUUAACAAUAGAAGGUUGUCCUGAAUUGAUAUUCCCAAUACAAGGUCUGCAAGGACUGUCCUCUCUUACCUCUCUCAAAAUCUCCGAUCUUCCAAAUCUCAUGUCCCUUGACAGUUUGGAGCUUCAACUGCUCGCCUCUCUUGAAAAAUUAGAGAUCUGUGACUGCCCCAAGCUCCAAUUCUUGACAGAAGAGCAGCUUCCCACCAACCUUUCUGUUCUAACAAUCCAGAACUGCCCGUUGCUGAAAGAUCGGUGCAAGUUUUGGACAGGGGAAGAUUGGCAUCAUAUAGCUCACAUUCCACACAUUGUGAUCGAUGACCAAGUUUUGUAAUGAAGGUGGCAUUACACCAAUUUAUAGUCAGGUACUUGUUCUGUCCUAAAAAUGAUUGUCUCAGGAAAACUAACAUACUUAAAUACCAAUUUUGAUUUGAUCCAUUAUAAAUAGGAAAAAUAUGCUUUAAAUUUUCUAAUUAUUAUAACAAUUUCUUGCUUUCUUUCAGGUCAUCUGUGAUGCUUCACUCUGGCUCUGAUCAACAUAUCUUUAUAAGGAAUCUUUUAAGACUCCCUUGCUUAAUUAGUGCCUUGUCAAAAGCUUCAGAUUUCCUUUAGAGUGAAUCGAUGCUUAAAAGCCAAGCAGCUCUGCAGGUCUGAUUUAUUAAAUUGUGUUUCUUGUAUAAUUUUAUGGACCUUGAGUUUGUUUUCAUUGGCUAAUUUGCUGAAAUCUGAUGGCAGGCCUUUGAUCCUUGUUCUCUCAACAAACUCUAGCUGUCUAGCAAUGAUUUCCAAUGGGACCAUUUUUUUGUUGUGAGUUCAGGUUCAUGACUCUCUUUUUGGACAACAGUAGCCGAGAUUUUUUGCACCCAGAGAAUCAUGAGUUGAUCCUCUGCUGGAGGAACUACAGAAGCUCAAGUCUGUUGGAGAGUGGAGCAUCCAGCAGGCUCUAUGAUUCCAAUUAGUGGGACAUUUCAAUUGCUUUGGUUUAACUUUUUAGUGAAGUACCAGUUCUGUCCUAAAAGUAAUUUUCUCAGGAAAACUAACAUACUUAAAUACCAAUGUUAAUUUGAUCCAUCAUAAGUCAGAAAAAUAUGGUGUAAAUUUUCUAAUUAUUAUAAUAAUUUCUUGCUUCUUUCAGUUUAUCAGUAACUCUUCACUCUAGUAAAUUGAUGCUUCAUAUCUCCAUAAGGAAUCUUCAUAAAGAUUGUAUUUUUUAGCAUCCAAAGACUCAUGAUUGAUACUCUGCUUGAGGAACUGAGAAAGCUCAACUCUGUUGGAGAGUGGAGCAUGCGGCGUGCUCUAUGAUUCCAAUUAGCAAGAUAUUUUAAUUGCUUUUGUUCAACUUUCUAAGCUACAAAUUAUAAAGAUUUAUAAUCCCAUAUGCAUUAUUUUUCAGGCUUUCUAUGUUAAUAUCUUAGUUCUUCUCUAGGAAAAACAGGUAUGUUUCUUCUGUGUUAGUACUUUUCAUAAGAUGACACAUUGUGGAGUUCCAUCAUAUGCAUGACAAGAUAAACCCAAUUCUAAAAUAAACUUAAGCUAAAACAAAAUAUCUUACUACCUGAGGUUCUGUCCUUAAUAAUUCUAUUCAUCAUGUUCAUAUGCAAUCUGAGUGACGUAAAUGUUAAACAUUUUCCUUUGUGUAAUCAUUGUUUUAGAUUCAAUUAAUCUGCAGAUGUACGUUCAGUUUAGACACCUCAAACUCAAAAUCUUCAACUUCUGACAGGCCACCACUUCCUAGUCUCUGCUCAUCUCCUUCCCAUUUAGUUAUUUUCAUUAACCUUUGAUUUUUUUACAUCGUUAAUAGUAAAACAAUCAUGAUUGUACUACAUCUGUUGAGCAUAGAUGCUACCAUUUAAUUUCCAUAUUCAAGUUUUCAUUUACUUUAAUGUGAGCUCUGAAUUUUCUUCUUUUAAAUUUUUGAUUCUGAGGCAGAUUCUUGGAGAAGAGAGAAGCCAAACCAUAUUCAAAGUCAUAGCACUGCAGAGUAUGGUUUUGAUCCACCAAGUCCAGGUCAAUUGAGUGGAAUCUUAUUAAUACUUAAAGGACACAUUUUCCGAACUUGAUGACUGCCUCUAACCAUGCACUAACUAUUUUUUUGUAUCGACUUUCUGUUAAGAAAUUGUGAAUGCAUUGGAUCUACUCAUACGACCUCCCUCCAUCAUGAAUUUUAACAACUCAGUACUUGGAGGAUGGCUACUCAACUAAAUUCUAUUUAUUGGAGCAGAAUUUGAGCUUUUCUUCCUUACUCAGGUAGAGUGCUAUAAAAUUUUCAGUCUAAAAAGUAUCUAUAACCCCCUAUGAAUUUGAAUGUCAGAUUCAGCUGAUUAGCAUGUGACCAUUUUUAUUUUCAGAUGGUGGCAUUUUGAAUCUUUGGAACAGUUGCAGGAGGAAGCUUUGCCAAAGCCUCCCUAUGCAAUACAUGGGCCUUUGGUUGCAAGUGAGAUUUGAGGAUUCUAUUUUCUCUUGUAAGACUUCAACUCAUUUUUUUUGAGUUUUGAGCUUUGAGCUUUUACUUCCAAGCAUGUGCAAAGAAGAAAGAACGCAAAAACAAACGUCCACUUAUAGAAGUUUUAUAUGGAGUGAGACUCCCAUGAAAAAUAUUGUACCUAUUGGUUUGUCAACCUUGAAUGUUAUAGUUUUGUUUCCCAUUGGAUCUUUGAGGAAUGCGUCCGUUGAAUCAUAUAUUUUGAACUUACUACUGAUUUUGUGUAUAUACAUGCAUGUAAAUGAUGUUUUCUUCUUCAUUCAUGUGGAAUUUGAUUCUCUGGUGUAUGGUGAAAAGUUGUAAGUUUGAUCUAGGGUUUUACUUGAAGUGAGGUUAGAUAUACCCUUUUUCUACAUUUUGGUAUAUAGAAGAGUUUACAUCAUAGGCAAAUCACUUCCAAUCCAACCUUUUUCUAACAUUUCUGAUUCCUUUUAUCCUCCUAAAGGUGAUUUUGGUGCAAGUUGGGCUUUUGGGUUAAUUUAAUAGUUUAACUUCUAUUAGAGUCCUUGUUUUCAAGAUUUAAGGAGCAUUAGGUGGCUCAUGAUGAAUGGAUGGAUUCAACUUCCUUUUAAUGUUUGAACCUAUACCCAAGGGAAACUCUCAGACAAAUGAAAAAAAAGAAGAAGGUAUAUAUUUUUAGUAGUAUUUUUAUAGUAUUUAUUUAACAGAAUUUUAUUUUAUUUUUAUUUUUGGGAAAACAAUGCACAUAGAAAUUCACUUCAAAUGAUUCUUUGAAUUUUUUAAAGUAAUUUUAUUAAUUUUUUAAAAAAAUUCAAAUUAACUUUAAAAAGAAUUUCAAAAAGCGUUUUGAAUCUUACUGAAACCUAUUUUCAAUGGGUUUAGAUAUAAUUUUUGGAUAUUAUUUUUGGACGAUAUUUGAUUAAUCAAAAUAAUAGUUUUUGAAAGAAAUAUCUAUCAAUUUUAGUCCAAUAAUUGUUUUGACUAAUUGGACUUUUAAAAGUGAUUUUUAGGAUUUUAUAGAGUAAUAAUUUUUAAAAAGAAAGCAAUUUUAAAAUUUAAAAAAAAUGCUUUUAAGAGUCCACUUGGUAAUGUUUUAGAAAACAAUUCUCAUAAAAAGGUUUUUCAGAAUCGGUUUUAAAAACAAGUCCAAUCAUUUCUAUAAUAAAAUAGUUUUCUUAAUUCAUAAACAUAAAAAGUUCUUAUUUUCUAUAUUUUAGAUUGAUGCAAAGUACACUCCAUACUAUUUUUAAAAAUCAUCAAAUUUAUGACUUUAUUUUUAAAAAAUUGUUUCUCAAGAACAACAACUCUUACAAAUUGAUUCACAUCUUCAUAAAAAAUCUUCUUUUAAUCAAUAAUGCCUUAUCGAAUGCUUCAAAUUUCUAAAAUCCCUAUAAUCAUGUACAUAUGUAACCCAUAUCUAAUUCGUGGAUUCAUUGUGCUUAAUCUAGCUUUACAUAACCAAUGGGCAUGCUCGAAUUCCACUCAUUUGCCACUUUCAUUGUUAAUUAGUAAAUGAUUACAUUCAAUGACAAUAAUCUAAUUUAAUCCACCCUUUCAUGCUAUUCUAAGAUUUCAUCCCCAUUCAUGGAUAGUGAAAAAAAAUAAAGGGUGUUCCUUUUUAAUGUAACAACCUAAUAUUAACAAGCAUUUAGACAUUUUGCUCUCAACAAUGCCAAGAUAUACUAACCCAUUAAUGGUCUAAAAUCAACUUAACAAUUCUCCAAAUGUAAGCAACCAUAAAUCACUCAUUCUAAAAGAUGUUAAAGGAGAAAAAUCAAAAGUGAUUGUUGGUUUAUAAUGUUGGUCCAAUUGAGUUAAAACUCUCAAGGCCUCAACUCAUGCCAAAUAUGCAAAUAGAGAUGGAAUUAAUUAGGAUGUCUCAGCUUCCUUUUUUUUUUUUUGUUGUUGGAUUUAUAUUGGAUGGUGGUAAUUCUAUUUAUCUAUUAAUAAAAAGUUUUCCUUUUUAAUCUAUACUAAAAAAACAUUAAGUUUAUUAAUCUAUAGCAUUAUAAAAGUUUGAAGAAUCUUUAGUGUAAUAAUAUCCAUAUUAUGUUUAUUCAUAUAUUGAAUAUUAAAGCUAUAUUAAAACUAUUAACAUUGAAAAUAUAUAAAUUAGUUUUUAUAUACACAAUACUUGUUCAUAUAUAUUAUAAGAUACUGAUAGAUGGUGACUAAGUAUAUCCCAAACAAUUGCUAUAAUAAUGUGCAAAUUCAUAUAGCAUAUGUUUAUUUUAUAGAAAAUUUUGAUUUAUAUAUAAUUUCACAUAUUUUAUGGGAUAUUUCUCACAUCUUAUGUGCAAUCAUAUUGAAUACUCAUAAAGCUAAUUUCAUUAUUCAUUUAUUACAAUGGUAAUAUUCAAUUUGUUUUUUAGUUAUUUAUUUAUUAUUUGAUUUUUCUCAUUUAUGUUGAAUAUUGUAAUGAUAAUAUUAAAUUCAUUUUUUAAUUACAUAACUGUAACUAAUAUGAUUAUCACUUAUGUUGAUUGCUGAAAAGUUAAAUUGUAGAUGUUAUGAUUCAUUAUUUAUGUUGAAUGCGAAUUCAACAGUUAAAUGUUAAAGAGGGACUUCCCACCUCUAUUUCUUUUCUAAAAAUGAGUGACUGUCUCCUGCUGAAACAUCAAUUCCAAUUCUGGAAAGAGGAAGAAUAGCAGCAUAUAGCUCACAUUCCUCACAGUGUGGCAUAAAUGAUUUUCUUCAAAAGGCAGUAAGUUGUGAUUGAAACUUUCUAGUCAUAUUGUUUUGUUCCAACUUAGUACAUGCUUUAUCACUCUGGGUUUUAAUUCUUCAGCAAUACUUUCUGUUAUCAUGACUGCCUCUAAUUAACCAUAAACUAACUAUUUUUUAUAUCGACUUUGCCUUAAGGAAUUGUGAAUUGAUUGGAUCUACUCAUACUGCUGCCCUAUAAAUUUUCUUCCCUGCUAAAUUUAUGUAGUUAAUAGUUUUGGUAUAGUGCUACAAAAUUUUUAGGGUUUACAAAGUAUUGGUAACAUGUUUUCUCUUUUUAAGUAUGUUUUGGUCUUAAAAGAAAACAUAAAUUUGUCUUGUAAGUGAUGUUUGACUCUCAAAUUUUUUUGAUUACCAUGUGCCCAUUUUUAUUUUCAGGUUGACAUUUUGAAUCUUUGGAGUAGUCCAUUCAAAUCAUUUUUGUGAUCACUUCUUCCAAGAUUUUGCAUUAUAAAAGUUGGUUGAUGUAAAGUGAGAAGAAAGAAUUAAGGUAGCAACUUUUCUUUAAAAAUAAGAAAGUACAUUAAUGUCCUAAUUAAGUUUUAUACUAGAGUGGGACUCCUAUGAAUGGUUAAAUUGCAUAGAAUUCAAUUUAUUUAUGUCUAUCAAUCUUUGUUUAAUUUCUAUGGAAAAUAUUAAUAGAAUGAACUAUUUCAUAUUUUGGUAUAAUUUAAGCCUGAUUGAUACUACUUAAAAAUGUUAAAAGGAUUAAAUUGAGAUAUGAAUUACAGUACCUAUUGAUUUUUUUAUAAUUUACCAAUAAAAUUAAAUAGCAAAGGCAAAUGAGGAGAAAGAGAAUUAGUACUAGGGUUUUAAAUAAGUGUGGUGAUGAAGAUGACGGGCUAAGCCCUUCAUCCAACCUAUGAGGGCUAGCUGAAGUUCUUUAAGUCCUUUUAUGGGUUUUUUUUUUUUUGAAAUCUAAAUAGUAACUUAAUCAUUUAAAGCCAAGUCAUAAGUUUGCUAUGAGUGAAUUGAAUUUCCCUCAUUAAACUUUCUUUGUAUUUGAGGUUGAUAUUAUAUGGUUAUGAUAAUUUUGUUUUUGUUGACAUGCAAUAGAGUUUGCUCCUCCUUUGUAUUUACAAGCUGCUCAAUUUUCAUUUUUAUUUUAUUUACCAAUAACAACUUAAAGCUUGUGGAAAAUUAGGUUGACAACAUAUCAAGUUGGCUUACAUUGGAAUGAGGCUUUUGGAUUUUAUUAUUUAAUAAUCUCGCAUGUAUGCACUAAGAGUUUGUCUUACAGUUAUACUUUUUAAAUAAGAAUAAAAAUUUUCAAGUAUUGAAAAGGUUAAAAACAUUUUUUAAAAUCAUUAUCAAAUACACUAUUAAGUCUAAUAAAAUCAGUAUAACUCAUAGUAUGUUUAGAUGAAUAUGUGAGAAUAAGAACCCUUUUAAUAUUUGAAAGUAUUUAUUUCCCAUAAAAAUUAGUUAUUUUGUAAAAAAAUUAAUCAUUAUUUUUAAAAAUCUAAAAAAAUCAUUUAAGUAAUUUUGAAACUAGUAACUAAUAGAUGCCUUUUUUAAUUAUUUUUAUUAUGUAAUAUAUCACCAAAAAUACUAUCAAGUCACCUAUUGGGUUUAUAUCUAGACCUUAAUUUGACUAAAUGGAAAUAGAUCUUAAUAUUAUUAAAUAUCAAUUUGUUUUUAUUAUUGAAGUGUUAAUUUUUUUCUCAUGAUUUGUUACUAUUGCUAUGAGUUAAAUGAAGAAUCUUUAUCCUUAAAAAAUAAUUUAUUUUAUUUUACUUAUUUUAAAUAAUUUUGAUAAAGAUAUUUCAAAACUAAUAAUUUAAAAAAUAUUAAUUUGAUAUAUUUAGGAACAACCUUAAAUAUUAAAAAAAAUUAUAAUAUGAUUUUAUCUCAUUCAGAUAAGAUAUUUGAAACUUAAUAAUUUGAUAAAAAGAUAGUAAUUUAAUAUAGCUUUUAAUAUCAUAAAGCACCAAAACAGAUUGCAAUAACCAAAAGUUUAGGGAAAAGUGAGUCUUAAUUUACUAAUUUGAAAAAAUAUAAACAAAAGCAUUCCAACUUUUAUAAAUUAAUUUUAUCUUCACUCAUCUAAAAAUAUUUUAAAAUACACACAAUUUUUCUUAACUGAAAAAAUUAUUUAUUGAAAUAACUCUUUUACUUGUGAUGUUAAUAACACCAAUUAACAAUUUUUUUUACCGUGAGAACUGAUUUGAGAUUAAUAAAAUAAGAAAUUUUAAAAAUUAAAACUAAAAAGAACUUUAAAACUAAAAAUAUAAAAAUAAAAUAUUAAUUUUUACUUAGUUAAAACACUAUGGUAGAAAACAUAGAUAUCGAGAAAGUGUUGAGUAAAUAUUUUUUUUUUAGUUUUUAAGUUUUUUUUAAUUAUAUUUAAUUUUUAUGUAUUUUAGUUGUAAUUGUAAUUUUAAUUUUAAAAUUUUUUAUUUUAUUGUUGAUGUCAACUAACAAAAUUUUUAUUCAAUUUUAUUAAAAAUAUAAAAGAAGAUGAGGGGAUUUAUAUAAUAUAGGAUAUAAAAUCAUCAUUAAUUAAUAUAAUAAAGUAAAAUGAUGUUUCAUGAAAUAAUUAUUUGACUUACAAAAAAGUGGAAAUAUUUUUAAAUUGAUGAAGAUAAAACCAAUUUAUAAAAAUUGAGUUUUUUUUUCUAUUUUCUUUCAAAUUAGUGAGUCAAAACCUAUUUUUUUUCAUCAAAUUAUAUGAAAUUAUAAUUUGAUUUAUUUUUAAGUAAAUUUUUAAAAAAAAAGUAGAUUGGAUUUUAUUUAGGUGACUAUUGUAAAGUUAAAAGAAAAACAACAUUUUUCAUUGACGAAAAAAUAAGAAAAUAAAAAUUCAACUUUUUUAUUAACACAAACUUGUUUUAAAAUAAUUAAUAAUUAGGGGGGGGAAAAAGGUGGGGCGCUAGUUAAUUCUUGUAAAAGCAUUUCUAAGAAGUAAUAAAAGACUAGAGAUUGAAUACACUUUUAUUUUAAUCACUUGCAAACAAGCCCUUAAUUAAUAAACAACAAAUAUGAUAAAAUAUCAUUUGAGAUCAUAUUUAUUUAAUAUUAAAAUUUCAUGACAUGCUUCCUAACAUUGUGUAAUUUGGUUGUAAUUCAUUUUUCCCAUGCGAUUUUAAGCCUCUUUUUUAUCUUUAUAAAAUUUUAUGAGCAAACAUAAAAUAUGACAGUCACUUAGAAAGCCUUAAGGUUGUUUGAUUUUCAAAAAAUUUGAAUGAAAAGUAGAAGGGAAAAGUAGAAAAAAAAAAAAAAAAAAGUGAAAGAAAAUAAAACUUAUAUAUAGAGUCAAUAAAUUAUUUGUUAUGUUCUAUUUUAAACCCAUUUAAUUUAUUUUAACCUUUAUAUAUAAAGAUUGAAUAAAAAUAUAAGUUUCUAUCUAAUUUUAUUUUUAUUUAUUUAUUUUUAUAUUUUUCUUAGUAAAAUCGAAUAUGAGAAAAUCAUUUUUUUUAUCAUUAUUAAGUGGAUUUAGAGAAUUGGAAAUUUCAUAAACAAUGAACUAUGAUCCUAAGGUUCUUUUAACUUUUUCUUAACUAGACAAUACUCUUACUGAAAUAUGUAAUUUUUUUUAAAAUGAAAGACUAAGCAAACAAAGUUAAAUUUAGUUGAAACUUGAGUUAAAGAGUUUGUUGAUAAGUCUUGAAACCUUAAAAAUUAAUUUCUAAGUGAAAUGGUCAUUAAAAAACCAUCAAUUAAGCCUUAACCUAAACUGGUUCCAAAUUUGCCUAAACAAAAUGUUGUAAUACUACUCACUUUCUCAAGUUUUCUUAUUAAUUAAGUUCCAAAAAUUAUGAAACUCUCAAGAUUUAAUAUAUAAUAAGUUUAGAAACUUUAAAAAUGAGUUAUAAACCUAAAAAAAAUUCUAAUAACACCAAAACUUUAAAAAUUAAAAACUGUUUCAAAUUAAAUGUGUAUAAGGUUGAUGUAUAUUUUCUUAUUUAUUUGUAAGGCAGGGAUCAAUUGCAACCCAUAAGAUAUGGGUAGGUAGAAAAUGAAUUCAUCUGUACAUUUGGCAUUAGUUGAUAGGCCACCUUCUUCAUCUACCUCUUUCUUCUAUCCAAGGCCCAGGCUCUUCCCUUACAAACCAACAGACAUGGCCGGGGCUGUAGCAGGAGGGGGAGCACUUCUCUUGGCUUCUCUCCAAGUUCUAUUUGAUCGGAUGGCUUCUCGCGACGUCCUCACCUUCCUCCAGGGACAGAAACUCAGUGCUACGCUCCUAAGGAAGCUGCAGAUGAAAUUGCUGGAAGUUCAGGCAGUGCUGAAUGACGCCGAGGCCAAGCAAAUCACGAAUUUAGCUGUCAAAGAUUGGGUCGAUGAGCUGAAAGAUUCUGUGUAUGAUGCGGAGGACCUGGUGAAUGAUAUCACCACUGAAGCUUUACGACGCAAGAUGGAGUCUGAUUCUCAAACUCAGGUACGGAACAUCAUCUUUGGUGAGGGGAUUGAGUCCAGGGUAGAGGAGAUCACUGACACAUUAGAAUAUCUUGCAGAAAAAAAAAGAUGUUCUCGGGUUGAAAAGAGGCGUUGGAGAAAAAUUGUCACAAAGAUGGCCGACAACUUCCUUGGUAGAUGAGUCUGGGGUGUGCGGUAGGGAUGGUGAUAAAGAGGAGAUAGUUAAAUUUUUGUUGUCCCAUAAUGCAAGUGGGAAUAAGAUAAGUGUGAUCGCCCUGGUGGGUAUGGGCGGUAUUGGGAAGACCACACUUGCUAAGCUGGUGUAUAAUGAUAGGAGAGUGGUGGAAUUUUUUGACCUUAAAGCAUGGGUUUGUGUUUCAAAUGAAUUUGAUCUUGUCAGGAUAACGAAAACCAUUCUUAAGGCAAUUGAUUCUGGGACUUCUGAUGACAAUGAUUUCAAUCUGCUUCAACAUAAAUUGGAGGAGAGACCUACGAGGAAGAAAUUCUUACUUGUCCUUGAUGAUGUUUGGAAUGAAGACUAUAAUGAUUGGGAUUCGCUGCAAACUCCAUUUAUUCAAUGUUGGUCUAUAUGGAAGUAAGAUUAUUGUAACUACACGUAUCAAUAAGGUUGCAGCAGUCAUGCAUUCAGUUCAUACUCAUCAUUUGGCAAAGUUAUCCUCUGAAGAUUGCUGGUCCCUAUUUGCAAAACAUGCAUUUGAAAAUGGAAAUUCUAGUCCACAUCCAAAGCUAGAAGAAAUUGGCAAAGAAAUUGUAAAAAAGUGUGAUGAAUUGCCUUUAGCUGCAAAAACCCUUGGGGGUGCCUUAUACUCAGAAGGUCGAGUAAAAGAAUGGGAAAAUGUGUUGAACAGUGAAACGUGGGAUUUACCAAAUAAUGCAAUUCUUCCUGCCUUGAUCUUGAGCUACUAUCAUCUUCCUUCACAUCUAAAACCAUGUUUGGCAUAUUGUUCUAUUUUUCCUAAAGACUACCAAUUUGAGAAGGAAAACUUGAUUUUAUUGUGGAUGGCAGAAGGGUUUUUGCAACAAUAAAAAAAAGGCAAGAGAAUAAUGGAAGAGAUAGGUGAUGGGUAUUUUUUUGACCUAUUAUCAAGAUCAGUUUUUCAAAAGUCUGGUAGCGACAAAUCAUAUUUUGUAAUGCAUGAUCUCAUCAACGACUUGGCUCAACUUAUUUCUGGAAAAGUUUGUAUUCAGUUGAAGGAUGGUAAGAUGAAUGAAAUUCCUGAAAAGCUUCAUCACUUAUCGUAUUUUAGAAGUGAAUAUGAUCGCUUUGAGAGAUUUGAGAUUCUUAACGAAGUUAACAGUCUUCGGACCUUCUUACCAUUGAAUUGGGAGAUCUGGCCUCGGGAAGAUAAGGUUUCAAAGGGAAGAUAUCCACGUAGUAGUAGGUAUGUUUUAGAGUUUCGCUUGAGUGCUUGAGUACUAGAGUUUGGAAUGAUUUAUUGAUGAAAGUUCAAUAUUUACGAGUGUUGUCAUUGUGUUACUAUGAGAUAACGGAUUUGUCUGAUUCAAUUGGUAAUUUGAAACAUUUGCGCUAUUUGGACCUUUCCUAGACACAUCAAAAGGUUACCUGAAUCAAUUUGUAGUUUAUAUAAUUUACAAACAUUGAUAUUACACUAUUGUAAAUGUCUUGUUGAAUUGCCUAAAAUGAUGUGCAAAAUGAUUAGCUUACGUCAUCUUGAUAUCAGACAUAGCAAAGUGAAAGAGAUUCCAAGUCAUAUGGGUCAAUUAAAAAGUUCACAAAAAUUGAGUAACUACAUAGUGGGCAAGCAAAGUGGGACAAGGGUUGGAGAAUUGAGGGAGCUUUCCCACAUUGGUGGGAGUCUUGUCAUUCAAGAUCAGCAGAAUGUGGUUGAUGCUAAGGAUGCCUCAGAGGCCAAUAUGGUAGACAAGCAAUAUUUGGAUGAGUUAGAGUUGGAAUGGAAUCGUGGUAGUGAUGUUGAACAAAAUGGAGCAGACAUAGUGCUCAACAACUUACAACCUCAUUCAAACAUAAAGAGACUCACUAUUUAUGGUUACGGUGGUUCAAGAUUUCCAGAUUGGUUAGGAGGUCCUUCAAUUCUGAAUAUGGUGUCGCUACGUCUCUGGAAUUGUAAGAAUGUGUCAACCUUCCCACCGCUUGGGCAGCUACCCUCCCUUAAACAUUUAUAUAUAUUGGGGUUGGUGGAGAUAGAAAGGGUGGGCGCUGAGUGUUAUGGGACGGAGCCCUCCUUUGUAUCCCUAAAAGCUCCAUCAUUUCAGGGUAUGCCAAAAUGGAAGGAAUGGUUGUGCAUGGGAGGCCAAGGUGGAGAAUUCCCUCGUCUCAAGGAGCUUUAUAUAGAGGAUUGUCCCUUACCAACCCAUCUGCCUUUCUUGACGAGACUAUGGAUUAAAGAAUGUGAGCAGCUUGUGGCUCCACUCUCCAACAGACUUGAGCUUCUGUAGUUCCUCCAGCAGAGUAUCAACUCAUGAUUCUUUGGGUGCAAAAAAUCUCGGCUACUGUUGUCCAAAAAGAGAGUCAUGAACCUGAACUCACAACAAAAAAAUGGUCCCAUUGGAAAUCAUUGCUAGACAGCUAGAGUUUGUUGAGAGAACAAGGAUCAAAGGCCUGCCAUCAGAUUUCAGCAAAUUAGCCAAUGAAAACAAAUUCAAGGUCCAUAAAAUUAUACAAGAAACACAAUUUACAAAAUCAGACCUGCAGAGCUGCUUGGCUUUUAAGCAUCAAUUCACUCUAAAUGAAAUCUGAAGCAUUUGACAAGGUGCUAAUUAAGCAAGGGAGUCUUAAAAGAUUCCUUAUGAAGAUAUGUUGAUCAGAGCCAGGGUGAAGCAUCACAGAUGACCUGAAAGAAAGCAAGAAAUUGUUACAAUAAUUAGAAAAUUGAAAGCAUAUUUUUCCUAUUUAUAAUGGAUCAAAUCAAAAUUGGUAUUUAAGUAUGUUAGUUUUCCUGAGACAAUCAUUUUUAGGACUUAGUUUUCCUGAGACAAUCAUUUUUAGGACAGAACAAGUACCUGACUAUAAAUUGGUGUAAUGCCACCUUCAUUACAAAACUUGGUCAUCGAUCACAAUGUGUGGAAUGUGAGCUAUAUGAUGCCAAUCUUCCCCUGUCCAAAACUUGCACCGAUCUUUCAGCAACGGGCAGUUCUGGAUUGUUAGAACAGAAAGGUUGGUGGGCAGCUGCUCUUCUGUCAAGAAUUGGAGCUUGGGCAGUCACAGAUCUCUAAUUUUUCAAGAGAGGUGAGCAGUUGAAGCUCCAAACUGUCAAGGGACAUGAGAUUUGGAAGAUCUGAGAUUUUGAGAGAGGUAAGAGAGGACAGUCCUUGCAGACCUUGUAUUGGGAAUAUCAAUUCAGGACAACCUUCUAUUAUUAAUGACUGAAAGCAUGCAGCGUUGUGCAGCAGCCGCUUGAGAUUCUUGCAAUUGCAGAUGGAAUAUUGUGAGAAGUCAAGAGCUAGCAAUUCAAUAGACACAAGAUUAGGGCACCCUCUGAUUUUCAACCAAUCAAAAGAUGUAACAUUGCCCUCUGAAGUUGGUAAGGAGAGGGAUUCAAGCCCCUUGAGAUCGUAGAUAUUGAGAUAAGUUAAACUUGGGAAGUUGCCAAGUGGGAAGGAUGAGAAAGAAUUGCAAGUACUUCUGAUGAUCGCCAAAUAGGCAAGGGAAGGGUGGGGACAUUUUAAGAACUCGAGUAGGAGAAACUCUAGUUUCUUACACUCCUUUAUAUAUAAUGAUUUCAUUGUAAUGGGUAAACAAACUCUGCAACAUUCCCUCCUCCAGUAGGGACUCCAAAGAGUCGGAAUUUUGAAUUGAGAGAUCCUGCAGUAGUGGUGGUAGUUCCUUCCACUGUAAGAUGUCACAGCUGAGAGUGGAGCAUGCAGCAUGCUCUAUGAUUCCCAUUAGUAAGAUAUUUUAAUUGCUUUUGUUUGACUUUCUAAGCUACAAAUUACAAGGAUUUAUAAUUCCAUGUGCAUUAUUCUUCAGGUUCUCUGUGUUAAUAAUUCUAUUCACCAUGUCCAUAUGGCAUCUUAGCGCUGUAAAUGUUAACAUUUUCCUUAGUGUAAUCAUUGUUUUAGCUUCAAUUAAUCUGCGGAUGUUCAGUUUAGACACCUCAAACCCAAAACCUUCAGCUUUUGACAGACCACCACUUCCUAGUCUUUGCUCAUCUCCUUCCCAUUUAAUUAUUGUCAUCAACCUUUGAUUUUUUUUACACCGUUAAUAGUAAAAGAAUCAUAAUUGUACUACAUGUGUUGAGCAUGGAUGCUACCAUUUAAUUUCCAUAUUCAAGCUUUUCUUGUACUUACAAAUGAUAAUGUGAGCUCUGGAUUUUCUUCUUUUAAAUUUGUGAUUCUGAGGCAGAUACUUGGAGAAGAGAGAAACCAAACCAUAUUCAAAAUCAUAGCACUGCAGAGGAUGGUUUUGUUCCACCAAGUUCAGGUCAGUUGAGUGGAAUCUUAUUAAUACUUCAAGGACGGAUGAUCAAAUUGGCUGAUUUUCCAAACUUGAUGACUGCCUCUAACCAUGAACUAUUUUUUUGUAUCGACUUAGUGUUAAGAAAUUAUGAACGUAUUGGAUCUGCUCAUACCACCUCCCUUCAAGAUGAAUUUUAACAACUCAGUACUUGGAGGAUGGCUACUCAACUAAAUCCUAUUUAUCGGAGCACAAUUUGAGCUUUUCUUCCUUACUCAGGUAGAGUGCUAUAAAAAUUCAGUCUAAAAAGUAUCUAUCACCCCCUUGUUAGAAUUCAUGAGAGUUUGCCUUUGAAAAUGUCUUAGUUAGACUCAGUCUCUGUUUUGCUCCAUAAUUUUCAGUUUUUCUGUUAGUAGAAGUAGUCAUAGCAGCUGAGAGUUUUUAGCAUUUUCAGUUUGGUUGCAAGCCUAUAAAUAGGCAUUCUCAUUGGUGAAAUAUUGUGUGCCUUUCUCCAACUCAAUACUCUAAUAUUUUCUGCAAGUUUUAGUUCCUUAUUUUUCCCUAGAUUUUAACAGUGGUAUCAGAGCAUUAUUCCUACGGGCUGUGAGGCAAAGUUUUUGAGUGUUUUUAGUAUUAAACACAGUGAGGUUGAGUGCAAACACUAGUGAGGUUGAGUGAUCUAUUUAAGACAAAGCCAUCACCUGCCUACAUUUAGGACUUGCAGACCACAUCUUCACCAAAAUCAUGAACUUGGAAACACCUAAACUGGUUUGGGACAAGCUCCAAGGUGAAUUUGAGGGUAGUGAAAGAGUCAAAACUGUUAGACUCCUCACAUGGAAGAGAGAGUUUGAGUUGAUGAAGAUGAAAGACGACGAAUCUGUCAAAGAUUAUUCUGGCAGGUUAAUGGAUGUUGUAAACCAAAUACGGCUUCUUGGUGAGGCAUUUACAGAUCAAAAGGUGGUAGAAAAGAUCAUGGUUUCAGUGCCUCAAAAGUUUGAAGCCAAGAUUUCUGCAAUUGAAGAGUCUUGUGACUUGCAAACUCUCACAAUUGUAGAGUUAACCAGCAAGCUUCAUGCACAGGAGCAAAGGGUCUUAAUGAGAAGUGAUGAAGCUACUGAAGGUGCUUUUCAAGCAAAUCACAAGGGAAAGAAUUCUGGAAACUUGCAAGGAAAGAAGUUCUUCAAGAACAACAAAGGGAAAACUGAAGGGUCUUCAAGAAAAGGAAAAUUUUCGUCUUGCUCUCAUUGUAGAAGAACCAACCAUGCUGAGAAAGAUUGUUGGCACAAAGGUAAACCUCUCUUUAAUUGUAAUUUCUGCAAUAAACUUGGCCACAGUGAGAAGUAUUGCAGAGCCAAGAAAAAAUAAUCUCAACAGUAACCAGAACAAAAUGCAAGUGUGACUGAAGAAGACAAAAAUGAUGAUGAGCAUUUAUUUAUGGCAUCACAAGCACUUAGUUCUCAUGAACUGAAUACUUGGCUCAUUGACAUUGGCUGCACGAGUCACAUGACCAAAUAUCUGUCAAUAUUUACCUCCAUUGAUAGAUCAGUUCAACCAAAGGUCAAGUUGGGAAAUGGUGAAGUUGUGCAGGCCAAAGGAAAAUGGACAAUUGCUAUCAGCACCAAGAGAGGUACAAAAAUUGUCACUAAUGUUCUUUACAUUCCAGAUUUAGAUAAGAAUCUUCUUAGUGUUGCACAAAUGCUAAGAAAUGGACAUGCAGUCUCUUUUAAAGAAAAUUUUUGUUUUAUCACAAAUGUACAGGGAAAAGAGAUAGCAAAAAUUAAAAUGAAUGGAAAUAGCUUUUAUUUGAAGCUUGAUUUAGUUUAAGGUCAUGUCUUUAGUGCCAAGAUUGAUGAGAGUGUUGUUUGGCACAAAAGAUAUGGUCAUUUCAACUUGAAGUCAUUGAGGUUCAUGCAAGAAGCUGGUAUGGUUGAAGACAUGCCUGAAAUCUUAGUUAAUGCUCAAACUUGUGAAAGUUGUGAGCUAGGGAAGCAACAACGACAACCAUUCCCUCAAAAUAUGUCUAAGAGAGCUACUCACAAGUUGGAAUUAAUUCAUUCAGAUAUUUGUGGACCAAUGAGCACAACCUCAUUGAGCAACAAUGUGUAUUUUGCAUUAUUUAUUGAUGAUCUCAGUAGAAUGACUUGGGUUUAUUUUCUAAAAACCAAGUCACAAGUGCUCUUUGUGUUCAAAAGCUUCAAGAAAAUGGUUGAAACUCAAAGUGGCCAGAAUGUUAAGGUGCUCAGAACUGAUAAUGGAGGUGAGUAUAUCUCAAAAGAGUUCAAUGUCUUUUGUCAAGAAGCAGGAAUUGUACACCAGCUAACAGCUCCAUACUCACCACAGCAGAAUGGAAUCUCUGAGAGGAAGAACAGAACCGUGAUGGAGAUGGCAAGGUGCAUGCUAUUCGAGAAGAAGCUACCAAAACUUCUAUGGGCUGAAGCAGUCAACACCUCAGUAUAUUUGCUUAACAAACUACCAACUAAGUCUGUUCAGAGCAAAACACCAAUAGAGGCAUGGUCUGGUGUAAAACCUUCUGUUAAGCACCUGAAAGUUUUUGGCUCAUUUUGUUAUCUUCAUGUGCCAUCUGUCAAGAGAGGGAAGCUUGAUGAAAGAGCUGAGAAAGGUGUCUUUGUUGGGUAUGCAGCUGAAUCAAAAGGUUACAGAAUUUAUAGCUUGAGUAGAAUGAAAAUCGUGAUAAGUAGAGAUGUGCACUUUGAUGAAAACUCCUACUGGAAUUGGGACUUGAAGAAAGUUCAUAAAUAUGAUCAAACCACUCCAUCUAUUCUUGAACCAGCAAUAGAAAGUACAAUCAUUGAAGGUCCACUUGAUGUUGAAACAACUUCAGACACACCUGUGCUUAAGAUGAGGCCAUUAUCUGAUGUGUAUGAGAGGUGCAAUCUUGUACAUGCUGAGCCUACAUGUUACACGGAAGCUGCAAGAUUUCUAGAAUGGAUUGAGGCUAUGAAAGCUGAAAUUGAUGCUAUUGAAAGAAAUGGAACCUGGAAGUUGACAGAACUACCUGAAGCUAAGAAUGCAAUUGGUGUAAAAUGGGUUUUCAGAACCAAAUUUAAUUCAAAUGGUUCAAUCUUCAGGCAUAAGGCUAGAUUGGUUGUGAAGGGUUUUGCUCAAGUUGCUGGAGUGAACUAUGGUGAUACAUUUGCACCAGUAGCCAGACAUGACACUAUAAGGCUACUACUUGCACUUGCUGGUCAAAUGGGAUGGAAAGUGUACCAUUUAGAUGUCAAGUCAACUUUUCUAAUUGGUAUACUUCUUGAAGAAAUUUAUGUUCAACAACCAGAAGGCUUUGAGGUUAUUGGCCAUGAACAUAAAGUGUACAAGCUACAUAAGGCUCUCUAUGGUUUGAAGCAAGCACCAAGGGCCAGGUAUAGCAGAAUUGAUUCUCAUCUGAUCCAACUUGGAUUUAGGAGGAGUGAAAAUGAAGCUACUUUGUAUUUGAAACAAAAUGAUGAUGGUUUGCAACUGGUAGUAUCACUUUAUGUUGAUGACAUGCUAGUGACUGGAAGCAAUGUAAAAUUGCUAGCUGAUUUCAAAAUGGAAAUGCAGGAUGUAUUUGAGAUGUCUGACCUUGGCAUCAUGAACUACUUCCUUGGAAUGGAAAUAUACCAAUGCAGCUGGGGUAUCUUCAUUUCACAAAGAAAAUAUGCUAUGGAUAUUCUCAAGAAAUUCAAGCUAGAAUCAUGCAAAGAAGUAGCAACUCCGUUGGCACAAAAUGAGAAAAUUUCAAAGAAUGAUGGUGAGAAACUUGAGGAACCCUCUGCAUAUAGAAGCUUGGUGGGCAGCCUACUAUACUUGACAAUAACCAGACCUGACUUGAUGUUUCCAGCUAGUUUGCUUUCAAGGUUCUUGAGUUCACCUAGAAAUGUUCACAUGGGAGUUGCAAAGAGGGUGCUAAAGUAUGUUAAAGGACAACAAAUCUUGGCAUUUGGUAUUUAAAGACAAGAGGAGUUAAGCUAGAUGGUUAUGUUGAUAGUGAUUGGGCAGGAAGUGUUGAUGAUAUGAAGAGCACUUCAGGUUAUGUAUUUACAAUCGGUUCAGGUGUCAUAUGCUGGAAUUUAAGAAAGCAAGCAGUAGUGGCACAAUCAACUACAGAAGCUGAGUAUAUCUCCUUAGCAGCUGCUGCAAAUCAAGCAAUAUGGUUGAGAAAACUGCUUGCUGAUUUAGUCCAGGAACAAAGCUCACCAACUGAGCUUUACUGUGACAAUAAGUCAGCCAUUUCCAUUACUCAAAUUCCUGUCCAACAUGGUAGAACCAAGCACAUAAAUGUAAAAUUCCACUCUAUAAGGGAAGCUGAAAAUAAUUCACUUGUUAAGCUGCAUUACUACUCAACAGAUGAGCAACUUGCUGACAUAAUGACUAAAGGACUUCCUAAAUCAAGGCUGGAGUUCCUAAGGUUGAAGCUUGGUAUGUCCAAGGCAAAUCUCAAGGAGGAGUGUUAGAAUUCAUGAGAGUUUGCCUUUGAAAAUGUCUUAGUUAGACUCAGUCUCUGUUUUGCUCCAUAAUUUUCAAUUUUUCUGUUAGUAGAAGUAGUCAUAGCCGCUGAGAGUUUUUAGCAUUUUCAAUUUGGUUGUAAGCCUAUAAAUAGGCAUUCUCAUUGGUGAAAUAUUGUGUGCCUUUCUCCAAUUUUUAGAUGGUGGCACUUUGAAUCUUUGGAACAGUUGUAGGAGGAAGCUUUGCCAAAGCCUCCCUAUGCAAUACAUGGGCCUUUGGCUGCAAGUGAGAUUUGAAGAUUCUAUUCUCUCUUGGAAGACUUCAACUCAUUUUUAUUUUUUUAGUUUUGAGCUUUGAGCUUUUACUUCCAAGCAUGUGCAAAGAAGAAAGAAAACAACAACAAAGGUCCACUUAUAGAAGUUUUACAUGGAGUGAGACUCCCAUGGAAAAUAUUGUAGCUAUUGGUUUGUCAACCUUGAAGGUUAUAGUUUUGUUUCCCAUUGGAUCUCUGAGGAAUGUGUUUGUUGAAUCAUACAUUUUGAGCUUACUAAUGAUUUUGUGUAUAUACAUAAAUAUAAAUGAUGUUUUCUUUUUCAUUCAUGUGGAAUUUGCUUCUCUAGUAUAUGCCGAAAAGUUACAAAUUUGCUCUUGGGUUUUACUUGAAGUGAGGUUCAAUAUGCCCUUCUUCUGCAUUUUGGUGUAUACAAGAGUUUAUAUCAUAGGCAAAUCACUUCCAAUCCAGCAUCUUUUAAAAUUUUUGUUUCCUUUUUUUUUUUCUAUAGUUUAAAAUGAUGUUGAAAACACUCUAUAAAAAAUAAUUAAAAAUAUCUUAAAUUUAUUCUUAAAAAUAACUACAAACCAAUUUUCAAAAUUCUUUUUUUUUUUUCUUUUAUCAAAAGCUUAUCUGUUUCAAAAUCACAUCAAUUUUGUCCUAGCCAAAUUUUUAUUUAUUUAUUUUUCUGCUAUAAACUAUGAUUUUGGUGGAUGGAGGGACUGUCUCCUCAUUCUGCCACUUGACUGAUAUUCAUAUUCUGUCCACAUUCCCACCGGAAUAUCACAUUCCGACCAUCUCUCCGGCCAAACUGCUGUUAAUUAAUCAGCAUGUCUCCGUCCUCUCUGUGGAACUUUUUCUUUUCUACCCUGAACUAAAAUUGCACUACUAUUAUCAAUGGCUAAAUAUUUAGAGAGAAAAUUUCUCUAAAUUAUUAUUAUUAUUAUUAUUAUUGUUAUUAUUGUUUAAUAUGAUUGAAUUUUUUGAAUAAUUUAUUUGAGUAGAUGAUCAAAACGGAUUUUCUAUUUUUAUCAAACCAACAUUGAAUUGGAAGACGAAAAGUCCAAGGGGGCUCACAUGGUGGGUUCAGCUGUUGGUUUGGGUGGAGUCACUGCAACAGAAUGGGUGUGGGCUGCCCCCCAAAAACCCACUCACAUGACAUCUCUCUUUCCUCCUUUUUCCGUCUAUUCCCAAAACCCAAUGCCCACCUUUCUCACAGGGCUUUUUUAACUUCUCCAGUUAGUUUUUUUUUUUUAAAAAAAAAAAAUUUUUAAAUGAUAAUUACAACAUUGAAAUGUGUCUUUUAAAAAAACAUCUUUCAUAUUUUUCAUAUCAAUGAUACAUAUUAAAAAAAAUUGAAUUUACACUAAAGGUAUCUUUUUGAGAGACCUUCCAUAAUUUCAUAAAACUGAAUUUAUGCUACAAGUGUUUCUUCAAGAGACAUUUUUCUACAAUUUUUUUUAUUAUUCAUACAUGUUAAACAAAUUGCAUUUAUAAUAAAGAUGUCUCUUCAAGAAACACCUUUAAUAUAAUUUUUUUUUUUUUAAUCGUGUGUUAUUGAUAUGAAAAUUGUUGAAGUAUUUCUUUAAGAGAUACCUUCCAAUGUGACGAAAAGUGUGAUAAAUUUGAAAAUGUUUUCCAAUGUAAUAUAUUUUGAAAAAUUAAUUUUAAAUUCGCCAUACUUUUAUCAAAAAUCCCUUUCUCAUACAACCAUUUAAAAAAGACUACCAUGGCCCCAUACUUUUCCACUCUUCCAAGAUUCCAAUUCCAUGAAUGAGAUUGGAAAUGCACAUCUACCCACUUCUUCAUCCCCCACACUUUGGUUUCCCCCUUUUAAUGGAACAACUCCAAAAUUGAGGUAUAUGCAAGCUUUCAAAAAAUGGGUAUGUGCCAAUCCAACGGCCCAAAAUGAACUUGGAAUCUAGAUGUACUUUUUCUCCAUUAUAAGGCACUAAAAUGAAUUCCAUGAUUAAGAUUUUGUUACAUGUUUUGGUUUGGAUCCAAAUACCCUUUUGGACCCAAAACCCUAAUUUGUGUUAUUUUCCUAGAAGAUGAUGAAUCUCACUUCAUUAGGGUUUCAUAUGUAAACAAGUAGCAGAUCAAAAACUACCACAAAGUCACAAAGUGGAACUCGGUCUUCGCAUAUAAAAAUUUAAUACUAAAUCCACUCAUUGUUGGUUUUAAUCAUAAUUUCUAUAGAAAAAUUAGAGCAAGCUAUUAUGUAAAAUUAUGAAUGAAGAUAUGAGAAAUAUUACAUUAUCUAAUUGUUGUGAAAUCUAUCUUAAUUAGGUCUUUUCCUAUCGCAAAAUAAAUAAAUAAAUAGAGUUUUGUAGUUGCUAUAAUAUAUUUGUCUGUAAGUCUUAAAUUGAACUCAUUGGAAGCUCUAAACCUACUAGUGUGAACAAUUGGAUUACUUAAUUCGGUGAUAGCUCAUUCAUUCAUUUUUUUAAUUGAUCUUUAAAUUUCUUUCUUUCUUUCUUUAUUGGUGAUGUUUCUUGGAAAAUGAUGUUGUACGUUUGAGGCAACCUUCCUAGAAAUUGUAGUGUAUUUUAUAAUCUUAUACACAAAGACUAUGUUUGGUUCUCAAAAAUAUUGAGAGAAAUGUAAGGAAAAUAAAAUAGAGAGUACAAAUAAAAGGAAAAAAUAUAUAUUUAAAAUCAAUAAAUUAUUUGUAUAUGUUAUUUCAAAUUCAUUUCAUUUAUUUUUUUUCCUUUAAUAUUAAAAUUAAAUAAUUUUAAAAUAUAUAACUUUGUAACUAAUUUUAAUUUUAUUUGAUGUUCUUUUAUAUUUUUCAUGAUGAAAUCAAAUAUGAGAAAAUUAUUUUUUCUUAACAAGUUUUUUCCUUAGCACUUUUUGGGAAUUAAACAUAGCCUAAAUGAUGAUCAUAAUUUUCUACAUAUUCUCCCCAAGUUUUUAUUUAUUGGAGACAAACACAAUGGGGCUCAUUUUAGAAGUCUUCCCAUAGUUGAGUGAUCACAAAAAGAGGAAUUUUUAAUUUGCCUUUCAUCUUGUUGGUCUUCAAAACAACCUUACAAAAUUGAUCUCUCUCUAAUCCAAUAAAAAAUAAUAAUAAUAAGAGGGACUAUUGAUUUCUAGUUUUUAACAAUAAAAAAAUUAUAAAAAAAAUUCUUACAAAAUAAUUUUUAAAGAACUUUUGAUUCAUGAAAGACCAGUACCUUAGCCCCUUUUGAUCAAAAAUAUACUUUUUAAUUACCAAAAGCAUGUCAAAAGCCUUUUGACUAAUUGAAAAUUUCUCUAGAAAGGAUGUCAACCACUUUUUUUUUUUUUCAAAUAAUUUUCUUUUUGAAAAUAUAUUUUUGUCUUCUCAAUAUUUUUUAUUUUUUAUUUCAAUAAAAGAAAUUUUCUUAUUGUAAGAGGCAUUUUUCAAAGAGAACUUUUAAAAAUUAAGAUAUAAUUCUUCAAAGGCAUUUUGUAAUUCAACAUUUGUAGUUGAAGAAUUUACCUCAUCUUCAUGGUCCUCCAAAGCACAAAGUAAUGUUUGGCAUCCUCAUUUGUGCACUCUUUUUCUAUGGAGGCUUCAUCAUUUUCACUUCAUGUUACCAUCACUACCUUCUUCUUUUUAGCACUUGCGGACUCUUUCUUUGAAUGAAGCCUUCUUUCUUUGACCUUCUCAAAUUUGAUAUAUUUCAUUAACUUCUUUGAGAUGAGAUCAAACUCUUCAUUUUCGCUUUCCUCCUCUUCAUCAUCAAUUGUUGAAGUCUUGAAUGAUAUGUCAUUUUUUUCCUUUUGACCUCUUGAUACUUGUUCAUGUUGAUCUCAUAAAUCAUGAGUGACCUAAUGAGUUCUUCAAGUAGGAGCUUUGAAAGAUCUUUAACUUCUUGGACUACAACCACCUUAGCUUUCCAUUUCUUUGGCAAGGACCUCAAAAUUUUUAUAACCUUUUUUAUUUAGGUAUAGGUCUUUCCCAAAGCUUGAAGUCCGUUGGUGAUGUCCAUGAACCUAGUAAACAUCUCACUAAUAGAUUCAAAUUCUUUCAUUGAAAACAAUUCAUAAUCAUGCACAAGGAUGUUAAUUUAAACUUUUUAACUUGGUUGGUUCCUUUAUGAGUAAUUUUUUAAGAGUCUCCGUAUAUUUUUUGCAGUUUCACAUUGAAGUAUCCUAUUAUAUUCAUUUAUGUCUAAUGCAUGAUGCAAAUAACAUAUAACUUAGCAUUUAGAUGUGAAUUUCUCUUUUCUGGUCCAUCCCACUCAUGGAUUGACUUUGGAAUGGGCGCACCCAUUUUUAAUUUUAAUUGGAAUAUGAUGUCUAUCUUGAAUGACUUACCAUAAAUCAAAAUCAAUAGACUUUAAAAAUCAAAUAAUUUGUUUUCUAAUACCCAUGAUCAUUUCUAGAAAAAAAAUGGGGUCUAGAAAUUAGAAAAUCUUUCAGCUACUAGCCAUUGGGGUUAAUAUGGUAUACUAGAUUAAUCAAUCGUUUCUCAACUGAUUAAGGUUUUAGCCUUGACUGGUUGAGGCUUAGCCUAGACUUGUUAAACAUCUUUCUGGUUUUGAGCAUUUUUACUCCCCUCAACCUAUCUAAGCCUAAUCAAAACAUAUUUUUGAGAUCUAUUUAAGGCUAGAAAACCUUGGUUUAUAGCUCCUUAACCUUUAGGAAACCUUUAAAAAGAUUUUAACCAAAUUAAAACUUAAAUUUUUCCUUGAUUCAAUUUUUAUUAUCUAAUUUGUAAAAGAACUAAAAACAAUUUAGCACUUGGAUGAUUUUAGGUGCUUAAGUAAAAAACAAAAUGCAUGGUCCUAGUGCACAAACAACCUUAUAACAAGAUCUUUGACAAAUGAUCUUCAAUGAUUUUUUUUUUUGGAAGUUUUCUUCUUCUUGAUUUUUAUUUCACUUGAUUUAUUUUUAUGAUUGUCACUUUGAAAAUCUUCUUGUUUAAACACACUUAGAAUAAACCAUUAGUUCCAAACCUUCUUUUACGAUCUUUAAAAUCGAGAUUAACAAGGCAUUGGUUUCACAAAAUCAUUGAUUUUUUUUUUCUUUUUCAAUCUAAACUAAAGGUAUAUCAAUUUUAUUAAUUAAUAAAAGAUCUUCUCUUUGCAAAGCAAAAGUCAUAGCUAUGGUUGGAGAAGAAACAUAUUGCUCUUUUGUUUUUUGCAAAACAACUUAAAAUAAUUAUUGUUACUAGUUGGAAUUGGUUUCCAAAACUCAUAAAAUUGAUAAUAAAGACAAACUUAUGCCUAAGGUCAAAUGAGGUUUAUAGUAUUAAGUAUCAAAGUUUUAAAAAUGUGAGUUAAGGCUUUAAUGUACUAUAUCAUAGAUAGCCUUUUCAAAUUGUAAAAAUUCACUUCUUUUAUAGAAAUUUAUUAUUUAAUGUGGGAGCGACAACUUGGGCCUAGUUUUCAUAUAAUUGAUCUGCAACUUUGAAAAUUUGAAGCGAUUGUUGACUAAAGGUGUGAUAAGUCCAUCUUCGACUACUACAAAAAUAAUUUAUGGUGUCACUUUUAAAAUAAUGACACCAUAUGACUUAAAAUUUAUAAAGGUGACACAUCGUAUAAAAAAUUUCAAUUAGGAUAGAUGAUAUUAAUUUUAAGUUUAUAGUGUCAGUUUUCGAAAAGUGACACCAUAUAAAAUAAAAAUUUUAAAAUAUUAUAACUUAAUGGGCCCACUUUGAGAAUAAUGAUACUAUAUAAAAAAACUCAUUGUUCCCACAUACCCACAAUCCAAAAAAAUCUCAUUCCAUAACCCUAACCAUAAUUUUCUUCUACCUCUUCUCGUACCCACAGUUAACACACAACUACUCUUCUCUACUUCGUGGACUCUCAGGUAACCCAAAAUCUCUUAGAUCUAUCAUUUUCAUUUUUUUUAUUAAUGCCAAAAUCUUUAUUAGCACAAUUGAUUUACAUUCAUUGAUUUAGUAUAUCUGUAAUGUGGAUUAUGUAAAUAGUGUUUCUUUUAUUGAGUUGUGGGAAAUUAAAAAUUAGGUUUAACAUUCCACCAUAUCUUUUGUUUCAUUAUUAAAUCCAUAAACCCCAAAAUGAAUGAAAAUAAGAUAAAUGAAUGGUUGUUUAAUAUCUUUCAUACUCAAAAUGAGGGAUAAACAUUUUACAGUAUGAAAUGUUCUUUUAAUCUUACAAGAAAUUUCCUUUGAUGGGACUUUCUAUUUGUUUUCUAGGAAUAUUAUAGUUUAUUGUGAUGGGGAUAUGUAUCGAUGAUAUUGGAAAAAUAAUUUUUUAGAAAAUUAUUCUCAAUAUUGUCAUCUCCCACAAAAGGAAAAAUGAAAUAGUUUUCAUAUCAUGUUGGAGUUGGUUUGGAAUAUUGGAAUUAACAAUGAGAAAUUAAUUUUAUUUUUUAUUUAUUAAUGUAAAUGAAUUUUUUUUUAAAUUUAAAUAGGAAUGAAAAUUUUUAUAAUUAUAAAAAUGAUAAAAUCUUAUAUUUUGAUUUUUUUUUUCUUUUCCAUUGUAUUAUGGUUAAUAUCUCAUCUUGUUCUAUUCAUAUUUUUUCUAUUCUUAAAAUAUGUUUUUUGUUUUUUUUUUUUACCUUCUUUCUUAUUGUUUUAUAUGCGUUGACCAAAAUUUAGAGUAAUUUGAGCUUUGGUGAUGAAAUUUCCCUUUCAAGGUUAGAAAAUUUCUAUAAUUAAAAUCCUUUUAUUACAUAAAUUUUCCUUUCAUAAAACUUUUUUUUUUUUUGAAGAAGAAGAUGUUUUAUAAUUUUCUUUUGAUUUUCUAUGAAAUUUCCUUUAAUCGGAUUGUUUGCUUAUUUUAUAAGAAUAUUAUAGUAUGUUGUGAUGAAGAUAUUGGUUGGUCAUAUUUGGAAAAUAAUUUUUGUGAAAAUUAUUCUCAAUAUUGUCAUCUCCUUCAAAAGGAUUCUAAAAAUAUGUUUUAUUUUUGUCUUCUUUUCUUAUUGUUUUUAUAUGCAUUGACCAAACUUUGGAGUAAUUUGAGAUUGAUGAUGAAAUUUUCCUUUCAAGGUUAGGAAAUUUCUAUAAAUUCCUUUUAUUACAAAAAAAUUUCCAAUCCCUUCCAUAAAACUCCUCAUUUUCUUCAUUUUUCUUUUUUCUGAAAAAAAUGUUUGAUAAUUUAUUGAUCUAAAGAAUAUUAAAAGUAAAAAAUUUAAAAUAUUGAAUAUCUUUUCCUUUGAUGUUUUUAAUUUUUUAUUAUUUUUAUUUGAACAUAUUUUUCAUAUCCAAUUUUUUUUAUUAAUUAUUUUAAUUAGAAAAAAUAAAUAUCAAUUGGAGUUAUGACUGAAAAAUCAAUAAUUUUUAUGAAAGGUUCUUUAAUUCUUUCUCAUACUAAUUUUUCUCUUAACAUUUUUUUAAUAAUGAAUUAGGUUUUUUGUCUUAUAUACACAAUUUUCAUGCUUGUUAUAAUAUCAUGUCCUCUCAUAUUAGUAGUUGAAAACAUUUUUAUAUUUUGUUACUAACAUUUUAUUUUAUAUAAUUGAGAUAAAAUUUAAUGGACAUUGUUAUUUUACAAAAUGAACAUUAAAAGAAAUAUUGAAAUUAAAAAAAUCCUUCCAAGAAAAAAAAAAAAAAAAAAUAUAUAUAUAUAUAUAUAUAUAUAACGAAUUAAAUGUUAAAAAUGAUUUUUAAAAGCAUAAUGAAUUAUAAAAAAAACAAAUUUAAAAAGUGUAGGUUUUAAGUGGAAGAUUACUAUUUUCUAAAAUUUUAGAUUUAUUUUUUGAUUUUCUAGUUUUGAUUUAUUUUUUAUUUUCUUGAAUUGUUUUUAUUUGAGUUCAAAUGUGACUGUUUUGUUAUGAGAUUCAGUGAAGAGAUAAUUGUUGAUUCUACAGUUAUUGUAUUAAAGGUUUUACUCAUUUAAUGAAUUGUGAUAUUAUUGUGAUAUUAUUAUGAUAGUUUCAUUCUUCCAAUUAUUGUGAUAUUAAUGUUAUUCUUAUUUGAUUUCAUUUUGAUGAUAAAAAAAAAACAUAUUCUCAAGUAGAAUUUGAUGAAAUUAGAGGAGAAUUGACUACUUUUGUGAUAUAACUAAUCAUGAAUCAUGUUCAUAUAUCAUGAUCAUGCAUGAUGAGUCCCUUAGUUGUUAUAUGAAUUUUCCAUUUGUAGAGUAUAACAUUUCUUAUUCUUUACGAACUAUUUUUAUAUCGAAAUGGGAAAAAGAAAAAAGAAAACAUUAAUACUUAGAUUUGUUUAUUUUUUAUAACAUUAAUUAAUUUUUAUUUUCAAUAAGAACUUUAAAACUCAUUAAACUAUAAAAUGCAGGUAUACACUCUUGGGAGGACAUUAUGAAGAAUAAAAAGAAAAGAAAAAGAGGCAACAAGAUUUUGGGUUUUUAGAUGUGACUUUUAUGUUAUACAUUAUAGGACAUAAACGUUACUUUAUUUGGUGUUGAGAAUUUUGGGUUUUUGGAUGCAACUCUUGUGUCAUUUUAUGGUUAGCUAAUUUUAUGCAUAUGAAAUGCAGGUAUACAUGAAUGUUGGAAUGCUUAACAUUUCUAAAUCAUAUUUUAAUGUAUAUUCACUUUUCUUUUUUAGUUUCGGUGGGUUUGAUGUACUAUCAUUUUGUGAACAUUUGAUAUACAAAUAUUACUAGAUGAUGUAAUGUAUUACAGGUUAAUCCAUAAGCAUUACGAAAAUAUAAUUUAAAUGUGAUAUGAUUAUUAUAUUUAUGGACAAAAUAUACACAAGUUGAUCUUAUUUAUUAAUAAGCAUUACAAAAAUAUACAAGCUAAUUAACCAAAAACAACCAUAUCUUCCAUAAUCAUUUACAAUGAUGUGACACCAUAACUCAAAGGUGAUGCAUUUAAUAUGACACCUUAUAUAUCUCACACAACUCUAUAUUAAAUUAAGUAUCACUAAAAAUAUAUGGUGUCACUUCUAAAUGUGUCACCAUUUAUCUGCUUUGGUGUCGGUUCCAAAUACGUCACCAAUUGGUACUCUCUAUUGUGUCAGUGGAUAAGGUGAUGCUAUGUUGUAGUGACACCCUAUGUUUAUAGUGACUCAUUAUAAAUGUCACCAUAUAGUGAAUUCUUAAUUCACUGCAAAUAAUAUAAGACUCUUAUAUCAAAAAAGAUAAAAUUUCUAUAAUCUCUAUGAUCAUGUGCACAUGUAACCCAUAUCUAAUCCCUAAAUUAAUUUUCUGCGAUCAAGAUUUGCAUAAUCAGUGUGAGUGUUGGAAUUUCACUCAUAUCCCACUUUCAUUAUCAAUUACUACAAGAUUAAAGUCAAUGACAAAAUCUAAUUUACUCCACUCUCAAGUUCUCAAAUUCCCAUAAUGCAAGUAGGAAUAAGAAAAGUGUGAUUGCCCUAGUGGGUAUGGGCGGUAUUGGAAAGACCACAGUUACUCAACUGGUGUAUAAUGAUAGGAGAGUGGAGGAAUGUUUUGACCUUAAAGCAUGGGUUUGUGUUUCAGAUGAAUUUGAUCUUGUCAAGAUAAUGAAAACCAUUCUUAAGGCAAUCAAUUCUGGGACUUCUAAUGACAAUGAUUUGAAUCUGCUUCAACUUAAAUUAAAGGAGAGCCAUAGCAGGGAGAAAUUCUUACUUAUCCUUGAUGAUGUUUGGAAUGAAGACUAUAUUAACAGGUAUUUGCUACAAACUCCAUUCACUGUUUGUUUAAAUGGAAGCAAGAUUAUUGUAACUAUACGUGGUGAUAAGGUUGCAUUAGUCAUGUGUUCAGUUGGGACAGUUAUCCUUUGAGUACUGUUGGUGGCUCUUUGCAAAACAUGCAUUUGAAAAUGGAGAUUUUAGUCUACAUCCGGAACUAGAAGAAAUUGGCAAAGAGAUCGUAAAAAAGUGUAAAGGAUUGUCUUUGGUUGCAAAGACUCUCAAGGGUGCCUUAUACUCAGAGUUACAAGUAAAAGAAGGGGAAAACCCAUGGAACGGCGAAACAUAGGAUUUACCAAAUAAUGAAAUUCUCCCCACCUUAAGGUUAAGUUAUUAUAUUCUUCCUUCACCUUAAAGCAAUGUUUUGCAUAUUGCUCAAUUUUUCCAAAGGACUACAAAUUUGAAAAGGAAAACUUGAUUUUGUUAUGGAUGGCAGAAGGUUUUUUGCAACAAUUUGGAGGUAAGAAAACAAUGGAAGAGGUAGGUGAUGGAUCCUUUUAUGACCUAUUAUCAAGAUCAUUUUCUCAUAAGUCUAGUAGCCACAAAUCAUAUUUUGUAAUACAUGAUCUUAUCAACGACUUGCUCAAUUUGUUCCCAGACAAUUUUGUGUUUAGUUGAAGAAUGAUAAGAUGAAUGAAAUUCUUGAAAAGCUUUGCCACUUGUCAUAUUUUUGAAGUUAAUAUGAUUGCUUUAAGGCUAUGUUUGGUACGCAAGAACGAGGUUGUAAUUAUAAAUAAAAUUAAAAAUAAAUAGUUUUUAAUAAAGUAUGAAUAAUAAUAUUAUAAUAAAACCAUAAAUUAUAUUUUUUUUAUAAAUGUUAUAAAAAUAAGGAUAUUAACAUCUUAUAGAAGCAUAAUUGAUUUAUUUUGUUAAAAAUAAAUAAUAAUAAUAUAAAAUUAAUAAUUGUUAAUACCAUUUUUAAAAAUCAUUGAACUUAUGACUUCGUUUUUUUUAAAUAAAAAAAAUUAUUUUUGAAGAAUAACAACCACACAAUAGUAUUAAUUUUUAGAAACAAUUUUAUUUUUAAAUCAUAAGCCCAAAUAGUUUUUUAUUAUUUAGCAAAAAAAAAAAAAACUUCCAAAGUUUUUUUUUUUCUUCAAUGAAAAUAAAAAAUUAUUUUAAACUAAGUGUGGACCCGCAUUUUUCACUUGCGCCCCCACUCGAUCGGCGAGACUCGCUUUUUUAUUUGUGAAAAAUAAUUUUUGGAAAAGCCAGAGUCGCCACUUAUUUUAUUUUUAUUUUAAAGGGAAAAUAAAACAAGAAAGGAAAACUCUAAAAAAAAAUGACUCCAUAAUUUUUGGAAAAGCAUGUCUUUGAAAACCCGAGUCUAGGUCCGGGGAUCAGGUUACUUAUUGGGAAGGUACCUCUAGGAGGUAGCACCCUUCUAAGCCCUAAAGAGGUCUCUACUAACAAAGUUAAGGGAAGUGUGGCCAUUAAUCAGUUAAUUAUGGAUACCUAAGUAGGCUAGGUGAUUUUAAAGAGUGGCAUGCCAAACACAAUCAAAUUGCAAUAAAGGAGAGUUAGGGUGCGUACCUGAACCGCUCUUCAAGCGCUAUCAUACAACAUAAGAGUUAGUGUAGGAAUCUAUCACACAACAUAUGUCUUAUCCAGGCAAAUCUAAUAUAUAUUUAAACACCCAAGAAUCACAUCAUGCAUGGAUGUAGUCACCAAUAGCAUACGUGUCCAUAGAAUUCUAAAAACAAAAUAUGAGAAGGAGCGUACCUAGAUAGCAAGCUAAAGCGCCUUUAUGGGAAGCAAGGUUAGCCCAAUAACAAAUAUAAAACAAAUUCAAGCAUAUCUCCAAGAGGAAUCAAAAUCAAUUAAAUACCAAACAUUCACCUUUAAAAUCAAUAUUAGUGAAGAUAUCAAGAAUGUAGGACCCCCACCAAAGUCCAUAUUACUUUUGCACGAAUUGAUUCAAUGAAUUCCAUUGUUUGGAAUCAUGAAGUUUGUUCAUGCUUGUUGAAAAUCGAGAAAAAUCAAGAAAUUCAGUUGAAAAUCAAAUAAAAUAGUGAAAAUGCAUGCCGGAAGGAAAAUGGCAGUAAGAGUGUUAGAAUAUGGAUUUUAUACCUAGAAAAGGACUUAAGAUGAAUUUUUCAAAACCAGGAAUGUUUAGUUGAACAAAGGUUCAAAAAUUCAAUUUAAAACAAUAAGUUUCCAAUCAAAGAAGCAAACAGAGGAGAAGGUGUGUAUAGCAGGGUUGCCAUGAAGUGAAGCCGGGAAAUUUUGGAUAGAAGGGACCAAUUCACUGCAAGAGUAUUCAACUGUCAAAUGUUUCAACGAGCCAAGCUAUCCGGGUGGAGAGUGAAUUGUUGGCCACAGUUACUCUCCUCUCCCAUCCGGCGGAAGGCGCCGGGUGUGAAAUAUCCGGAGAAGGCGGAACGUCGAACGGAUAGAAUGGCGGUUGUGAGAUCGGCCGGGUAUAACGGCGGCUGUGAGAUCGGCCGGGUAGAAUGGCGGUUGUGAGAUCGGCCGGGUAGAAUGGCGGCUGUGAGAUCGGCCAGGUAGAAUGGUAGUUGUGAGACAUCCAGAGAAAUGGGAGGUCGGCCGGGUGGAAUGGCGGCUGAGGUAUCCGGGUGGAAUGGGCGAUGCCAUAAACUAAGAACCCUCAAGAACUCUGCAUCUGUUUAACUCCAAGAAAACCCGUUUUACACGGCCUUUAUCAAGUUCCCACCUUUCUCGGGAUGUUCAUGGUCUCCAUAUCCGAGAAUACCAAGGUGAAGAAAGGGAAGAAACGUAGAUACAGAUGCACACAAAAAAGACCAAGAAAGAAAAAAAGAGAAAACAGGGAAAAGGAAGAUGAUAGGUCGGUAAUCAGAAUAAGUCACACUUUAUGCUUUUCAAAAUGGCUUGAAGAAUUGAACGCAUUAAGACAAACUUAGUUCAUAUUAUACCAAGAUUUCACAAACAUUAAAACUCAGCCAUAAAUCUCUGUUUCAGCUAUUUGUAGAAAGAAUCUAAGAAAUCAAGAACACAAUCAUAACAGAGCAAGCUUGAAGGAAAUUUCGAUUCAACAACGUAAAUAAGUGGCCCUCAAUGUCCACUCCAAUCAACAAGAAUAACUUCUCGAAAACAGCCAGAGAAUCUAGAGUGGAAUGUAAACGGGAAUACCAAAAAAAAUAAAAAAAAAAGAACAAGAAGCGUACCUGGCAGAUUCCUGGCUGCAAUCUCCCUUUUCCUGCUCUUCUGCACCUUUUCCCUCUCACAAUCAAAAGAAUCCCCCCUCCCUUUCUUCUCUCACAUAUAUAUGUCAACCUUCCCAAAAGAACAACCCAAAUCUGCUGGAGGAAAAUCCCCUCAUUCCUUCCUUUUGUAAUCUACUUUCCGUUCUUAUUUUCUUCCCUUUUAUAACCGAUUCUCCCAUGGAAAUAAUAUAUGUGCUAUCCUUCUGAAAACAAAAUCUCUUUUUAAAAAAAAUUCUGUUGAUUCUCCUUCCAAAUAGAUGACGACCCGUUUCCUCAUGCCCAAAAAGCCAAGAAAUAUGAUUUAGAAAACUUGUAAUAAGAUAAAAUAAAAUAAAAUAAAAAUAAUAAAGAAAUCCAUAUAAGCCACACAAGUCAUGUAGGUCAUGCAAUCAUGCAAGUCAUAUAAAAAGUGGGUUUAAAAGUGCUUAAAUGGGCCUAGUGUGUCUAAAAGCCUAGAGCGGUGCCUCAUGGGCCAAGUGUACCUAAAAGCUAUCCUAAAAAUGAACGGAAAAGCCUAAGUCUAAAUUAGGGCUGCCAAGAGUCACAAUAAGGGGUCAGAUAAUCCCUCAACCAAAAUCUCCGAGGUGGCUCAGAAAAAGGUAAGUUGUACGAGUAGUAAUGGGCCACCAAGGAACUAUUUUGAAGCACUGAAAACGAACUUAAAGUCAUGUGCUAAAGGGAAGAAAUUGAGGGUCUACACUAAGGUUUAAAAAAAAUGAAAAUAAAAUAUUAUUUUAAACUGAGAUUUAAAAAAAAAUGAAAAAAAAAAUAUUAUUUUAAACUAUAUGUAUGAAUAUUGUAAAUUCAUUUAUGAAAAAAAAAAUUAUUUUAAACUAUAUGUAUGAAUAUUGUAAAUUCAUUUAUGAAAAAAAAAAUUAUUUUAAACUAUAUGUAUGAAUAUUGUAAAUUCAUUUCUUUUUUUCAUUCUCAUUCUGUUAUUGCUUAACAUUGAAAUAAAAACAAAUAAUCAUUCUAAUGUUGCAUUGUUAUAUGCAUCCAAAACAUAAGAAUUGGAAUUAUCAAAUUCAUUCUUAUUCAAGGAUGAAUAAGAAUGAAAAGAAAAUUUUCUUUCUCAUUCCUCAUUUCCUUUCACCAAACAUGCUCCGAGAGAUUUGGGACCCUUAAUGAAGUUAAUGGUCUUCGGACCUUCUUACCAUUGAAUUUGAGGACUUGGCCUCGAUAUGAUAAGGUUUCAAAGGUUAUAUAUCUACCAUAUGGGCAUAAAUAUCUUCUACAAUUUUGCUAAAGUAAUAGACUUUGGAAUAAUUUAUUACCUAAAAGUUCAAUAUUUAAAGUUCAACUAUCAUUGUGAUAUUUAGACCUUACAACCAUCAAAAGGUUAUCUGAAUCAGUUUGUAGUUUGUAUAACUUACAAACAUUGAUACUAUAUUAUUGAGAUUCUCCUAUUGAAUUGCCUACAAUGAUGUGCAAAUUGAUUAGGUUACAUCAUCUUGGUAUUAGUCACAGUGGAGUGAAAGAGAUGCCAAGUCAAAUGGAUCACCUUUUACAAAAAUUGAGUAACUAUAGAGUGGGGAAGCAAAGUGGGACAAGGGUUGGAGAGUCUUCAAAUGGUGCCGGUAGUGGUAGAAGUAGAGGGUAUGACUUCAAGUAGGUACUCUAGACCACGAAUUGGAGUUCAUUAACGUGUUCUUUAAUUUUGAAGGAUUUGCAAAGAAACUUUCAAAUAUCCAAAAUCUUAAAAAAAAUAAUAAUAAUAAAAUAAAAUAAAAAAUAAAUAAAAGAGAGAGAGAAGAAGAAGAAAAAAAGAAAAAAAGAAAAGACCCAACAGAAUAAUUUUGUAUCUUAGGAAUAAGAGUUGAAUCCUCCAAUCAGCAAGAAUAAUUAUUUAAUGAAUCAACCGGAUUGAGACACAAAGUCUUCAGGUGUGAAAAGCCUGAGACUUUCCCAUUUUUAUUAAUCAAAAUAAUAAUUUUUGAAAGAAAUAUCUAUCAAUUUUAGUCCAAUAAUUAUUUUGACUAACUAGACUUUUAAAAGUGAUUUUUAGGAUUUUAUAGAGUAAUAACUUUUAAAAGAAGGCGGUUUUAAAAUUUAAAUAGUGCUUUUAAGCGUCUACUUGGUAAUCUUUUGAAAAACAAUUCUCAGAAAAAAGAUUUUCAAAAUCGGUUUUAAAAACAAAUCCAAUUAUUUUUAUAAUAAAAUAGUCUUCUUAAUUCAUAAAGGUAAAAAGUUCAUAUUUUCUAUAUUUUAUAUUGAUGCAAAGGAGGCUCUAUACUAUUUCUAAAAAUCACCCCAAGGAGAAGUUAUUUUGAUUCCUUAGUAUAAGUUAUUUUUAAAACACUUUUUUUUAAAAAAAAAAUGGAUAAGUUGUUUUUAAAAAUAAUUUUUUAUUUUGAUUUUGUAAAAAUACAAAUUGUAAAUUUAAUUUAAAUAAUAUACAAUAAAUUUAAUUCAAGUUAAUUAAACAUCAAAAUAAUUUUGUAAUUAAAAAUAAAUUAAAAAAUAAAUAUUUUUUAAUAAAAUAUGAAUAGUAAUAUUGUAAUAAAUCAUAAAUUAUAUUUUUUUAUAAAUUUUAUUAAAAUAUAGAUAUUAACAUUUUAUAAAAGCAUUGAUUUAUUUUGUUGAAACUAAGUAACAAUAAUAUAAAAUUAAUAAUUGCUAAUACAAUUUUUAAAAAUUAUUAAACUUAUGACUUUGUUUUUAAAAAAUUGUUUCUCAAGAACAACAACCAAACAAUGUUAUUAAUUUUUGAAAACAAUUUUAUUUUUAAAUCAUAAGCUCUAAUAGUUUUUUAUUAUUUAACAAAAAAACAAAAAAAAAAAACCCUCAAAGUUGUUUUUUUCUUAACCGAAAAUAAAAUAUUAUUUUAAACUAUAUAUAUAAAUAUUGUCAAUUCCUUUCUUUUUUUCAUUUUUGUUUUAUUAUUACUUAACAUUAAAAUGGAAACAAAUAAUCAUUUCAAACUUGCAUUACUAUAUACAUCCAAGUAUAAAAAUUGGAAUCACCAAAUUAUUCAUUCCCAUUCAAGGAGAAGUAGGAAUGGAAAGAAAAUUUUCUCUCUCAUUCUUCAUUCCCAUAUACCAAAUAUUGUCUCAGAGAUUUGAGACCCUUAAUGAAGUUAAUGUUCCUCGGACCUUCUUACUAUCAAAGUUUAGGACUUGGCCUCAGUAUGAUAAGAUUUCAAAGGUUAUAUAUCCAUCGGAUGGGCGUAAAUAUCUUCUACAGUUUUGCUUGAGUAAUAGAGUUUGGAAUGAUUUAUUACUUAAAGUUCAAUAUUUACUGAGUGUUGUCACUGUGAUAUUUAGACCUUACCUCCGCACCCAUCAAAAGGUUAAAAAGAAUCAAUUGUCACUUAUGGGUUGUUUCAGCGUGAAAUUGAAGUUGAAUAAUGGAGGUGAAAUCCAAAAGCCGAGAAGCAGCCAUUUGGGUUAUGAAAAUGAUUUAUAUAUUGGAGUGGUUUGAGGGUUGGCCAUUUAAACCAUGCACUGUGAACUUUUGCACCUUUCUCUUUGGCAGCUUGAGCCAACCAACUUACAGAACAACAAAAAUUGAAGUAAUGAUUCCAUGAGUUGGGUGUGUGUAGGUGGGUAAGAGUUGAAGGCAAAGCAUGUGCUCUUGCAGGCCACUACCCGCCUGUUGUCGUGAGAUCUCACUUGGAGACCCACCGGACACAUGGUGUUGAGAAGGUUGACGUUGGAAAGAUGAAAGGUGGGGAUAAUCUCGGCUGGUGAUACACACAACACUAUGCACCCGGAACACCCACAGGAAACGAAGAAGAAUAACAAGAAAAUAGAACAUCCAAAAAAAAAAAAAAUUGCCCCCCAUGCUUACCUGAGAGCUCCUCCAAAAAAAAAAAAAAAAACCUGAUCGUUGGACUUCUCCCCCAGCCUCCUUGUCCUCCUUGCAGCUGGCUUCAAUUUUUUUUUUUCUUCUCUCAGCUCCGUCCCUCUUUUUCCUCAACCCCCCACCUUUUUUUUCUCUUCCUCUCUGAAAAACCCUGUUCCAGCCAUCAUCCAUCUGCCACUCUCUGUUCCAGCCAUCACCUCUGUUCAGAGACAUCCCUCUCGCAACCACUAGCAUGGGAAGUUGGUGGUCCUUUGUCAUGCGUCUCAACAUGCAGCUCGCUUGGAAAACGUCUCCCACUCCUCCUGCAUGAGAUGUUCUCCGGGGGUGAUAUGAAAAUACCCCUUGGUCCAAGAGGGGUCUACAAUUACAUUAUUUAAUUGUUGUGAAAUCUAUCUUAAUUAGGUCUUUUCCUAUUGCAAAAUAAAUAAACAAAUAAAUAGAGUUUUUGUAGUUGUUAUAAUAUAUUUAUUUGUAAGUCUAAAAGUGAACUCAUUGGAAGCUCUAAACCUACUAGUGUGAACAAUUGGAUUACUUAAUUUGGUGAUAGUUCAUUCAUUUAUUUUUUUAAUUAAUCUUUAAAUUUAUUUCUUUUUUUCUUUAUUGGUCAUGUUUCUUGGAAAAUGAUGUCGGACGUUUGGGGCAACCUUCCUAGAAAUUGUAGUGUAUUUUAUAAUCUCAUACACCAAUGGUGAUAUUUCUUGGAAAAUGUGGUUUCUUGUUUUUUCAAUUAAUCACAAAGGUGAUCCAAUGGUCACGCCUUGAGUUAUUGAGAAACCAGACUUUGGUUCCACAUUGCCCUUGGCUUUUAGUCCAAGUAGUAGGUGGUAUCCACAGCCAUAUAUGAUAGUGUUUUCCACUCCCAAGAUUCCAUGAUAUCCCUCUGGUUAUCUGUUCUCAAUCCUAGUAACAAAUAUUGUUAUGAGCACAUGGUUCUACACCUCAUGCUCAUAUGCUUUAUUGAAUUUAACGUGAUUGUUGAAUGAAGGUAUGACAAGUCCAUAUUUUUUUUAUAAAAACCAAAUGAUUAUGAGACUCUUAUAACAAAAAAAGUUAGAAAAUUUUUAUAAUCCCUACAAUCUUGUACAUAUCUAACUCAUAUCUAAUCCUUAAGAUUGUGAUCAAUCAAGAUUAACAUAAUCAUCAAUCGGUGAGUCAGAAUUUCACUCAUUUACCACUUUGAUUAUUAAUUACUAAAAGAUUAAAAAUCAAUUUACUCUACCCUUUCUUGCUGUUCUAAGAUUACAUCCCCAUUCAUAAACCUUUGAUUGAUUAAAAAUAUGCAAAACAAUAAUGGUGUUCCCCACUAUCCAAAGAUUCGAUUUCUAGCAGAGAUUGAUCUCUUUGGUACAUACAUGCAUUCAACAAUUAUACAAAACAAUAAUUGUUUCCAUUUCAUAUUGAAGAUUUUAAAAUAAAGACCAGACAUUUCCAAUAAAGAUUAUAUUGCAGUGCAUUUCAUAUACAUGAAACAAAAACUACUCUCUUUUACCUUCUACUUGAUUUCUCUUAUUCACCACCCACUUCUCUUCUCUUUGUGAAGCUUCUACUUGAUUUCUCUCAAUUCACCCACUUCUCUUCUCUUUGCGAAGCUUCUACUUGAUUUCUCUCUACUCACCCACUUCUCUUCUCUUUGCGAGGCUUCUACUUGAUUUCUCUCAUUCACCCACUUCUCUUCUCUUUGCGAAGCAAAGACAUGGCUCCAGUUGGAGAGGCAUUGCUCACAGCUUCUAUUCAAGUUUUGUUGGAAAAGAUGGCUUCUCGCGAGGUCCUGAGCUUCUUCGGGGGACAGAAACUCAAUGCUGCACUCUUGAAUAAGUUGAAGAUCACAUUGCUCACUGUCCAUGCAAUCCUCAAUGAUGCGGAGGUGAAGCAGAGUGAGAAUCCAGCAAUCAAAGAGUGGCUCCACGAGAUUAAAGAUGCUGCCUACGACGCGGAGGACUUGUUAGAAGAGAUUGCUACAGAAGCUCUUCGGUGCACGACGGAGUCUGACUCCCAAACUAGUGGAACUCAGGUAUGGAACGCCAUCUCGACCUCUCUUAAUCCAUUUGGUGAUGGGGUGGAGUCCAGGGUUGAGGAGAUAUUUGAUAGAUUAGAAUUUCUUGCUCAACAAAAAGACGCUCUUGGGUUGAAAGAAGUUGUUGGUAAGAAACUAGCAAAAAGAUGGUCGUCCACUUCUGUGGUGGAUGAAUCUGGUGUUUAUGGCAGGGAGGGUAGUAAAGAGGAGAUAAUUGACAUGUUGCUCUCAGACAAUGCAAGUGGCCAUGUCAAAACUGUGAUAGCCAAAGUUGGCAUGGGCGGCAUUGGGAAGACCGCCCUAGCACAACUUUUGUAUAAUGAUGAAAGGGUAAAAUCAUAUUUUGAUAUGAAAGCUUGGGUCUGUGUAUCCGAAGAAUUUGAUCUCUUCAGGAUAUCGAAAACAAUUCUUGAGGCCACUAAUGGAGCCGCUUUUAGUUGUACUCGUGAUGUAAAUGACUGAAUCUGCUUCAAGUGGAGCUAAGAGAGUCCCUUAAUGGGAGGAAGGUUCUAAUAGUUCUGGAUGACGUCUGGAAUGAGAGCUACAAUAACUGGGACAUGCUACAAACUCCGCUUAAAGUUGGAGCAAGUGGUAGUAAGUUUAUUGUAACCACACGCAAUGCAAAUGUUGCAUUAACCAUGCGUGCGCAUCACACUCAUCAUCUCGAACAACUAUGCUUUGAAGAUAGUUGGCGGCUGUUCACAAAACAUGCAUUUGAAAAUGAAGAUCCUCUAGUACAUCCAAAACUGGAGGCCAUUGUAAAAGAAACCGUGCAAAAGUGCCAGGGCUUGCCUUUAUCCAUCAAAACACUUGGGGGUCUUUUGCACUAUAAGAUGGAUGAAAAAGAAUGGGAUAACAUAUUGAGGAGUGAAAUGUGGGAUUUGCCGAGUGAUGAACUUCUUCCAACUCUGCGGUUAAGCUAUUGUCAUCUCCCCUCAAAGUUGAAGCGAUGCUUCGCGUAUUGUGCAAUUUUUCCUAAGGGCUAUCAGUUCCGAAAGGAGGGGUUGAUUUUAUUGUGGAUGGCAGAAGGUUUUCUGCAACAACCAAAAAGCAAGAAAAGAAUGGAAGAGAUAGGGGACUGGUACUUUCAUGAAUUAUUGACAAGGUCAUUUUUUCUUAAAUCGAGUAGCAGAGACUCAUGUUUUGAAAUGCAUGACCUUAUAAAUGACAUGGCUCAACAUGUAUAUGGAGAUUUUUGUACUCGAUGUUUGGAAGAUAAGAUGAAUGAUGUGUAUAAGAAGACUCGUCACUUCUCACACCUUGUAAGUGAAUAUGAUUCCUUUGAAAAGUUUGAGACUCUUGUUGAAGUUAAAUGCCUCAGAACCUUCUUUAAAUUCCAACCACUAUUCAUGCAGACUUGCUUAAGUAAUAGGGUUUUACAUGAUGUGAUACCAAAUAUUAGAUGCCUCCGUGUUUUGUCCUUGUCUGGUUAUUGGAUUGUUGAUUUGCCUGAUUCAAUUGGCAAUUUAAAAUGUUUACGUUUUUUGAACCUUUCUCACACACCUAUCAAAAGGUUACCAGAAUCAGUGUGUAGUUUGCAUAAUUUACAAAUAAUUCUACUCUCUAAUUGCCGUUGUCUCCGUGAGUUGCCUCAUGGAUUGAAGAAAUUGAUUAACCUAUGUUAUCUUUGUAUUCGUGAUUCUGGAAUAAAAGAGAUGCCUGAUCAUAUUGGUCAAUUGAGAAAUUUACAAGAAUUGAGUAGAUUUAUUGUGGGUCAAACAAGUGGUCGUAGGAUUGGAGAGCUCAGGGGGCUUUCAGAAAUUAGAGGGAGGCUGCACAUUUCAGAACUCCAGAAUGUGGUUUGUGGUAUGGAUGCCUUGGAGGCAAAUUUGAAGGAUAAGAAGUAUGUUGAUGAUUUGGUGCUGGAGUGGAAGAGCAACUCUGAUGUUCUACAAAAUGGAAUUGACAUAGUCAACAACUUGCAACCGCAUGAAAAUGUCAAGAGGCUUACCGUUGACUCCUACGGGGGUACAAGAUUCCCUGAUUGGUUAGGAGAUCGUUUGUUCUUAGAAAUGGUGUUCCUAAAUCUCAAGAAUUGUCAACAUUGCUCUUCUUUGCCGUCACUCGGCCAGCUAAGCACCUUUAUAUCUCAGGGAUGCAUGGCAUAGAGAGAGUUGGUACUGAUUUCUAUGUCAAUAAUUCUUCCUCAGUAAAGCCCUUCACAUCCCUUGAAACUCUCGUUUUUGAGAAGAUGAGACAGUGGAAGGAAUGGGUAUCUUUCGGAGGAGGCGAAGGUGGAGCAUUCCCUCAUCUGCAGGUGCUCUGCAUAAGGCACUGUGCCCCAACCUCACUGGAGAAUUACCCUGCGAACUUCCUUCCUUGACGAAACUUGAGAUUUGUGGAUGUCAGCAGCUUGUGGCUUCAGUUCCAAGGGUUUCAGCCAUUCGAGAAUUUAAGAUACUCAAUUGUGGUCAGGUUCUGUUUGGAAGCCCGCCUUAUGAGUACUUCACUCAUCUGCAAACUUCAGGAAUUGAAAUUUCAGACAUCUCACAGUGGAAGGAACUACCUCAGGGACUGCGGGGGCUCACAAUUCUAAAAUGCGUCUCUGCGGAGUCACUACUAGAGGGAAUAAUGCAAAACAACACUUGUCUUCAACACUUGAUUCUCAAACGUUGUUGCUUUUCCAGAUCCUUGUGCAGAUGUUGUUUACCCACUUCAUUGAAAUCACUACGCAUAACUACGUGUAGAAGACUACAUUUCCUCCUUCCUGAGUUCCUAAAAUGCGACCAUCCCUUCCUUGAACGAUUGCACAUUGAAGGUGGUUACUGUAGAUCUAUCUCUGACUUCUCAUUUGGCGUCUUCCCUAAGUUGACUCGUCUUGAAAUCUAUGGUAUUGAGGAGCUUGAAUCCCUAUCCAUUUUGAUUUCAGAGGGAUCUCUCCCAGCUCUCGAUAUACUGCUAAUCCAUACCUGCAACGAUCUCGUAUCUAUUGAGUUUCCAACUUUCGAGUUGACACGCUAUGAGUUCUUACAUUGCAAGAAGCUCAAGUCGUUGAUGUGCUCCCUCGGCUCUUUUGAGAAACUAAUUUUACGAGACUGUCCCCUAUUGUUGUUUCCAGUUGGAGGUUCUGUGUCCAGCAUAAAUUCACUUAGAAUUGACAACUGCGACAAACUCACACCCCAGGUGGGAGUGGGGCUUGCAAGGACUGGCUUCUCUCUUACAAUUCAGCAUUAGAGGUGGAUGCCAAGACUUGGUGUCGUUUCCAAAGGAAGGCCUGCUGCCCUCAACUCUCAACUCUCUUGUAAUUGAAAGUCUCCCAAAUCUCAAGUCUCUAGAUGGCAAGGGGCUUCAACUGCUUACCUCUCUUCAAAAAUUACGCAUCAAUGACUGCUAGAAUCUUCAAUCCCUGCCAAAAGAGGGGCUUCCCACCUCCAUUUCUUUUCUAAAAAUUAGCAACUGUCCCCUGCUGAAAAAUCGAUGCCAAUUCUGGAAAGGGGAAGAUUGGCAGCGUAUAGCUCACAUUCCACGCAUUGUGGUGGACGACCAAGUUCUGUAAUGAAGGUACUUAUUCUGUCCUAUAAAUGAUUUCCUUCUAAAGAAAGUAGGCUGUGAUUGAAGCUUUCUAGUCAUAAUAUUAAUAUCUUUUAUUAUUUGUCACUUUCCUGUGCUGAAAAAAUAUUACACCAAUUUAUGUCAUGGCAGGCCUAAAUACCAAUUUUAUUUUGAUCCAUAAUAAAUAGGAAAAAUAUUCUUUAAAUUUUCUAAUUAUUAUAACAAUUUCUUGCUUUCUUUCAGAUUAUCUGUAUGUCUCGACUCUGGCACUGAUUCAACAUGUCAUCACGAGGAAUAUUUUAAGACUCACUUGCUUAAUUAGUGCCAUGAAAAAAUGAUGCUUAAAAGGCAAGCAUCUCUUCAGGUCUAGAUUUCGUAAAUUGAGUAAUUUUGUGGACAUUGAGUUUGUUUUCACUGGCUAAUUUGCUGAACUGUCAUGACAGAUUUUUUUUUUCCCAUCCAAAGACUCAUGAGUUGAUACUCCCCUCGAGGAACUACAGAAAGCUGGACUCUGUUGGAGAGUAAAGUAUGUGGCAUGCUCUAUGAUUCCAAUUAGUAAGACAUUUCAAUUGCUUUGGUUUACCUUUCUCAGCUACAAAUUACAAUAUUCAUAAUCUCACAUGCAUUAAUUCUUCAGGUUCUCUGAGGCUGCAUCUGUGUUGAUAUCUUAGUUCUUCUCUAGAAACAACAGGUAUAUUUUGAUUCGUACUUUUCAUAAGCUGACACAUUGUGUAGUUCCAUGAUUUUCAAAACGAGAUAAACCUAUCAUGGCAGGCCUUUGAUCCUAGUUUUCUCAACAAAUUCAAGCUGUCUAGAAAUGAUCCUUCCAAUGGGACCAUUUUUUCCUGUGAGUUCAGAGUCAUGAUUCUCUUUCUGGUAGACAGUGGCAGAGAUUUUUUUUUCCCAUCCAAAGACUCAUGAGUUGAUACUCCCCUCGAGUAACUACAGAAAGCUGGACUCUGUUGGAGAGUAAAGUAUGUGGCAUGCUCUAUGAUUCCAAUUAGUGAGACAUUUCAAUUGCUUUGGUUUAACUUUCUCAGCUACAAAUUACAAUAUUCAUAAUCUCAUAUGCAUUAAUUCUUCAGGUUCUCUGAGGCUGCAUCUGUGUUGAUAUCUUAGUUCUUCUCUAGAAACAACAGGUAUAUUUUGAUUCGUACUUUUCAUAAGCUGACACAUUGUGGAGUUCCAUGAUUUUCAAAAUGAAUACUAAAUUCUACUGAAGCUAAAACAAAAAUCUUACUGCCUGAGGUUAUGUCUUUGAUGAAUUUUAUUCACUAUGUAGGGAAUAAAACCAAAUUCCCAACCCGUGAGAAACAAAAAAUUAGAGAAAAACCCAUGCCAAAGAAAAAACAAUCACACGCACAAGACAGUAUUUACGUGGUUCGGCAAUUUGCCUACGUCCACGGAGUUGCAGGGAUAUCACUAUUAUCAGGGAAGAAUACAGAGUACAACCUGGCGGCUACAAUAUUCUCUAUAUAUAUAUAGCACAGCAACCCUACCAUACUAAAAAACCCUAAUUACAAAAGGUGGUUCCACAAUGGGCUAAACGGGCCCAACAGGCCUCAAUAAAUCUCCCAUUAAAAAACCAUGCAAUAUUAUUCGGGUCGGGUCGUCAAACCGGAUCAAACAAAACUAGGCUCCACAAAGCCCAACACACUAUGUUCAUACGGCCUCCGAGUGACCUAGACUUUAGCAUGUGCCUUAGUGUACACAUUGUUUUCAUCUCUUUCAGCUUUAAUUGAUCUGCAGAUGUUCAGUGUAGGCACCGCUCAUCUCCUACUCAUUUACAUGAUUGCCAUGGACCUUUGUGCUUUACUUUGUUAAUGAUAAGGUAAUCAUAAUAGUACAUUAGUUGAGCAUGGCUGCAACCAUUUUCAUAUUCAGGCUUUUCUUGUGCUUACAAAUGAUAAUGUGAGCUUGAAUUUUCUGUUUUUAAAUUUGUGAUUCUGAGGCAGAUAUUUGGAGAAAAGAGAAGGCAAACCAUAUUCAAAGUCAUAGCACUGUAGAGUAUGCUUUUGUUCCACCCAAGUCCAAGUCAAUUGAGUUAAAUCUUAUUAAUACUUCUAGGACACAGGUUCAAAUCAUUUGAUUUUCCAAACUUGAUGACAGCAUCAAAUUCUGCUGAUUACCAUGUGAACCAUUUUUAUUUUCAGAUGGUGGUAUUUUGAAUCUUCAGAGCAGUUCCAGGAGGAAGCUAGCUUUGCCAAAGCCUCCCUGUGCAAUACAUGGGCCUUUGGUUGCAAGUGAGAUUUGAGGAUUUUAUUUUAUCUUGGAAGACCUCAACAGAUUUUUUUGAGUUUUGAGCUUUGAGCUUUGAGCUUUUACUCCCAAGUAUGUGCAAAGAAGAAAGAAAGCAAUAAUAAAGAUUGGUUUACUGAAGUUUUAUAUGGAAUGAGACCCAAUGAAAAAAAUUGUAACUAUUGGUUUUUCAGCCUUGAACAGUAUAGUUUUGUUUCCCAUUUUGUUCUUUGAGCAAUGUAUUUGUAGAAUCAUACAUUUUGAAGUUACUACUGAUUUUGUGUAUAUACAUACAUAUAAAUGAUGUUCUCUUCUUGAUUCAUAUGGCAUUUUCUUCUUUGGUAUAUGCCGAAAAGUGACAAGUUUGCUCUAGGGUUUUACUUGAAGUGAGGUUAGAUAUGGUUUUUUUUUUUUUUUUGUGUAUAUAAGUGUUUACAUCAUAGGCAAAUCACUUCCAAUCUAGCCUCUUUUAACAUUUUUGGUUCCUUUCAUCCUCCUCAAUGUGACUUUGGUGCAAGUCGUCUUGAUAUAAAUGUUUGGAGUUUAAGCUUUUGGGUCAAUUUAAUCUUUAACUCAACAUCAAAGUCUCUGUUUUCAAGAUUUCCUGGUGCUCAUAAGAUGUUUAAAUUGAUACCCAAGUGGAAUUCUAGGACAAAUAUAUAUAUAUAAAAAAAAAAAAGUAUUUGUAGUAGUAACACAUUAUAUAAGAGGAAAACGUAAUUCAAAAAAAGAAAAAAGAAAAAAGAAAACAUAUAUACCAAGUAUCAUGUAUCAACGCACUUCAAACGAUUUUCUAAAUUUUUAAUAUUUUUUUCAAAUACUUAACUUUAAAAAAAUUAAAUAAAUAACACUUUAAAAAGUGCUUUUAAUUCUAAUAGAAUCACUUUUAAACGAAUUUGGAUAUAAAUCAAACAAGUUGAUUUUUAGUGCAUCUAAGGCCCUUUGGGUAAUGUUUUUAAAAAUAAUUCUUUUACAACUUUUGAAAAAAGUUUUUAAAAACGGUUCAUAAUUAUUUUCGGUAUAAAAAAUAGUUUUAUUAGUUUAUUAUCCAUAAAGAUAUCAUAUACUUAUCUACUAUGUAAAAGUUUUUAUUUCCAAUUCAUGAAUGAGAUCAGAAACCCAUCCACAUCUACUCACUUUUCCAUCCCCACCCAUGGAGAAGAAGAAAAAGGAAAAUUUUGGGUUCCCCAUGGAACAACACCAAAUUGAGGUAUAUGCAUGGAUGAAAAUUUCGCUAAAUAUUGAUAUAUUGCAUAUCAGGGGAUAUGGAAAUAUCGGCUAGGCAAAAUUUCAAGAAAAAUCGCUGAAAAUCGCCAAUAUUUCCCUAUAUAUCGGUGAUUUGGUGAUAUUUCGCCGAUUUUUCCCAAUUUUUUCAGGUGGUCAACACAGGUCAACACAUGUUACAAUGAAGGCUUAAACUUGCUGUUAAGGGGGCUUGAACCCCAAACAAAAGGCUUAAACUUGCUAUUGAAGGUACUUGAACCCCAAACAAAUUAAAGGCUUAGCUAAGCUUGGCCUACCCUUGUUUAAUAUAUUGCACCAAACAUGUUUAUAUUGAAAUUCAUCAAAUAAAACAAAUAUUAAAAGAAUAUUUUAGAGAACAAAAUAAUUAUAAUAUUUUAUAAUUAAAUAAAAAAAUUCAUUUAAUUGAUUACCAAAAAUAUAAAAGUUAUCAUGAUAAUUUUCUUCAUAAUGUUUUUAAUAUCAUUAAUAGAUUAAUUAAAUAUUAUAAAAUUAUAUAUAUAUAUUCUAUAUCAUUUAAUACAAUUGAAUUAAAUGAAUCAUAAUUUUAAUAAUAAAUAUAUUUUAAAAUUAAACAUAUUAUAAUCAAUAUCACAAUAUUAUUAUGAAAUAAUAUUUGAUGUAAUUUAAUAAUAAAUGUACACUUAUAAAAUUCAUAUAUUUUUAUCAAUACAUAGAAUAUUAUUAUCAAAUAUGAUAAAUCAUAAUAUGCAUAUAUCAAAUUCUUCAACAAAACGACUUUAAAAUAUUUAUUAUAUUUCUAAUUAUAUUUUUAUAAGGUUUUUCUUACAUUUCCAUGAAUUUUGAUCAAUUUUUGGUCUUUCGAUAUUUUUUUCCAAAAUAUCUAUCGAUAUAUCCGUAAAAUCGAAGUACCGAUAUAUUCGUGAUUAUUGAUAUUUUCAUCUUUGGGUAUAUGCAAGCUUUCAAUGAUGGGUGUGUUAAUUUAGAUCUUUCAAUCCAAUGGCCCAAAAUGAACUUGGAAUCUGGUUGUGUUUUGCUCCAUUAAGGCACUACAAUGAAUUCCAUGAUUAAGAUUUUGUUACAUGUUGUGGUUUGGAUCCGUGUGCCCAUUUGGACCCAAAACCCUAAUUUCGGUUAUUUUUUAGGAAAUAUUGAAUCUCACUUCAUUAGGGUUUAAUAUGUAAACAAGUAACCGAUAAAAAACUACCACAAAGUGACAAAGUAAAACUCUGUAAAAAGGGUCUUCACAUAUGAAAAUUUAAUACUAAAUCCACUUAUUGAUGCUUUUGGUCAUAAUGCCUAUAGAAAACUUAAAAGCGAGCUAGAAUGUAAAAGUAUAAGUGAAGAUGCAAAAAAAAUAUUAUAUUUUCUAAUUUUUGUAUAUCAAUCUUAAUUAGGUCAUUUCCUAUUGCAAAAAAAAAAAAAAAAAAAAAAAAAAAAAAAAAAACUUGAAAUUUUUUGUACUUGUUAUAAAAUAUUUAUUUGUAAGUCUAAAAGUUAGCUCAUUGGAAGCUCUAAAUCUAUUGGUAUGAACAAUUGGAUUACUUAAUUUGAUGGUAUCUUAUUCAUUUUUUUUUUUUAAAUUAAUCUUUAAAUUUAUUUGUUUCUUUCAUUAUUGGUCAUGUUUCUUGGUAAAUAAUGUUGUCCAUUUGUGGCAAUUUUCCUAGAAAUCACGUUGUAUCUUAUAAUCUCAUACACCAAGAUCAUGUUUGAUUUCAAAUUCAGUUUUGUGGAAUUAUGAAAGGUAUCUUUUGAAGUGACACCUUCAAUAUAAAUUCAAUUUUUUUUCAAUGUGUGACCGAUAUGAAAAUUAUGGAAAGACGUCUCUUAAGAGACACCUUUAAUAUAAAUUUAUGAAAUUGUGGAAAAUGUCUUUUAAAGAGACAGUUAUAGAAUAAAUUCAAUUUUGUAAAAUUGUAGGUGUCUCUUCAAAAGACACCUUUACUAUAAAUUAAAAAAAUUUCAAUAUGUGGCUGAUAUGAAAAUUAUGGAAGGUGUCUCUUCAAGAGAUAGUUUCUGACAUGAAAAAAAACUACAAUAAUUCCUUAAUAGCUUCACAAGUACCCCUUUUUAAUUUCUUUUGUUUUUAUAAUUCAUUGUAGAAAUUAAAAAAAAACCCUUUCCAAGAACCAAGCAUAGUUUAAAUAAUGUUGAUAAUUUUCUACUGAUUCUCCCCAAACUUUUAUUGGAAACUAACAUAAUGGGGCUUAUUAUAGAAUUUUUAAUCUACCUAUCAUUUUGUUGGUCUUCAAAACCACUUUACAAAAUUCAAAACAAAAAAAAAAAAAAAACAAAACAAAAAUAGAGGGAACAUAGAUUUCUAGCUUUUAAAAAUAAAAAAAUAAAAUAAAAUAAAACCCAACAAUUUCUUAAAGUAGGUUUUGGACCUAAUGAAAUACAUAGCAGUUAAACAAUGUUAAAUGACAUAUGACUGUUUGAAAACAAUGUUAAAGACAUUAGUUCGAUCACUGUGAUUCUUAUUACAGCUAGAAUUUUAUUUAUGUAUCUUUUUGUUCGUGUAUCACAUUAUAGAGUCUACCAUUGUGAGAACUAAUGCCCCUUAAGCUUCAACACUCAUCUCAAUUUUAUGAAGGUUCUUUUAAUUAUUAUUUUGAAUUGGGAUUUGGCCACAACCUAAAUUAACCAAGAAUUGACAAUUGAGACAAACUCAUACUCCAAAUCCAAUUGGUUGAACUAAUUGCACUAUGGAAUGCUCAUAAUGUUGGUUCGGUUCAAUAAUUGAGUCGCUACCGGUAUCAAACUGAAAACAAACUAACUAAACUAUCAUUCAACUCUUUGGACCAAUUCUAUGGUCCGUACUGUCAAUUUGGUUUAGCAAUCUAGUCGUGCUAGGUAAUGAAUUGAAAACAAAGUUGGGUUGUCUCUUGACCAGUGAACCCAAUAUAUUAGAAUGUAAAAGGCAAAUGAUAAUUAUGCAUGCGCUACUUUUGUGUUUGUUGUAGUGUUAAAUUAUUUUGAAUGUGUAUUCAUAUGUUAUCAUUUUUAAUAAUUAAAUAUAUUGUAGCAAAGUGCAAAAGGCAAAUAAUAAUCAUGUCUCUUGCUACUUUUAUGUUUAUUGUAGAGGCAAAUUAUUUUGAAUGUGUAUUUAUAUGUUAUCAUUUUAUAAUUAAAUAUAUUAUUUAUCAAGAUUUAUACAAUAAUGUAAACUUAAUAAUUUUUAAGAUAAUAGAGUAGGAUAAUGUAAUGGAUAAAAUUUUAUUAUUUCAUUCUAGAAUAUAUCAUUGAAAUAGUAAAUCAUAAAUAUUAUAUAUUCAUACUAUUUAAUAAAUAUACAAAUAUGGAAAUGAUAUAUGUUGACAAUUUUGUUCAUUUUAAUGUUUAACCUUAGAAGUCUUUUUAAAUAAUGACUUACUCUUCAUUGAAGAUCAAGAGUUGUUGUUCGUCCAAUUGGGAAGUCAUAGGUAUGUCUAAAAAUGUUUGGCUUAUAGCAAAUUAGGCUCCCAAGAGGUAUAAAGAGAAACAAUACCUUCUUAAUUAAAGAAAAUUGAUUUUUUAUGAAUAUUGAAAGAAAUAGGGGAUGCUUGAGUGGAAAGCAACACUCAAGCGCUAGGAUCGCUCAAUCGCUUAGCAUUGUUCAAGUGCCCAAGGUGCUCAAGUGAUGGUUAAGUGUGCCCAAGGCGCUCACGAUUUUUCUGCUGAGAUUUGGAAGAUAUUUUUGAGAAUUUCAUGCAAAUCUCAUUUGGAAACCUUAUGAUACCAAAUCUCUUUGAGAUAUUUGCCUAUAAAUACCUCAUUAUAACCCUUCUAGGGUUAAAGAUUGGAGAGAUUUCGAAGAAGUCUCCUUGAGAGAAAGCAUAAUGAGCCACACUAUUCUCGAUCUCUCAUUCGAAGGAUUCAAGCAUUGAAUCUUAGGUUGAAGACUUUCAUCCCUUCAGCAAGGUUGAAGAGUAUUCAUUGGAGCAAUCAGAGGUUGCUACGUUGCGGAUGUGGAUCAAGUUGUAGGUACUUGAAAGUAAGUCUUUAGAGUAAAGUGAUCAAGUAAAUAUGUAUAACUUGAUCUCAUAUAGUAGAUUUAGAUUAACAGUCCUAAACCUCAUGAUUUUUUAUCUCGAUAGUUAGUGUGGGGGUUUUCCACAUAAACAUCCUUAUGCUUGAUUGCAUAUCUUUAUUAUCUUAUUUGCAUUGCCUAUUAUGAAAAAAUUUGAUAAUAGUGACUAAGUAUAUCCCAAACAAUUGCUAUAAUAAUGUGCAAAUACAUAUAGCAUGUGUUUAUUUUAUAGAAAUUUUUUAUUUAUACAUAAUUUCACAUAUUUUAUAGGAUAUUUCUCAGAUUUUAUCUACAAUCAUAUUGAAUAUUCAUAAAGCUAAUUUCAUUAUUCAUUUAUUAUAAUGGUAAUAUUCAAUUUAUUUUUUAUUUAUUUAUUUUUUAUUUGAUUUUUCUUAUUUAUGUUGAAUAUUAUAAUGAUAAUAUUAAAUUUAUUUUUUAAUUACAUAACUGUAACUAAUAUGAUUAUCACUACUGAUUGCUGAAAAGUUAAAUUGUAGAUGUUAUGAUUCAUUAUUUAUGUUGAAUGAGAAUUAAGCAGUUAAAUGUGAAAGAGGGACUUCCCACCUCUAUUUCUUUUCUAAAAAUGAGCGACUGUCUCCUACUAAAACAUCAAUACCAAUUCUGGAAAGAGGAAGAAUAGCAACAUAUAGCUCACAUUUCACACAUUGUGGUAUAAAUGAUUUUCUUCAAAAGGCAAUAAGUUGUGAUUGAAACUUUCUAGUCAUAUUGUUUUCUUCCUGCUUAGUACAUGUUUUAUCACUCUAGGGUUUAAUCCUUCAACAAUACUUUCUGUUAUCUCGACUGCCUUUAAUUAACCAUAAACUAACUACUUUUUAUAUCGACUUUGCCUUAAGGAAUUGUGAAUUAAUUGGAUCUACUCAUACUACCACCCUAUAAAUUUUCUUCCCUGCUAACUUUACGUAGUUAAUGUUAGAAAAGUUAAAAACAUUUUCUAAAUUCAUUGUCAAAUACACUCUUAAUUAUGAUAAAAUCAAUAUAACUCAUAACAUGUUUAGAUGAAUAUGUGAGAAUUAGAACCCUUUUAAUAUUUGAAAGCAUUUUUUUCCCAUAAAAUUUGAUAUUUUUUAUAAAAUUAAUAAUUAUUUUUAAAAAUAUAAAAUAAUCAUUGAAGUAAUUUUUAAACUAGUAACUAAUAGAUGUUUCUUUUAAUUAUUUUUAUUAUGUAAUAUAUCAUCAAAAAUACUAUCAAGUCACUUUCUCAUGCAAUUUGACUAAAUCAAAAUAGAUCUUAAUAUUAUUAAAUAUCAAUUUGUUUUUAUUGUUGAAGUCUUAACUUUUUUUCCUAGUGAUGUAUUACUAUUGCUAUGAGUUAAAUGAACAAUCUUUAUCCUUAAAAAUAAUUUAUUUUAUUUUAGCUAUUGUAAAUAAUUUUGAUAAAGAUAUUUUGAAACUAAUAAUUUAAAAAUUAUUAAUUUGAUAUAUUUAGGAACAUCCUUAAAUAUUAAAAUAUAUAUAUAUAUAUAUAUAAUUAUGGACCCCGCAUUUCGGCUCAUGCGUUUCCCACUCGAUAGCGAGCUCAAAUUUUAUUUGAAAAAUGAUUUUAAUUGUUUAAGAAAACUGACUUGGAGUCGCCACUUAUUUUUGUUUUAUUUUUAAAGGGUAAACAAAAUAAGAAAGAAAACCCUAAGUGCGACUCCUUGUUUUGGAAAAGGUGGCCUAUGAAAACCGGAUCGGGCUCGGGGGUCAGGUUACUUAUCGGGAAGGUACGGUAUGAACCGUAGCACCCCUCUAAGUCCCUAAAGUCGGGUCUCUACUAAUAGAAUGAAGUUGACGUGGUCAUCAACAAGAAAAACAAUGAACACUCAAAUCGAUCGUGCACAAUAUGAGAAUCAGAAUAUGCAUACAGAAUGAUCAAAACAAGAAUGAGUGCGUACCUGGACCUCCAGUCACGAAUGCGCUGUAGAAAAGAAUCCGUGAGUUCCUUUCUUGCCCAUGAUCAGCCUCCCGAUUGUCCUUCUCCUCCUGGAAACUCUCUGCCCUCCCAAUAUCUUUUUUUUUUCUUCCCCCUCUUGUUUCCUCCUCCCGCAAGCCAAUAUCCACUCCUCUGUUCCCCUGCUCCGCAUGUCUGGAGCCCCAACCACCACUAUGGUUGUGGUCAGUUGCUCUCCACACUUUUCAUGCAGCUGAUGUUUCCAGAAAACGGUCCCCGCCCCAGCCUUUCUCGAGUUGACACGCAUAAAACCUCAUAAAUGCUCCACCUGAUAAGAAACGGCUGCAGCUAGAUGGGGGUCUACAAAUAUGCCCCUCUUUAGUAGAGUUCACGAAUGUAAAAGACAUGAACACUAGAGUGAAAAGAAAGUGUGAAUAGUGAGUGGAAUGAAGUGGACUCUACUGAAGAACCAAGGAGACCCCCAUAGGGACACUGGUGAAACACGAACUCGCUCAGACUAACAGAUGGACAACGAGGCUCUAAUCCCAAUAAGGAAGGAUGUCUCAAAAUGUCUCUAAAGUCACACUGAGGACCCAGGCUCUCUCUAAGAUGUCUCCAAAAGUGACUCGAAAGACCAUAUCCAAGAUGAGUAACUGUCGAACCACUCUGAAGUACAUGAAAGAAUGCGUCUAAAGGAGACUGUCCUACGCGAACCACAUGAAAGCAACAAGUGUAGGGUGCUCAAUAACAUGACAGAAAUACGUAUCAUAGACUCAAAGGAUCGUGUCAUGAGCAAUGAGGAGGGAAAUCUGGAAGAACAAUGACGAAUAGGCGAUAAGCACAAGGUAACCAGGUGAGGAAAAAAUGAGAGUAAGUGUGAUACCAUGAAAGCCAGAGUGGGCAAUGUCAGUGAAUGUGAAUACCGGGGAACUGUGACUCAGAAUGAUACAAAGGAGGAGAAGUGACUCUGAUCAUCAAUAACACGGAAAGAUGGAGACUCAAGGUGCCCGAAUGGACAAUGUACAACGGCUCUGAACGCCAAACUAAAGAAAGAUGAUGGCGUCGAAUGCCUGAAUGAGCAUGAAAAAUGGCUUUGAACGCUGAAACUAAGAAAAAUAGUGACUCAAAAUACAUGAAUGAGUAUGAAAAACGGCUCUGAACACCAAAAACUAAAGAAAAAAGAAAGUGAUGGCUAUGGAUGUGGAUAUGAGACUACAACUCUGAACAUCAAACUGAGAAUGAAUAACGACUCUGAAUGCCAAAGUGCAAUUGUGGCUCUAAAUGCCAAAUGGGAAAUGUACGAUGACUCUAAACACCAAACUGUAAGCACGGCUCUGAACGCCAAAACGAAACAAGGGCUCUGAAUGCCAAAUGGAAAGCGAGCAAUGGCUCUGAACGCCAAAAUGAAACUAGGGCUCUGAACGCCAAAUGGAAAACGGACGAUGGCUUUGAAUGCCAAACUGAAAGUACGGCUCUGAAUGCCAAACUGAAACAAUGGCUUUGAACUCCAACUAAAAAGAAUGAUGUGAUAACCCCAAAUGUCGAUCCAAAACCGAGGCUCUGAAUGCCAAAUGGAAAACGAACAAUGGCUCUGAAUGCCAAAUGGAAACAAUGGCUCUGAACGCCAAAUGAAACAAUGGCUCUGAACGCCAAAACUAAAAAUGAUAUACUGAUCCUGAAUGUCGAACUAUAACCAUGGCUAUGAACACCAAAUGGAGAAUGAACGGUGGCUCUGAAUGCCAAAUGAAACUAUGGCUCUGAACGCCAAAUGGAAACAAUGGCUCUAAACGCCAAAUGAAACAAUGGCUCUGAACGCCAAAUGGAAAACGAACAAUGGCCCUGAAUGCCAAAUGAAACAAUGGCUCUGAACGCCAAAUGGAAACAAUGGCUCUGAACGCUAAAAUGAAAAAGUGAUAGAAAUGGACGUCGAAAUGAAAACGCGGCUCUGAAUGCCAAAAGAAAAUGAACGACUCAGAACGCCAAACUGAAACGCCAAAUGGAGGAUAGAUCUAGGUGUCAAACUAAAAACGAACAAUGGCUCUGAACGCCACACUGAAAGUAUGGCUCUGAACGCCAAACUAAACUGAAUACCCAUGAACGUCAAGUUGAGAAGGACGACUCUGAAUGUCAAAAUAGAGAAUGACAUGGUGGCUCUAAACGCCGAACUGCAAGGGAAUGAUGGGGGGAAAUAUGCCUCAGUGUAGCAUGUCACCAUAGCUCUCAAUCCAUCGAAAGUGUUUGAAAGAGACUCCAUGAGUCUCAUAAGAUGCUCUAGUAGUGAGUCGAGAUGAUCAAAUCAAAUGAUCCACUAGGGAAUCUCAAAAGAAAGACGAUCUGAUAGGGGUAACCACUGUGAUCUCAAUACAACAAUCUACUGAAGAAUAACAUAUAGCGAGGCAGUCACAACCCGAAUGUCCUGCCCCACUGAAAGCUCAUCUCGAUGAAUAUCGCCAAAACAGUGACCUAUGGAGCAAAUACGAUAUCUCUCGGCCGAGUGGUGAAAACUGUAACAAAUUUGUGAUAGAAUGACCUUCUUCAUAUCCAAAUGAGGGAAAUAUGCCUGGCAUCAGAUGUAUCCAAUCUGUCCCGAUGAAUCAUGAGUAACUCAAUAGGGAUGCAUCGUAGAUCUGACAAGUGUCCCGACAAAAUGAUGAUGUGAGAGUCCACGAGCCUGAGGCGACUCCAUCCAAAAAUCGUAAUGACACCAGAAAGUAUGAGCCUGAUGAAACGACUCAAAGGAAAGCCCACCGGAGAAUCAUGACAAAAUGAAACCGAAUCCUCAACUCGGCAUGUAUCUUGUAACUAGGGAUGAUCAUGCAAACCAGAGGGGAUCUAUGAAUCUCAAUCGAAAUGGAAAAUAUGCCCCAGUAUGGCAUCAAAGGUGUAACAAGCCGGGAAAAUCAAAUGACAUCAAAUCAUGCAUCGACAGAUAUGUAAUCCCGGUCAUCCGAAUCCAUAACAACAUCACACUCAUCAAGCUAAGAUGCAUCUAUCAAAUAGAGGGGCACGAUGGCAUCUGAGCGCCGAGAAGUGCGUGUCUAACUGGAUGACUCCCGAGAGGCUCCACUGAGGAAUCAUCAUGACAAUAGUGAACAAAUCGUUGUCUUAACGCGUGUUCUGUGAGUGGGAACGAUCACGUAACUCCAUGGAGAUCUCCAAACCUCAUCCGAAAUGGAAAUAUGCCCCAGUGUGGCAUCAAACGUACAAUAAGUCGAAAAUCGAGUGAUAUGGAGUCAUCUAUCAUCGGACAUGUGAUCUCCGUGAUCCAAAUCAAAUCCAAACAUCCAGGGAACGUCUCUCAGAAUAAAAAGUAUAAAAACAACCCGAUGUCGAGAAAUGCGGACCUAGAUGAAUGGCUCCACUAGGGAUCCACUAAAGGGAUCAUCAUAAAAUAGCGGAAACAUCAUCGUCUCAACGCAUACCCCGCAGGUGGGGAUAAGCAUGCAACUCCGUAAAGAUCGGCAAAUCUCAUCCAGAACGGAAAUAUGCCCUAAUAUGGCAUCGAAUGUGUGAUAAAUCAGAAAAGAUCAGGUGUCAUCAAAUCAUCCCUCGUCAAAUGCGCUAUCCCGGUAAUCCAAACACAACUGAAACGAAUCUAACCAUCAAAAAGGCGUCUCCCAGAAGAAGAAGCAUGACAAUAUCUAAAAGGCAACCAGAUCUCAAACACCUGUCCAAGCAGAGGCUGUCGAAGACGACAUCUGAUCCCAUGGCCUCAAGGUGGUCUUAAGACACGGGACGUAACGUAGGCUAGGGUGAUAGGGUGAUAGAAAUGAAGGGAAACUAGACCCAAAUACCCAAUGAUCAAAACUCAUGCCCUUAUGUAUAAAAUGCAAUAUGUAUAGAGAAGCCCGUGAGCCAUGGACCUGAAUGUGCCCAACGUGAAUGUGAUAUCAAUAACGAGGUGAUGAAGAAAAAUGAUCUGAUAGCCGGAUGUGUAAGAAUGAUGCAUGUGAAGUGUCAAACUAGGAAUAAAAGGGUGUGGUAAGAAAAAAAUGGCAAAGGGUGAUAUGAGAAUGAUGAAUCAAAAACGAAGACGAGAAUGAUGAUGAAAUGAGCAAUAUAAAGGGGAGUAGUGAUCAACUCAAAUCAGACAUGGAGUGAAGUCACAUCAACAAUGAACGUAAUGAUGGAUAGAACAAUGACCCGGAGUCCUUAGGAGAAGGCCACUCAUCUCGCUCUCAAAACAUAAGACAAAAUGAAUACAAAGAAUGAAGGGUCUCGGGAAGCUCACAUACGAACUCCCAUCAACAAACAUACUCGAUACAGUGACCCUCGAAUAUUAACAUACACGCCCAGCAAUGGAGAAUACUAUGCACAUACACACAUGUGCUUAUUUUUCUUUCCUUUUCGGUUUUUUUUUUUUUUUUUUUUUUUUUUUUUUUUUUUUUUUACAUAUAUACAAAAGCACAUACCCUGAACAUAAACAAAUGAACCCCAAAGAUGAUAUCAAUAAUGAAUAGACACACUCCCAAGUGCUAAGGUAACAAAAACUCUCUCUGACAAGAUGACCUUCUCAAACUAAGGAUCUCUAAAUCAGUGUCCGUAUGAUAAAUAGUGGAAAUGAUGUAACUAUCCCCCCAUGUAAUGAACUGAGGAGGAUUACCGCUCGAGGUGGAGAGAAUAUGAAGCAAAACAAGUAGAUAGAAUAAAGAAUGAGAGAUGAAAAACACAACUAAUGAGAUAUGAAGGAAUGCAGUAGGAAAAAAUAAUGAGAGAAAGAUGCACCUGUAGGUCCAAGGCUCAUGAGGCUUCCAAACAAUGCAUGCAUACACUAAAGGGCCCCAAUCCCGAUGUAAAAAUGUGAGUAAGGUGAUAAGAUAGAAAUGCUAUAAUGCACACGCGAGACUCAAUGGGCUAGCAAUGGUUUAUACGUCAAAAGGGAAUAACAAGGUAUAUGGCUAAACCGAAAUGAUGGCCACCCAUCCUGCGACCAUGGUCUCAAACAUAGUACCUCUUUAGCUGAUCCACGUUGGUAGGCUCCGAGAAUUGGUUUCCAUCUAGAUCCAUCAACCAUGCAGCGCCCUCUGGAGUCAACUCUCUGAUGAAGUAAGGUCCGCUCCAAUUGGGUCUGAACUUCCCUUAGGAUCUCUGAUCAAUCCCCUGAUGACCUUCAGAACCAAGUCACCUACAUGUAGUGGUCUGGGCUUGACCCGCUUUUUGAAAGCACGGGCCAUCUUCCUCUGAUAUGCGCGAACAUGGUCAGCUACCCUCAAUCUCCUCUCAUCAAGGAGAUUGAGCUGAUCAAAUCGAGCCUGAGCCCAAUCUGCCUCGGGAAUCUACUGCUCUGAUGCUACUCUCAAUGAACCCAUUUCAAUCUCAACUGGUAGCACUGCCUCCAUACCAUACACCAAUGAAUAGGGUAUGGCCCCUAUAGAGGUGCGAAAAGAAGUCCGGUAAGCCCAUAAUGCGUAAGGGAGCUUCUCUGACCAAUCCCGAGAAGUCUCAACCAUCUUCCGUAAAAUCCUCUUAAUAUUCUUGUUCGCGACCUCUACUGCCCCAUUCGUCUGGGACCUAUACGCAGAUGACCUAUGAUGUUGGAUGCCAUAUCUCUGCACUAAGGUGUCAACCUCUACUCUGAAAUGCACCCCUCUGUCUGAGAUCAACUCAUGAGGGACUCCGUAUCGGCAGAUGAUGUGUGAUCUAAUGAAACUAGCAACUCCAGAUGACGUCAAUCUCGCAUAUGAGGCGACCUCCACCCACUUGGUGAAGUAAUCAAUAACGACAAGGAUAAACUCAUGACCACUGGAAGAUUUCGGCGAAAUCUUCCCGAUGAUAUCGAUACCCCACACUGAAAACGGCCAUGGUGAAGUCAAUGCAUGCAACUCUGAGGGCGACACGUGAAUGAGAUCUCCAUGUAUCUAACACUCGGGACAUCUCUGAACGAACUGGCAACAAUCCAUCUCCAUGGUCAGCCAAAAAUAGUCAGUCCUCAUGAUCUUACGAGCCAACAUAUGUCCUCCCAUAUGUGGUCCGCAGACUCCCGAAUGAAUCUCUCUCAUCACUCGAUCGACAGAGGCGCGGUCCAAACAUAAUAGCAACAUCCCGUCAGGUGAUCGUCUAUAUAACAUCUCGCCACAAAUCAUGAAUCGGGCCGCUAACUGUCUCAAUGCUCUCUUAUCCUUGGCUGUAGCGGUCUCAAGAUAUACGCUGAGUCUCAAAAAAUGAUAUAUGUCAUGGUACCAAGGCAAACCAUCAUCUGGUUCCGCAUCAUCAAUCAAGCAACAGUAAGCGGGAGUGGAUCUCGACUCGAUCAAUAAAAGACGAACAGUGGCAUCAGCACGAAUAUCGAUCAUGGAAGCUAGAGUAGCUAAGGCAUCAGCAAAUUGAUUCUGCGCUCUAGGCAGGUGCGUGUAUCUCAAAUCGUCAAAUCUAGCGACCAGUAGCUCCAAAUAUGUGUGAUAAGGCCUGAGCUUCGCAUCUCUAGUCUUCCACUCACCCUGAAUCUAUCUCAAUACCAAAUUGGAGUCACCAAACACCUCCAUCUGUCUAAUCUCGAGCUCAAGGGUCGUCUCCAAUCCCAAGAUACAAGCCUCAUACUCAACAAUGUUGUUCGUGGCCGGAUGUCGAUCCGAGAAUGCCAAACGAACAGAUCUGGGAAUGUGAUCACCGUGAGGGGAUAUCAACAAAACGCCUAUCCUGCAUCCAGAAUGGUUGGCUGCACCAUCAAAGUACAUGCGCCAACCCGACAGACUAGUCACAACUACAACAUCCUCAUCUGGAAAAUCAUCGUCAAUAGCUCUAGCAUCAGAAACUGGUAAAGAGGCUAAGUGAUCUGCGACAAUGCUCCCUCUAAUGGACUUCUGAGUGACGUAAUGGAUGUCAAACUCCGUUAGAAGUACCAACCAUCUCAUGAGGCGACCAACUAGAGCAGGUCUAUCAAACAAAUAUCUCAGAUGAUCGAGACGGGAUAUCAAGUGCACGGAAUACUCAGUCAUGUAAUGUCUCAAUCGGCGAGUGGCCCAAACCAAUGCCAAGCAAUAGCGCUCAAUCAUGACAUAUCUCGUCUCAUAGUCUAGCAUCCUCUUACUCAGAUAGUAAAUGGCUCGGUCUUUGCCCAAAUUAUCGAGUUGAGCUAACAUGCAUCCCAAAGCCACGUCUGAGACUGAUAAGUAUAGGAGUAGAGGGCGGCCCGGUGUAGGAGGCGCUAAGACUGGAGGUGACAACAAGUACUCCCUGAUCCUCUCGAAUGCGCGCUGACACUGAUCAUCCCAAACAGUAGGUUGACUCUUCCUCAAGAAUCGGAAAAUGGGCUCACAGAUGUCUGUCAAUCUGGCAAUGAAUCUACUGAUGUACUGAAGUCUGCCCAGGAAGCCUCUGACCUCUCUCUCUCUGUCCUCGGUGUAGGCAUGUCAAGGAUGGCUCUAAUCUUGUCCGGAUCUACCUCUAUGCCUCGCUCACUGACCAUAUAUCCCAAGAGUUUCCCAGAAGUCACUCCAAAAGUGCACUUCUUGGGAUUCAGUCUCAAUUUGAACUGUCUGAUCCUCUCAAAGAAUCUCUCUAGAGCUGCCACGUGAUCUGAUCUAUCUCGGGAUUUCACUAUCAUGUCAUCUACAUAAACCUUGUGUAGACCCUCAAUUUUGUCCUCCUGGCACAUGUCUUAUUAGAUACUUGUUCGAUACUUUACAGUUAGCUCCUUGGUGGCCCAUAUCUACUCACACUACUUACCUUUCUUGAACCACCUCGGAGACUCUGGUUGAAAGAUUGCCUAACCCCUUAUCAUGACCUUGGCAGCCCUAAUUUAGACUUAGGCACUUUCCUGAACGCUUUAGGCCCAUUUAAGCAUUUUUAAACCCACUUUUUAUAUGGCUUGCAUGAUUGCAUGGCCUACAUGACUUAUGUGGCUUAUAUGGAUUUCUUCAUUAUUUUUAUUUUAUUUUAUUUUAUCUUAUUACAAGUUUUCUAAAUCUUAUUUCUUGGCUUUUUGGGCAUGAGGAAACGAGCCAACAUCUAUUUGGAAGGAGAAUCAACAGAAUUUUGAAAAAGAGGAGAUUUUGUUUUUAGAAGGAUAGCACAUAUAUUAUUUCCAUGGGAGAAUCGGUUAUAAAAGGGUAGAAAAUAAGAAAGGAAAGUGGAUUUCCUUUUUUUGGAUCAGAGAAGUUUUAUUUUUGGAAGGGGGGGAUUGUUUUUCUUGAGGAGAGAGAUCUAAGACAAGGGGGACUUUUUCUUUGGCAGGGAGAUUUUUUUUCUUUUGGGAGCAGAAAUUCACAUACAAAAAGCAAUCUUUUUUAGAGGAGAGGAAGACACGCAUUUUUUUUGGGGGGGGGGGGGGGCCAGUAGAAAAACCUAAAAGACUAAUUGGGCUGCCAUUUUGAAACAUCAAGAGAGUAUUUUUCCGAUACAAUACAGGUUAGUUUUCGAUUUUUGAUACCGUAUUUCCUUUUUUUAGUUUGGGUUUUAGUUGUUUGAUUUAAUUAAUUGUUUGUGAUAAAUUCCUUUUAAUCUCGAUUUCGAACAAUCUUUUAUUUUUUUUAGAUAANNNNNNNNNNNNNNNNNNNNNNNNNNNNNNNNNNNNNNNNNNNNNNNNNNNNNNNNNNNNNNNNNNNNNNNNNNNNNNNNNNNNNNNNNNNNNNNNNNNNCCAUUUUUUAUAUGGUUGCCAUGAUGCCAUGCCCAACAUGAUUUAUGUGGUUUAUAGGGAUUUUUUCAUUAUUUUUAUUUUUUUUUUUUUUAUUUUAUAACAAUUUUUUUAAUUUUUUUUUUUGGGUUUUUGGGGCAGGGGAAAAGGAGCCAACUUUUUUUUGGAGGGAGAUUCAACAAAUUUUUAAAAAAGGGGAGUUUUUUUUUUUAAAAGGAUACCACAUUUUUUUUUUCCUUGGGAGAUUGGUUUAUAAAGGGGUAAAAAAUAAAAAAGAAAAGGGGUUUUCUUUUUUUUGGUUCAGAAAAUUUUUUUUUUGGAAGGGGGGGGUUUUUUUUUUUUGGGGAGAGAGUUUUAAGCCAGGGGGGAUUUUUUUUUUGCCGGGGAGUUUUUUUUUUUUUGGGGGGCAAAAUUUCACAUACAAAAACCAUUUUUUUUUAGGGGAGGGGAAGCCACCCAUUUUUUUUUGGGGGGGGGGGGGGGCAGUAGAAGACCUAAAAGACUAAUUGGGCUGCCAUUUUGAAACAUCAAGAGAGUAUUUUUCCGAUACAAUACAGGUUAGUUUUCGAUUUUUGAUACCGUAUUUCCUUUUUUUAGUUUGGGUUUUAGUUGUUUGGUUUAAUUAAUUGUUUGUGAUAAAUUCUUUUAAAUCUCGAUUUCGAACAAUCUUUUAUUUUUUUUAGAUUAAAUGUCUCUCUUUUAUGAUUGCAAUUCAUUAGUUCUAUGCUAGUUUAUUUUUAAUUUACAUGAAAGUUUAAAUAAAGUUUAUAUUUUUAAUUCCAAUUAGUUUAUUUUUAAAUUUGAAUGAGUUAUCGAUCUUAAUUCUUUAGUUUAAUUGACCUUGUGAGAUAAAAUUUAUAUUUUUUAUGCCAAUUAGUUUAAUUUUAGUUUAUUUUAAAUUUAAAUGAGUUAUUGAUCUUAAUUAUUUAGUUUAAUUGACCUUGUGAGAUAAAAUUUAUAUUUUUAAUUCCAAUUAGUUUAAUUUUAGUUUAUUUUUAAUUUGAAUGAGUUAUUGAUCUUAAAUCUAUUAGUUUAAUUGGACUUGUAAGGUAAAGUUUAUAUUUUUAAUUCUGAUUAGUUUAAAUUUUAGUUCAAUUUUUAAUUUGAAUGAGUUAUUGAUCUUAAAUCUAUUAGUUUAAUUGGACUUGUAAGGUAAAGUUUAUAUUUUUAAUUCCUAUUAGUUUAAAUUCUAGUUUAAUUUUUAAUUUGAAUGAGUUAUUGAUCUUAAAUCUAUUAGUUUAAUUGGGCUUGUAAGGUAAAGUUUAUAUUUUUAAUUCCGAUUAGUUUAAAUUCUAGUUUAUUUUUAAUUUGAAUGAGUUAUUGAUCUUAAAUCUAUUAGUUUAAUUGGACUUGUAAGGUACGUAAAGUUUAUAUUUUUAAUUCCGAUUAGUUUAAAUUCUAGUUUUUUUUUAAUUUGAAUGAGUUAUUGAUCUUAAAUCUAUUAGUUUAAUUGAUCUUGUGAGGUAAAAUUUAUAUUUUUAAUUUCAAUUAGUUUAAUCCUAGUUUAUUUUUAAUUUGAAUAUGUUAUUGAUCUUAAUUCUUUAGUUUAAUUGGUCUUGUAAGGUAAAAUUUAUAUUUUUAAUUCCAAUUAGUUUAAUUCUAGUUUAUUUUUAAUUUGAAUAGUGUUAUCGAUCUUAAUUCUUUAGUUUAAUUGAUCUUGUGAGAUAAAAUUUAUAUUUUUAAUUCUAAUUAGUUUAAUUUUAGUUUAUUUUUAAUUCGAAUGAGUCAUUGAUCUUAAUCUAUUAGUUUAAUUGGUCUUGUAAGGUAAAGUUUAUAUUUUUAAUUCCGAUUAGUUUAAAUUCUAGUUUAUUUUUAAUUUGAAUGUGUUAUCGAUCUUAAUUCUUUAGUUUAAUCGAUCUUGUGAUGUAAAGUUUACAUUCUUAAUUCCAAUUAGUCUAAUUCUAGUUAUUCAUGUGUUUCUUGAAAUUUAAAUGUUAGUUUUUGGAUGAUAAUUUUGUUAGUUUGUUUGAUUAGGAAGUCAUAAAUUUGUUGCCUUAGUGAUUGUUGGUCAAAUUUUUUUUUUAGGGCCACUAGAAACCCAAGAAAGUUGGCCUUUACUCUCACCACUUUAAUUGACAAGAUUUUCUAAAAUAUUUAUUUCGUGAUCUUUGUUUUCUUUUGUUUUGAUUGAUAUUUUGUUUUCUAUUUUUGUUAUUUUAAAAAUUAAUUUCUUUUAUUUUAAAACAAAACUCUUUUUCUCAAAAAAAUCGUUUUUAAAAUUUUUUUUAUUAUUCAUUUAAAGCCUUUAGAAUCAAAAUCUAUUUUCUUUUUAAAAAAUAAUAUGCAACCAUAUCUUAAUCGGUUUGCAUCCUUCUCAAUUUUCAACAAAAAUUUUGGUUUUAAACAAAACGCGAAUCAAAGCUUGUGGUCCCAAAUAAAUGGGACAAUUUUAGGCUAAAUUCGUGUAUAUUAAUUUGAGGAAUUGGUGAAACCCCUACAUAAGAAAAAAUUUUCAAAAUUUACUUUUGCUACCACCCUGCUAUUUAUCGUAAUCAUAUUUACAUUUUUUUUUUAGGAAUUGUAUACAAGAUAUGUAUGAUAAUUAAUUAUUCCGAAUUCUGAUCAUUUUUGCUAAUUAAUUAGAUAAGCAUGCUAGGAUUUAUUAUUUAUUAUUUAUCAUCUAACCCCCAUGUCCUGAGGAAGUGCAUUAGGAGUUAUAUAUGCUAUCCAGGUACGUUCCCAAAAUUUCACGAAUAUGCAUGUCAUUGCCCUUGUUUGAUGCCAUACUUGAUUGCCUCAAUGCUUGUUUGAUCAUCCUUGAUAAAAUGCAUGUCGUGCGUCAUAUUUCUGAAUUAACCAUUGAUGUUUUAUGAUAGCGCUUAAGAAGUGGUUCAGGUACACACCCUAACUCUCCUUUAUUGUGAUUGAUCUCCUUAUUUAGCAUGCUACUUUCUGAAAAUCACAUAGCUUACUUAGGUAUCUACAAUUAAUCAAUUAAUUUACCCAUUUCCCCAAUUUAGUCAGUAAAGACCUCUUUAGGGCUUAGAAGGGUGCUAGCUCCUAGAGGUACCUUCCCAAUAAGUAACCUGAUCCCCGGACCUAGACUCAGGUUUUUCAAAGACAUGCUUUUUUCCAAAAAUUAUGGAGUCACAUUUUAGGGUUUUUCUUUCUUGUUUUAUUUUCCCUUUAAAAUAAAAAUAAAAUAAGUGGCGGCUCUAACUUUUUCCAAAAUUAAUUUUUCACAAAUAAAAAUCGAGUCUCGCCGAUCGAGUGGGGGCGCACGUGAAAAAUGCGGGUCCACACCUCGACAUCCUGAUGCAUCAUGUCAUGGAAGAGUGUGGUCGCUGCUCUCUGAUAAGUGGCUCCUACGUUCUUCAAUCCGAAUGGCAUGACUCUAUAGCAAUAAGUGCCCUACUCGGUAAUGAAGGACGUCUUCCCCAUGUCCUCUGGAGCCAUCAAGAUCUGACUGUACCCGGAAAAUCCGUCCAUAAAGGACAACAUCGAGUAACCUGUUGUACUAUCAACUAGCAUGUCGAUGUGCGGGAGAGGAAAAUCAUCCUUAGGACUGGCCUUGUUGAGAUCUCGGAAAUCAACACAGACUCUCACUUUGCCGUCCUUUUUGGGAACAGGGACGACAUUGGCCAACCACUCCGGGUACUCAACCACUGAUAGAAAUCCCACACUGAGCUGCUUUUGAAUCUCCUCUUUCAUCUGCAAGCUCCAACGAGGGUGCAAUCGUCUCAACUUCUGCUUAACCGGUCUGGCAUGAGGCAGAAGUGGUAAACGAUGCUGGACGAUAGAUGGAUCAAGGCCCGGCAUGUCCUCAUAGGACCAUGCAAAAAUGUCUAAGUAUGCUCUGAGCAACUGGAUGAGGAUGUCCCUCUCAUCAGCAGAUAAAUCUGACCCGAUCCUCAACUCCCUAGGCUGAUCUGCUGUGUCGAAAUCAAUAAUCUCUGUGUCCCCUACAGCAGGUGAAACCCUCUGAUCAAUGGGAUCCGAAUCGGAAACAGAAGAUGAGUCAUCGUCUGAACCAUGCCGUGCAAUCCCAUCAUCAAUGUCAAAUAUCUGUGUUGUGAGUGAAGAUGGGGCAGAUAAAUCAAUAUCAUAAGAGACAGGUAAGUACUCGAAAAUGCUCAAAUCCAUAGAUGAAAAGUCAGAAACAUAGUCAUGACGGGAAACAAAUCCCAAUAAAACAUCAAAUGAAAGAGGUGAGUCCACAAAGUCGGACACUCCCUCAACAAGGCCAACAGGGCCAUCAAGCAAAUCACCAACAACUAUAGGAUCCUCAGCAAUCUUCGAAGCAGGGGCAGUCUGGAUCUCCUCGACGACCUUGAGGACGGACAUCCCGAAGAGAUCAAAUGGUGAAACGAGCCUAGACAGGGCUAUCUCCUCGAUCUGACUCAAGCUCACUGCAAGCAUCUCGUCAACAUACUCGUCAUGCGGUACGGCUCCGUCUACUAUGUCACUAAUCUCGAAAAAUGUCCUGUGAUCAUCGAUCUCAUUCGGGAAGCAAAGCAUCAUAAGGCUCGUACAAUCGGGAGAGGAAGGGGCGAUCAACGCAGAAGUCAAAGGGCCAGGGGCUUCGUCACUCAACUGUAACUGCUGGACGAGGCGCUGAAGCUCGGCCUCUUGGGUGGUGCUGAGUCCUCCGAUGAUCCCAUCAGACAGUGCAUGUGACUCUGAUGCCCUCACAAAGUAAUUGGCUAGGCUCAUGGUGUAUAGGCGAACAGGAUAAUAAAACAGCGUGUGAGUCAGCCGAGCCCUCACCCUCUCCUUGCGCAAUCGCGCCAUGUAAUGAUAAUCGGCCUCAGUGGGAAUGAAUCCGAGCCCGAAUGGUACAUCGUGGUCCGGAAAGGCCAUGAACUCACUAGGCCCGUGCUAACGCCGCCCCAAACCCAUGCCGGGAAGAUAAGACAUGCUCUGCAUAAUAUCGAGCACCACCGUGCUAUUGUGCUGGUCGAAGGACAUGGCUACAAAGUCUCGGCAAAAAUCCUCCAUCUCUAGAGUCUGCACCUUAUCAAAGGUGAAGCCGGUCAGAAAAAGAUCAUCAUCACUGUGGCUGAUCUGGAGCACACACUCGGCGGAAAUGAUCAUGUCCCCUGCUGACUGUACGGUGACGACCUGACCCUCGUGAAUGAACUUCACUUUCUGAUGAAGUGAAGAAGGAAUAGCUCCGGCUCGGUGAAUCCAUGAUCGGCCCAAAAGCAAGUUAAAGGAUGUAGGAAUCCUCAAAACCUGGAAUACGGUGACAAACGUGGCCGGACCUAUCAAGAGCUCAAUCUACAAGGUACCCAUAACCUUUCUCCUAGUACUGUCAUAAGCUUGAACUGUCUGCAUUGAAGGACCGAAAUCAAAGGGUGCGUAUCCAAGGGCGAUGGCGGUGGCCAAGGGACAUACGUUCAGGGCCGAACCAUUGUCCAUGAGGACAGAUGAAACUCGACGACCUGAACAGCCGAUAGAAAUGUAGAGAGGACGUGUGUGGUCUGAGCCCUCUGAUGGCAAGUCGUCAUCGGAAAACACGAUACAAGAGGCUCUGCCAGCCAUCAUCAUGUGAAUAAGUCCCUCGGGAGUGGUCGUAGUGUUGACCCUGAUCUGGCUCAAAGCUCGAAUCAGUGCAUCUCGAUGAGUACUAGAGGACGCUAAGAGGCUUCAAAGAAAUACGAGCUUGAGUGCUCUACAGCUGUCUCAGGAUCUCGUCAUCCUCUGCUCAAACCUCCUCGGGAGCAGACGUCCCCUCUAAUGGUCUGGCGGCAGUGGCAGGAGGUGGCUGUCUCAAGACUCUCCCUCCUCGGAGAAUGUACUGAACGUCCGGAGUCUGAGAAUCAUCAACGUGUGGAGCCUGAACCCCCUCAACAUCUGGGAUCAAGAUGAAUGGCACCUGGACGUUGUAAUGUGGCAAAAUCAAUGGCUCAACAGUGGCAGUCUGCACCGAUGCCGCCUCGGGAACUAAUCGGAAAGGAGUAGGCAUCCGAGGCCCUAGAGUCACCCCACUCAUCUCAUAAAUCACAUCUGGCAUGAUGGGCUCUAGGUCUGAAUCGUCCUCACUCAACAUGUGGACGUGGUCGUCUAUCUCAUCGAAGUCCAAGAAAUGAAUACCAUCAGCUGGUGGAGGGACUGCAUGUGUGGUGUGGGCCGGUAACGGGUUUGUGGAACCACUUGGCUGACCCAAGUGCACCAAACCCUGGUCGAUCAAAUCCUGAACGGCAUGCCUCAAAGCGGUGCAUCGAUCGGUCUCAUGUCCAGGCCCCUGAUGGUAUGCGCAAUGCAGAUCCAUCCUGAACUGGGGUGGAAUCGGUUGAGGUGGCGGCCUGGGAGCUAAAACAGUCAACAGCCCUGCCUUUGUGAGCUUCCGAAGAGCCUGGCUCAACGUCAUGCCUAACUGCGAGAACUGUCUCUGUGUCCUCAAAGCAAAUGGAGCAAAAGUUUGCUGAGCUCUAGGUCGGGGAUAAAGCGCUGUGGGUCUCGCAGUGAACUGAGCAGCAUAGCAUGGCUGUCCUGUGGCCGUGUAGGAAACCGGGGGUCUCUUAAUGCCCUGAGAGGCAUAAUAAGGCAAAGCCAAAGUCUGUGGCACAUAGGGCUGAUCAUAAGUCGGACGAGGUGCCCGUGGCCUGUACUGAUGAGGUGCAUAGGAAGAAUGAGGCUCGAAAAGCUGUGGGAUCGGCUAAUGGCGCCUGAGAGGCCUUUGACUGGAAGAACCAAUGGCGCUCACAUCCAUUAACCUCUAUCCUACGAAAGGCUUCUUCCCCUUAAUAUCACUAGGGGAAGAAUCUGUCCACAAUCCUCUCGAGAUGUCGUCCUCAACAUCGUAUAAAGCCAAAACCAGAGACCCAAAAUCUGCAAAUGGUACCCCGACCACAUGCCUGGCAAUCCUCGGCUGUAGGCUCCUCAAAACCAUCUGAAUCUGAUCUCUCUCUGAUGGUUUAUCCACUACCUUGGCUAUCUUCCCGCGCCAGCGGGAGAUGAAUGAAGAAAUAGAUUCCUCUGCCCUCUGUCUCAGAGCCUCAAGCUCCCUCCUCGAUACAUCUACGACAGUGUUAAACGAAAACUGUCGUAGGAACUUGUAGACCCUCUAUUUUGUCUUCCUCGCACAUGUCGUUUAUAGCAAUUCUCUGGUGGCCCGUUAAUACUCGUGUAACCUAUCUUUUCUAAGCCACCUUGGAGACUUUGGUUGAGGGAUGAUUUGACCUCUUAUUGUGACCUUUGGCAGCUCUAAUUUAGACUUAGGCACUUUAGGCCCACUUAGGCACCACACUUAGCCCGUUAGGCAUCACCCUAGGUCCAUUUAGACACUUGGCCCAUUAGGCAUCACCCUAGGCCCACUUAGGCACCUUAGGUUCACUUAGUACACCUUAGGCCCAUUAGACAUGCCUAACCCAUUAGGCACCACUUUAAGCUCACUUAGGCAUCCUAGGUUCACUUAGAUACACUUAGGCCCACUCUAAGCCCACUUAGGCCCACUUAGGCAUCCUAGGUCCAUUAAGCACCACUUUAGGCCCACUUAGAAUCCCUUGGGUAGUUCUUUAAGCUUAGUACACUAAGGUUUGUCUUCUGGAAUUCUAUUUGUUUGAUUUUUGUUUUAAGUGGGUUUUAGUUUAUUUGUUCUUGUAUUUAUUUAUUUUUAGGAGAUUAUAAGAUACUAACGUUAUGUUUCUUUAUCAUGAAAUAAUAUUUUGGUUAUCUUGUGCAUGUAUAUGAUUAAUCAUCUUUAUUAUUAUUAUUAUUAUUAUUUAUUUAUUUAUUUAUUAUUAUUAUUAUUAUUAUUAUUAUUACUAUUUAAUUGGAUGAUUUUGUUUUUACUAUUUUUAUUGCAUGGUUCUAUGGAAGGGAGAUUCGACCGUGAUUUGAAAGAGCAUUCAACCCAAGACAGAUAUGAAAAAGGGAAGAAAGAGAGAGAUGGGAAGGUUUAGAAACUUACCAAAGCUGAUUUUGGCAGGUGAAAAGAAGAUGUUCGGUGUGUAUAGGGAUGGAAUGAAGGCUAGGUUCAAAAUGGAGGGUUCUAAUCAUGUUGGACUGAUGCGGAAGAUUACGGGUUUUCUCUAGACCGGUGAGGGAUUUUUUCCAUAUUGGUAGAGUCAACGGGACCAUUGAGAAGGAAAGGAUUCUCUGGAGGGAAGUGGCAGCUGCACCAGGAAAGAAAGAAAAUAUUUUUGCAUUCAAGAAGAGAGGAAAAGGAUCAGAGAGGGGGACCUUUCCUACGGUGUCUUCCAUCACUGUGGCUAGAGAGGAGUCGGAGAGAUUGAGAAAAGGGGAAGGAGAAGGAAAGAAAAAAAAAAAGGAGGGAAGAAGGAGAGGGGAUCAACAACUGCUUCAUUCUGGAAGCGGGAGCAGGUGCAGCCGCACCAUUCAGACCAAAGGAAAGUUUGGUAUUUUGGGUUGAGGAGGAGGUGCAGUCGUACCUGGUUUUGGAGGAAGUACAUCGCACCUUUGAGAGGGUUUUCAGCACAAGGAGGGGGAAAGAAAAACAGGGAGUGCGAUCUGGAGAGAGGGGAAUCAUCAUUCACAUCUCCAUGAUUGACUGAAAAAGCCAGGACGACUAGAGAUUUUUUUUGCUGGCCUCAGCCUUGAGAAGGAUCAGUAGCGUGCUUCCUCUAAAACCAACCAGACAUCUCACCACGGGGACACCGGCUUCAUCACUGCCAGUCCGCUCAUCUUGAUGAUUCGCCUAUCACCAUAAUCAGAAACACUUACGAGGUGCAUCAAAUCUCCACAAAAAGAUUUCCGUUCACACCUUCAGCACCAACUUCACGCUGCCAUCCGUAGUCGCAUGCCUCUUCCCCCUCCUCUCGCAAUCUGCAUCCGCCAUCAGUCCACGCAUCAAGCCUUCAUCCACACGACUGCCGCUUUGAGGGAAGCAAUCCACGCACCAAUAGAGUCUCCACAGGAAGCAUCUCCACCUGAAGGAAAUCCACUUACACGGCUGCCACCUUGAGAAGGACAAUCCACGCACCUAACUGCCAGGUAAGUUUGGUUUCUAUGUGGGGUUGCUUUGAAAAAAAAAUAUAUAAAAGUCUGGUUUGAUUUUUGUUUGGAUUAUUAUAUUGGGUUGCUUUAUUGGUCCAGUACGUUUUCAUUAAUAUGGCAGCAAGAAUACUAUUUUUUAGGUUUAAUUGUUUAGUUAUUAUAUUCGGUGAUGUUUUGGUGUACCAUUUUUAGUUUGGAUUUUUGUAUUGGGUGAGUGGGUUGAUUUGUUUAUUUGCUUGAACACGUGUUUUCUUUAAUAUGGUAAUACAAUCUCACAUUUGUUUAUUUAUUUUUUUGAUUCAUCACAUUAAAGGUUAGUUUUGAUGUAUUAUAUUAAAUUCAUAAAAUAUGAUUUUAGAUAGCUUUACAUAAAAUAAAAUAAAAAACAUAUAUAUUUUAAUCUUCAUUUGAUAUGGUUUUGAUUCAUUUAAUUACUGAUUUUUUAUUUAUUUAUUUGUUACCAAAUUAAUGCUUUGUAAUUUAUUUAAUUAUAAAUAAAAUUGAUUUUAUAGGUUAGAGAUUUGGUUUUAAAAAUCAUUUUUGUUAGUUUUUAAUUUUACUUUAGGUUUAAGCACUUUUAUAAAAUUUUAGUUCAUUAAAAUAAUUUAUCAUAUAUAUGUUUAUCCAAUUAUAAAUAAAUUAUUUUUGAUUUGUUAUUCUAGCUUGAAAAUUAUGUUUUGUUCACUGUAGUUACAAUUUAUUUUCUUAGUUUGACAAAUUAGUUUCUUAGUAUUGGUUUGGGCAAUUUUUGUUAAUAAUGGAAAAGUUAAGAUUUUUUAGAGUUUAGAUAAUUUUUUAUGAUAGUUAAAAAUUUAGAAUAUUGAUUAGCAUUAUUUUGGUUCUCAAUUAGGAAAUUCAUAAUUUCAUACGUUUUAGUUUUAAUUUAUCUUUUAGUUUAGAUGUUAUUAAAAUUCAGUUUAUUAGUUCAAUUGCUUCCAUGUCACUCUUUUCAUAUCUAAAAGUUGUUAAAUUUAAUUCAUGAUUCAUCCUUUUAGUUUAUUAGUUUUAGAAUUUAAGUUGGUUAAUUUAUUUCAUUCUGCGUUGAUAUAUUCAUGUUUUAAAAUAAAAUAUAUAAAAUUAAAUAAAUAAAUAAAUAAUAAAAAUUUAUUUUAGUUUUGAUUGAUCCUGUUUUAGUUGAUAUUUUUUAGAGUUUUAAUUAAUUUGAUUGGUUUCAUAUUGUUUAGUUUAUGUUAAGAUUUUUUUAUUUUUUAUUUUUUUUAUUUUUUAUUUUUUUAUUCCAUUUUCCCAUUAAUUAUAUGCUUUCGAAUUGUAGGCUAUUAGUUUAAUCUAUUCCCAUGUUGUCAUUUUGUGUUUAAAAAUAGUUCAUUUUAGUUUUUGACUAAUUUUAUUUAUUCUAUGUGUUUUUUUUCUUUUAUUCAAUUAUUUAGUUAGUCGAUUAAAUUUAUGACUCCAAAUCAUUAAUAUUAGUUGAUACGUAUCGUUUGUACUAUUUUAAAGGUCACAUAAUAUUUAGUGUUUGAUUAAGUUUAUCUUAAGAUUAAAUGUUUUUAAAGUUUUAGUGCUUGUAAGAUCUAAGGUUUUGGUUUAUCACUUUGGUCAUCCUUUGUCAAAAUCAAUUUUUAGAGGUUAUCGGAAAAUAGUGAAGAUUGGCCUCCAUUCCCACCACUUCAAUUUUAUCGGUUGUCAAAAAUUCUACUUUGUGAUUUUGUUCUUUUUUUUCUUUUGCUUGGUAUUUUGAUUCAUACAUUUUAUUGUUUUCAAAUUAACUUCUUUUAUCUUUAAAACAUAACAAUAUUCUCAAAAUCUCAUUUCCUUAAAAACAAACCAUUUCAAAAAUUCAUUUAGAGUUCUCAGAAUCAAAAUCCCAUUCCCUUUAAAAAUUCAUUUCAAAGAUUCCUUUAGGAUUCUUAAAAUCAAAACCCCAUUUUCUUAAAAUAAUAUGCAACCAUUUUUUUUGAUCGGUUUGCAUCUUUCUCGGUUUUUAACGAAAAUUUUGGUUUGAAAUCAGACACGAAUCAAAGCUUGUGGUCCCACAUAAAUGGGAUAAUUUUGAGCUAAAUUCGUGUAUAUCAAUUGGGGAAUUGGUGAAACCCCUACAUAGAAAAAUCUUUUCAAAAAUUAUUUUUGUUGCCACUUUUGUCACUUGUUGAAAUUAUGUCUAUCUUUUUUUAGGAAUUGUAUACAAGAUGAGUGUGAUAAUUAGUGUUUUCAUAUACUUUGAUAAUUUCUGCUAUGCUAAUUAGAUAACGAGCAUGCUAGGAUUCCUAUAUUUUAUUAUUUAUUAUCUAACCCCUCAUGUCUUAUGGAAGCGCAUUGUAAGUCAUCUAUGUUAUCCAGGUACGUAUCACCUACUUUCUAAAUUUUGUAAACAAUCAUGUCACUGUGAAAUAUGCAUAUGUUUGAUAAUCCUUAGGUGCUUAGAUGUAUGCUAGAUUCGCUAUGAUUAAAUACAUGUUGUGUGCUAUACUUCUAUACUAUCUCUCAUGUUUUUUUAUGGCGCUUGGGAAGCCGUCCAGGUACGCAUCCUUAACUUUCCUUCAUUGUUAUUUGAUCUUGUUAGGCAUGCAAUAUUCGAAAUCAUCUAAUCUACUUAGGUAUCCAUAAUUAACUGAUUAAUGGCCACACUUCCCUUAACUUUGUCAAUAGAGACCUUUAUAGGGCUUAGAGGGGUGCUACCUUUCAAAGGUACCUUCCCAAUAGGUAACCUGAUCCCCGGACUUAGACUCGGGUUUUUCAAAGACACGUUUUUCCAAAAAUUAUGGAGUCAUUUUUUUUAGGGUUUUAUUUCUUGUUUUAUUUUCCCUUUAAAAAUAAAAAUAAAAUAAGUGGCGACUCCAACUUUUUUUCAAAAAUCAAUUUUUCACAAAUAAAAAGCGAGUCUCGCCGAUCGAGUGGGGGCGCACGUGAAAAAUGCGGGUCCACAGAACUCUUGGGCUAAGUCAUCCCAUGUACGGCGUCUCGAAGACUCCAAAGACGCGAACCAGCGUUGAGCCACCCCACUCAGAGAUAGUGGGAAAAGAGUGAUCAUCUGAGGCUCGUCCAAUCCAUGAGCCCUCAUCACCGUGCUGUAUAAUCGGAGGUGCAUGCGUGGACAACCAAUGCCUGUAUACCUCUCAAUAUCCGGCAUCCUGAACUUAGCCAGUAGACUGGCUAUCGACAUACCCUCUAGAUCGUCUUAGACAACGGAGCCAUCAGAUACUCUCAACUGCCUCAUGCGCUGCUCAAUGCGGUCCAUGCGCGCAUGAGCAUCAUCGAUAACAAGGGCCUGGACAACUGCGGGCGGAACAACCUCAGAAUGACUGUGUAGCACAUAGGGUGAAGCCUGGGGCACCAAAGGAACUGGUGGUGGCGGUGGAGGUGGCAACGAGUCAUGCGGUGUCUCAUCCUGAGCCACUGGGGGUCUACUCUGCUGACCACUGAUCUCCUGCCUGAGGUUAGCCAAAGUCUCCUGAAUAGAAGCCAUCGCGGCCGUGAACUGGUCGACCGUAACUACCUGCUGAUUCAUAAUUGAUCUCUCUGAAAACCGAACCAAUCUCCCCUCUACUCUGAUCCAAUGAGGUAAGUCCAGACUGAUAACAAAGGUCCAAUCCUGAAAGUCUCGUCCUCUGCUCUAAUCUACGAAGGUAUACCUAGACUCAGAACAAAGGUCUAAUCCUGGCAAAUCACGAAGAACGAAAUAAGGAUAUGGCUCGAGGAAAGUACGAAAGAAAUGAUAAUCUGAACAGAAACAAACAAGGCAUCCAAGUGAAAAUGAACGGUCUGACCGUACUCAAACUCGUCCUGAUCUCAGUGCACUCUCAACUGGAGACUAAAUAGAGGGAACAUCGGAUCCAAAAUGUGGCUAAAGAGGCUUUGAAAGCCCUCAGAUGCACCCACGUGUAGGGAGGAAGUCCUAGUUGAAGGAUCUACGACUCAACCUACAAGGUCAAGGUGGUUCUAGAUGGAUAAGGGUGGACUUUAAAAGAUCCCUAGCAGAAGCAAUCAUACCCUCCGGUAGUAUGCAACCCUCUGCACGCCUCAGAAGAGACGGGGUGCUUCCAUGCAAGGUGGUCAUCACCUCCAUACAUGCACUACCUCGACAUCCCAGGGGGUUCCUAUGGUGAAACCUCUCAAACUCGCAACUCUCAAAAGUCAGCUAGAGUGCACAGUGAAUGGUGUGGGUGCAUCUGAAACCCUAUGAAGCUAAAACAGAAGAGGAAACACACUGGCCACACAAAUAUCCAUGAAACCUAGCUCCGGGCUAUAUAGGUCUUCAAUGAUCGGACUCCAAUCUGCAUCAACGUGUCGCUCUUCUCCAGAAUACUCCCAAACAUCGGUAUAGCCCGUCGCUAGACCCUACUCCUAACCUCUAGCUCGGUCAGAGUGCAAGCACACACAAGGCCUCACAUUUGCAAAAGUGAAAACCGAAAUGAAGGAAAUGACCGAAACCAGAGGGUGGGAGGUAAGGGGAUAAAUGUGCGACCCACAUAGAUAGGCGACAUGCAAUCAUACAAGGGAGGGCAAUCAUGCAACAUACAGUCAGGCAGUGCUCAGAUAUAUUACCAUGUACACACAAGAUAAGCGAGAAUAUGACAAUUAGAUGAAUAAUGAUACAAAUAUCAUGCUCAAAGACGAUCGAGUUAAUAUGCGAGCAAGCGAAUCAACAUGUCAAAUCAAAUUAUAUACAAUGGUGAAUCUAUACAACAUGUGAUGUGAUCAAAACAAACAUGGCAAAAUCAGAAUCACUAUACUAAGCAAAACAAAACGAGCAAUCGAUGCAAUCAACAUGUCAACAUCCUCAAACAAAUAAAACAAUGAAGUACGGAAGAGGUAACUAUCUCGGGUCUUCAAUCAUGACAAAUCAAUCAUCAUAAUCAACAUACCAAUAUCCCAGAUGAAUACAAUAUCCGAACAUGCAUCAAAACUCUCAAUGUACAAUCAAAAGAUAGGCAUCCACUGAUUGACCAAUCAAAUGCCACAUUUGCUUCAUCCUAAGUUCAAGCUUGACCCUUUAAAAAUCCCCAGUGGAGUCGCCAUUUUGUGGACCUCGCAUUUCGGCUCAUGUGUUUCCCACUUGAUGGCGAGCUCAACUUUUAUUUGAAAAAUGAUUUUAAUUGUUUAAGAAAACUGACUUGGAGUCGCCACUUAUUUUUGUUUUAUUUUUAAAGGGUAAACAAAAUAAGAAAGAAAACCCUAAGUGCGACUCCUUGUUUUGGAAAAGGUGGCCUAUGAAAACCGGAUCGGGCUCAGGGGUCAGGUUACUUAUCGGGAAGGUACGGUAUGAACCGUAGCACCCCUCUAAGUCCCUAAAGUCAGGUCUCUACUAAUAGAAUGAAGCUAACGUGGUCAUCAACAAGAAAAACAAUGAACACUCAAAUCGAUCGUGCACAAUAUGAGAAUCAGAAUAUGCAUAUAGAAUGAUCAAAACAAGAAUGAGUGCGUACCUGGACCCCCAGUCACGAAUGCGCUGUAGAAAAGAAUCCGUGAGUUCCCUUCUUGCCCGUGAUCAGCUUCCCGGUCUUCCUCCUCCUCCUGGAAACUCUCUGCCCUCCCAAUAUUUUUUUUUUUCUUCCCCAUCUUGUUUCCUCUUCCUGCAAGCCAAUAUCCACUCCCCUGUUCCCCCGCUCCGCAUGUUUGGAGCCCCAACCACCACUAUGGCUGUGGUCAGUUGCUCCCCACACGUUUCAUGCAGCUGAUGUUUCCAGAAAACGGUCCCCACCCCAGCCUUUCUCGAGUUGACACGCAUAAAACCUCAUAAAUGCUCCACCUGAUAAGAAACGGCUACAGUUAGAUGGGGGUCUACAAUAAUAUUAUUUUAUCUCAAUGAGAUAAGAUAUUUGAAACUUAAUAAUUUGAUAAAAAAGAUUAUAAUUUAAUAUAACUUUUUAUAUCCUAAAGUACCAAAAUAGAUUGCAAUAAACAAAAGUUUAGGGAAAAUGAGUUUUAACUCACUAUUUUGAAAAAAAUAUAGAAAAAAGAAUUCCAAUUUUUAUAAAUCAGUUUUAUCUUCACUCAUUUAAAAAUAUUUUAAAAUACAUGCACUUUUUCAUAAUUCAAAUAAUUAUUUCUUAAAAUAACCUUUUUACUUGUGAUAUUAAUAACACUAAUUAACAAUUUUUUUAAAAGUGAGAAAUGGUUUGAGAUUAAUAAAAUAAUAAAUUUAAAAAUUAAAAAUACAAUUAAAACUUAAAAUAACUUUAAAGCUAAAAACAUAAAAAUAAAAUAUUAACUUUUACUUAGUUAAAGCACUUUGGUCGAAAAUAUAGAUAUCAAGAAAUUGUUGAAAAUAAAAUAGGAGUAAAUUUUUUAUUUUUAAUUGUAUUCAAUUUUUAUAUAUUUUAGUUUUAACUUAAUUUUCUUAUUUUAUUGUUGAUGUCAACUAACAAAAUUUUUAUUUAAUUUUAUUGAAAAAAUAUAAGAAGAUGAAGGGAUUUAUAUAAUACAAGAUAUAAAAUCAUUAUUGAUUAAUAUAAUAAAGUAAAAGGAUGUUUCAGGAAAUAAUUAUUUGAUUCAUAAAAAAGUGCAUGGAUUUUAAAAUAUUUUUAAAUGAAUGAUGAUAAAAUCAAUUUAUAAAAAUUGAGUUAUUUUUUCUAUAUUUUUUCAAAUUAGUGAGUCAAAACCUACUCUUCCCAUCAAAUUAUAUGAAAUUAUAAUUUGAUUUAUUUUUAAGUAAAAAAAAAAAUUAAAAGUAAAAUUGGUUUUCUUUAGGUGACUAUUGUAGAAAUUAAAAGAAAAACAACUUUUUUCAUUGACAGAAAAAUUAUAAAAAAUAAAUAAAUAAAUCAACUUUUUCAUUAACACAAACUUGUUUUAGAAUAAUUAAUAAUUUGGAAAUAACUUUAAAUUGUCUUAAGUAAGGGGAAAAGAAAAAAAAAAAAGAAAAAGAAAGAAGAAGAAGAAGAAGAAGAAGAAGAGCUAGUUCAUUCUUGUAAAAGCAUUUCUAAGAGAAGUAAUGAAAGACUAACAUUAAAUACACUUUUAUUUUAACCACUUGCAAACAAGCCCUUAAUUAAUAAAUAACAAAGAUGAUAAAAUAUCAUUUGUGGUCAUAUUUACUUAACAUUAAAAUUUCAUGGCAUGCUUCCUAACAUUGAAUGGUCUAGGUUGUGUAAUUUGGUUGUAAUUCAUUUUUCCCAUGAGAUUUAAAGCCUCUUUGUAUCUUUAGAAAAUUUUAUGAGCAAAUAUAAGAAUGCCUUAAGGUACUUUGAUUCUCGAGAAAUUUGAAUGAAAAUGCAACGAAAGAAAGUAGAAAGAAAAAGUAGAAGAAAACAAAGAACGAAAGAAAACAAAAAAAUAGAUAUAGAGUCAAUAAAUUAUUUGUUUAUGUACUAUUUUAAACUCGUUUAAUUUAUUUUAAAUUUUUUAUAUAAAGAUUGAAUAAAAAUUUAUAAGUUUCUAACUAAUUUUAAUUUUAUUUAUUUCUUUAUUAAAGUAGGCUUAGAGGAUUGAAAUUUUCAUAUAAAAAAAAAUGAUGUAAGGUUUUUCUAACUUUUUCUUAAUCAAACAACACUCUCAUUCAAAUAUGUAAUUUUCCUAAAAAUGAAAGACUAAGUAAAUGAAGUUCAAUUGAGGUGAAAUUUAAGUUAAAGGAGUUUGUUGAUGAGUCUAGAAAUUUUAAAAAUUAAUUUCUAAGUCAAAUGGAUACCAAAGAUUAUCAAUUAAGCCUCAACCAAAAUCAAAUCCAAAUUUGCCCAAAACAGAAUAUGUUGCAAUGCUACUCACUUUCUCGAAUUUUCUCACCAAUUAAAUAAGUUCUAAAUAUUAUGAAACUCUCAAAAUCUAAUAUAUAAUGAGUUUAAAAAAAUAAAUAAAUGAUUUAUAAACCUAAAAAAAUUCUAAUUACACCAAACUCUAAAAAAUAAAAACUAUCUCGGGAUAACUUGUCGAAAAUCCAUUAGCAUUUUCAUAAUUACUUUCCUAUGAAAUUGAAGUUGGAAUGGCAUGAAAUUAAGCUCUAUAAUUUUCUUUUUUAUUUUAAAAACAUAUAAAAAUAAUUAAAAAUUAUUUUUAUAUGAAAUAAUUAUUAAUAAAAACUAUAAAAUAACCUUUUAGAUAUUUGGAUAUAAUUUAUGAUUGAUGUUACCUUAAAUUUUAAUAGGAAGGGUUAGGAUGUAGGAAGAGGCCUGAUUUAAGCUUGUCUCAACCGAAAGGGCCGAUGCAAGCCUAACCUGGCCAAUAACUCAGGGGCCUGCAUUGACCUAGUGAGUCUUGCCUUGCUGAGCUAGAUGGGCCUAAGCCUGGUCCUGGCCGGCAAGGUGCCUCCAGGAAGAUCCGGAAAGCUUCCCUUUUCCUAUGAGUGGGUAAGCAGUCCUCAUCAGGAAUAUUGCAUGUUACCCCGUAAGUCUUGCAACCCAUGUUCAACAUCAUUUUCUUCUUUAAAGGGUGGUCCACACUCCUUCCUAUCUUAUCUUUUUGUGGUGGAUAUUCACAAGUCUCUUAAAAAUCAUUUGACAAAACUCAUCUGAUAUUCAAAAGUCUUCAUCUACCUCUUUCUUCUGCCUAAUGGUGAUUUGAACAUAUUUUUUAAUACUUAUUUUUAGAAAUUGUUUUUAAGUUAAAAAACAAAAAAAAAUAGCUUUUUAAUAUUUCAUAAAAAUAAGAGUUUUGACAAGUUGUCUUUUAAAAGCAGUUUUUAAAAACAAAAAACAAAAAACUCAAUUGUUUUUAGAAAUUAUUUUUCUAUUUUUAUUUUGUAAAAACAUUUUAAAUCCAAUUGAUAUGAUAUUAACUAAAUUUAAUUCAAGUCUUAUUAAAAGUGAAAAAUAGUUUUAUAAUUAUAAAUAAAUUAAAAAUAAAUCAUGCUUAUUAAAACAUGAAUAGUAAUAUUAUAAUAAAAUAAUAAAUUAAAUUUUUUUGGUAUAAAAUAUACUAUUUUGGUUUAUGUUAAAAAAAUAUGGAUAGUAACAUUUUCGUAAAAGCAUAAUUUGUUUUCUUAAAUAAAUAAUGAUAAUUUAAAAGUAACAAUGAUUAAUAAUAUUUUAUUUAAAAUAAAUAACUAAGAAAGUUUAAAUUUUUAAUAUGUAAAUUAAUCAAGUUUUUCAUUACAUGCACACAUGUCGUGUUCAAUUACGCAUACAAUAUUCUGGAAUAUUUCAUUGAACCGCAAUUAAUUAGAUUGAUUUUUUGAAUUCCAAAUUAUUUUCUUUAAAAAUUGUUAAACUUAUUAAUAAAUUCAAUAUAAAGUGUGCCCCUUGAUUUAAAGUUCAUUUUUCUAAUGAGAAAAUUUAUAAAACUUUAAUUAUGUGUAAAAAAUUAAUAAGUAAAUUCAUUAUAAGUCAAUUUCUAUUUAUUAUUUAAAUUUAAAUUAUUUUUAAACAUUAUUAGACUCGUUAACGAAUCUAAUAUAUUAAGGUUUGUUUAAUUUAUAAUUAAUUUACUUAGUGAAAAAAAUCGGAAAAAAAAAAUUCUGCAUAGAAAAAUAAUAUAGUCCUUUGGGACUAAUUUUUAUCAAUAAACUUUUCUCAUUAAUGAGUCCAUUAUUUGAUUUUUAAAUUAUUUUUAAAAUUUUCUAAAUUUAUUAAUAAAUCCAACCUAUUAAGUAUUUAAAUUUAUUUGUGUAGUGAAAAAAUGGGAUCAAAUUGCAAUCCACAUAAUAUCGGUAGGUAGAAAAUGAAUUCUUCUGUACCUUUAGCAUUAGUUGAUAGGCCAUCGUCUUCAUCCACCUCUUUCUUCCAAGGCCAAGGCUCUUCCACGUUGCUCUGCAACUGCUUUCUUGAAUUGUUCUUGGAUCCACUAUUCACUUCCCUUGCAAACCAACAAACAUGGCUGGGGCUAUAGUAGGAGGAGCACUUCUCUCGGCUUCUAUCGAAGUUCUACUUCACCGGAUGGCUUCUCGCGAGGUCCUCACCUUCCUCCGGCGACAGAGACUCAGUGCUACGCUCCUAAGGAAGUUGAGGAUAAAAUUGCUGGCAGUUCAGGUAGUGCUCGACGACGCUGAGGCCAAGCAAUUCACAAAAUCAGCUGUAAAAGAUUGGCUGGAUGACCUGAAAGAUGCUGUGUAUGAUGCAGAGGACCUGUUGGAUGAUAUCACCACUGAAACUCUACGCUGCAAAAUGGAGUCUGAUGCUCAAACCAGCGCAACUCAGGUACGUGACAUCACCUCUGCCUCGCUUAAUCCGUUUGGAGGGGGGAUCGAGUCCAGGGUAGAGGAGAUCACUGACAAACUAGAAUAUCUUGCACAAGAAAAAGAUGUUCUGGGAUUGAAAGAAGGCGUUGGAGAAAAAUUGUCACAAAGAUGGCCCGCGACUUCCUUGGUAGAUGAGUCUGGGGAGGUGUACGGAAGGGAAGGUAAUAUAAAGGAGAUAAUUGAAUAUUUGUUGUCCCAUAAUGCAAGUGGGAAUAAGAUAAGUGUGAUCGCCCUGGUGGGUAUGGGCGGUAUUGGAAAGACCACACUUGCUCAAUUGGUGUAUAAUGAUAGGAGAGUGGUGGAAUGUUUUGAUCUUAAAGCUUGGGUUUGUGUUUCCGAUGAAUUUGAUCUUGUCAGGAUAACGAAAACCAUUCUUAAGGAAAUCGAUUCUGGGGCUUCUGAAAAAUAUUCUGAUGAUAGUGAUUUGAAUCUGCUUCAACUUAAAGUGAAGGAGAGACUUAGUAAGAAGAAAUUCUUACUUGUCCUUGAUGAUGUUUGGAAUGAAAACUAUACUAAUUGGCAUAUGCUACAAACUCCAUUCACCGUUGGUCUAAAUGGAAGUAAGAUUAUUGUAACUACACGUAGUGAUAAGGUUGCAUCGAUCAUGCGUUCAGUUCAUAUUCAUCAUUUGGGACAGUUAUCCUUUGAGGACUGCUGGUCGCUAUUUGCAAAACAUGCAUUUGAAAAUGGAGAUUCUAGUCUACAUCCAGAACUAGAAGAAAUUGGCAAAGGGAUUGUAAAGAAGUGUAAAGGAUUGCCUUUGGCUGCAAAGACCCUAGGGGGUGCCUUAUACUCAGAGUUACGAGUAAAAGAAUGGGAAUUUGUAUUGAACAGCGAAACGUGGGAUUUACCAAAUGAUGAAAUUCUCCCCGCCUUAAGGUUAAGCUAUUCUUUUCUUCCUUCACACUUAAAGCGGUGUUUUGCAUAUUGCUCAAUUUUUCCUAAGGACUACGAAUUUGAAAAGGAAAAUUUGAUUCUAUUGUGGAUGGCAGAAGGCUUUUUGCAACAAUUUGAAAGCAAGAAAACAAUGGAAGAGGUGGGUGAUGGGUACUUUUAUGACCUAUUAUCAAGGUCAUUUUUUCAGAAGUCCAAUAGUCACAAAUCAUAUUUUGUAAUGCAUGAUCUCAUUAACGACUUGGCUCAACUUGUUUCUGGAAAAUUUUGUGUUCAGUUGAAGGAUGGUAAAAUGAAUGGAAUUCUUGAAAAGCUCCGCCAUUUAUCAUAUUUUAGAAGUGAAUAUGACCAAUUUGAGAGAUUUGAGACCCUAAAUGAAGUUAAUGGUCUUCGUACCUUCUUUCCUUUGAAUUUGAGAACUUGGCCUCGGGAAGAUAAGGUUUCAAAGAUAAGAUAUCCAAGUAGUCAUAGGUAUGGUUUAGAGUUUCGCUUGAGUACUAGAGUUUGGAAUGAUUUGUUGAUGAAAGUUCAAUAUUUACGAGUGUUGUCAUUAUGUUACUAUCAGAUAACGGAUUUGUCUAAUUCAAUUAGUAAUUUGAAACAUUUGCGCUAUUUAGACCUUACCUACGCACUCAUCAAAAGGCUACCGGAGUCGGUUUGUAGUUUGUAUAAUUUACAAACAUUGAUAUUAUACAAUUGUAAAUGUCUUGUUGAAUUGCCUAAAAUGAUGUGCAAAAUGAUUAGCUUACGUCAUCUUGAUAUCAGGCAUAGCAAAGUGAAAGAGAUGCCAAGUCACAUGGGUCAAUUAAAAAGUUUACAAAAAUUGAGUAACUAUAUAGUGGGCAAGCAAAGUGGGACAAGGGUUGGAGAGUUGAGGAAGCUUUCCCACAUUGGUGGGAGUCUUGUCAUUCAAGAGCUGCAGAAUGUGGUUGAUGCUAAGGAUGCCUCAGAGGCCAAUUUGGUAGGCAAGAAAUAUCUGGAUGAGUUACAGUUGGAAUGGAAUCGUGGAAGUCAUUUUGAACAAAAUGGAGCAGACAUAGUGCUCAACAACUUACAACCUCAUUCAAACUUAAAGAGACUUACUAUUUAUAGUUAUGGUGGCUCAAGAUUUCCAGAUUGGUUAGGUCCUUCAAUUCUGAAUGUGGUGUCGCUACGUCUCUGGAAUUGUAAGAAUGUGUCAACCUUCCCACCGCUUGGGCAGCUACCCUCUCUUAAACAUUUAUAUAUAUUGGGGUUGAGGGAGAUAGAAAGGGUGGGCGUUGAGUUUUAUGGCACUGAUCCCUCCUUUGUAUCCCUAAAGGCUCUAUCAUUUGAGGGUAUGCCAAAAUGGAAGGAAUGGUUGUGCAUGGGAGGCCAAGGUGGAGAAUUCCCUCGUCUCAAGGAGCUUUAUAUAGAGGAUUGUCCCAAGCUAAUUGGGGACUUACCAACCGAUCUGCUUUUCUUGACCACACUACGGAUUGAAAAAUGUGAGCAGCUUGUGGCUCCACUUCCAAGGGUUCCAGCCAUCCUUCGAUUGACAACGCGCAUCCGUGACAUCUCACAGUGGAAGGAACUACCACCACUACUGCAGAAUCUCUCAAUUCAAAAUUCCGAAUCUCUACUGGAGGAGGGAAUGUUGCAAAGUAAUACUUGUCUUCGAGAGUUGAGAAUCAGAAAUUGUUCUUUUUCGAGACCCUUGUGCAGAGUUUGUUUGCCCAUUACAUUGAAAUCAUUAUAUAUAGAGGAGUGUAAGAAACUAGAGUUUCUCCUACCUGAGUUCUUAAAAUGUCACCACCCUUCCCUUGCCUAUUUGUCUAUAUUCAGUGGUACUUGCAAUUCUCUCUCAUCCUUCCCACUCGGCAACUUCCCAAGUUUGACUCACCUCAUUAUCAGCGAUCUCAAGGGGCUUGAAUCCCUCUCCAUUUCAAUUUCAGAGGGCGAUGUUACAGCUUUGCAUGGGUUGCACAUCAUCAGGUGCCCUAAUCUUGUGUCUAUUGAAUUGCCAGCUCUCGACUUCUCACGAUAUCACAUUCUCAAUUGCAAGAAUCUCAAGUGGCUGCUGCACAACGCUACAUGCUUUCAGUCAUUAACAAUAAAAGGUUGUCCUGAAUUGAUAUUCCCAAUACAAGGUCUGCAAGGACUGUCCUCUCUUACCUCUCUCGAAAUCUCAGAUCUUCCAAAUCUCAUGUCCCUUGACUGUUUGGAGCUUCAACUGCUCACCUCUCUUGAAAAAUUAGAGAUCUGUGACUGCCCCAAGCUCCAAUUCUUGACAGAAGAGCAGCUGCCCACCAACCUUUCCGUUCUAACAAUCCAGAACUGCCCAUUGCUGAAAGAUCGGUGCAAGUUUUUGACAGGGGAAGAUUGGCAUCAUAUAGCUCACAUUCCACACAUUGUGAUCGAUGACCAAGUUAUGUAAUGAAGGUGGCAUUACACCAAUUUAUAGUCAGGUACUUGUUCUGUCCUAAAAAUGAUUGUCUCAGGAAAACUAACAUACUUAAAUACCAAUUUUGAAUUGAUCCAUUAUCAAUAGGAAAAAUAUGCUUUAAAUUUUCUAAUUAUUAUAACAAUUUCUUGCUUUCUUUCAGGUCAUCUGUGAUGCUUCACUCUGGCUCUGAUCAACAUAUCUUCAUAAGGAAUCUUUUAAGACUCCCUUGCUUAAUUAGGGCCUUGUCAAAUGCUUCAGAUUUCAUUUAGAGUGAAUUGAUGCUUAAAAGCCAAGCAGCUCUGCAGGUCUGAUUUGGUAAAUUGUGUUUCUUGUAUAAUUUUGUGGACCUUGAAUUUGUUUUCAGUGGCUAAUUUGCUGAAAUCUGAUGGCAGGCCUUUGAUCCUUGUUCUCUCAACAAACUCUAGCUGUCUAGUAAUGAUUUCCAAUGGGGCCAUUUUUUUGUUGUGAGUUCAGGUUCAUGACUCUUUUUGGACAACAGUAGCCAAGAUUUUUUGCACCCAAAGAAUCAUGAGUUGAUACUCUGCUGGAGGAACUACAGAAGCUCAACUCUGUUGGAGAGUGGAGGAUGCAGCAGGCUCUAUGAUUCCAGUUAGUGAGACAUUUCAAUUGCUUUGGUUUAACUUUCGAAGCUACAAACUACAAUACUCAUAAUCUCAUAUGCAUUAAUUUUCAGGUUCUUUGAGGUUGCAUCAGCAUUGAUAUCUUAGUUCUUCUCUAAAAACAACAGGUAUGUUUCUUUUAAUUCAUACUUUUCAUAAGCUGACACAUUGUGGAGUUCCAUCAUUUUCAACACAAGAUAAACCUAAUACUAAAUUCUAUUGAAGCUAAAACAAAAAUCUUACUGCCUGAGGUUCUGUCUUCCAUGAAUUUUAUUCACUAUGUUCAUAUGGCAUCUAAGCAACCUAGACGUUAACAUUUUCCUUGGUCUACAUAUUGUUUUCAUCUCUUUCAGCUUUGAUUAAUCUGCAGACAUUCGGUUUAGGCACCUCAAACUCAAAAUCUUCAGCUUCUGUCAUGCCAUCUCCUUCUCAUUUCAUGAUUGUCAUCCACCUUUGAGCUUUACUUUGUUAAUGGUAAGAUAGUCAUAAUAGUACUACAAUAGUUGAGCAUGGAUUGACAACAAUGCAUGCUUUCAGUCUUCAACAUCACACGGUUGUCCUGAAUUGAUAUUCCCAAUGCAGGGUCUUCCCUCCAACCUAAAUUCACUUACAAUAACAAACUGCAACAAACUUACAUCCCACAUGGACUGUGGCCUGCAAGGGCUGGCCUCUCUUACCUCUCUCAAAAUCUCAGGUCUUCCAAAUCUCAGGUCCCUGGACAGUUUGGGGCUUCAACUGCUCACCUCUCUCCAAAAAUUAGAGAUCCGUGACUGCCCCAAGCUCUAAUCCUUGACAGAAAAGCUGCUGCCCACCUCCCUUUCUGUUCCAACAAUCCAGAACUGCCCAUUGCUGAAAGGUCAGUGCAAGUUUUGGACAAGGGAAGAUUGGCAUCCUAUAGCACACAUUCCAAACAUUGUGAUCGAUGACCAAGUUUUGUAAUGAAGGUAGCAUUACACUAAUUUUUAGUCAAGUACUUGUUCUGUCCUUAUAGUAAUUUUCUCAGGAAAACUGAUAUGCUUAAAUAGCAAUUUUAAUUUGAUCCAUCAUAAAUGGGAUAAAAUAUGCUUUAAAUUUUCUAAUUAUUAUAAUAACUUCUUGCUUCUUUCAGGUUAUCAGUAAUUCUUCUCUCUUGUAAAUUGAUGCUUAAAAGCCAAGCAGCUCUGCAGGUCUGAUUUCGUAACUUGUUUUUCUUGUAUAAUUUUAUGGACCUUGAAUUCGUUUUCAUUGGCUAAUUCACUGAAACUCAUGGAAUGCCUCUGAUCCUAUUUUUCUCAAUAAAUUCGAGCUGUCUAGCAACAAUCCUUCCAAUGGGACCUUUUUUUAUCGAGUUCAAAGACUCUGUCUGGAAGAUUGUAGCAGAUAUUUUCUAGCAUCCAUAGACUCUCAUGAUUGAUAAUCUGCUUGAGGAACUGAGAAAGCUCAACUCUGUUAGAGAGUGGAGCAUGCAACAUGCUCUGUGAUUCCCAUUAGUAAGAUAUUUUAAUUGCUUUUGUUUAACUUUCUAAGCUACAAAUUACAAGGAUUUAUAAUUCCAUGUGCAUUAUUUUUCAGGUUCUCUGUGUUAAUAUUCUAGUUCUUCUCUAGAAAAAACAGAUAUGUUUCUUCUGUGUUAAUACUUUUCAUAAGAUGACACAUUGUGGAGUUCCAUCAUAUGCAUGACAAGAUAAACCCAAUUCUAAAAUCAACUCAGCCUAAAACACAUUGUGGAGUUCCAUAUGGCAUCUUAGCGCCGUAAAUGUUAACAUUUUCCUUAGUGUAAUCAUUGUUUUAGCUUCAAUUAAUCUGCAGAUGUUCAGUUUAGACAUCUCAAACACAAAACCUUCAGCUUCUGACAGGCCACCACUUCCUAGUCUCUGCUCAUCUCCUUCCCAUUUAACUAUUGUCAUCAACCUUUGAUUUUUUUACAUCGUUGAUGGUAAAAGAAUCAUAAUUGUACUACAUUUGUUGAGCAUGGAUGCUACCAUUUAAUUUCCAUAUUCAAGCUUUUCUUGUACUUACAAAUGAUAAUUUGAGCUCUGGAUUUUCUUCUUUUAAAUUUGUGAUUCUGAGGCAGAUGCUUGGAGAAGAGAGAAGUCAAACCAUAUUCAAAGUCAUAGCAGUGCAGAGUAUGGUUUUGUUCCACCAAGUUCAGGUCAGUUGAGUGGAAUCUUAUUAAUACUUCAAGGAGGCAUGAUCAAAUUGGCUGAUUUUCCAAACUUGAUGACUGCCUCUAACCAUGAGCUAUUUUUUUGUAUCAACUUUGUGUUAAGAAAUUAUGAACGUAUUGGAUCUGCUCAUACCACCUCCCUUCAUGAUGAAUUUUAACAACUCAGUACUUGGAGGAUGGCUACUCAACUAAACCCUAUUUAUUGGAGCACAAUUUGAGCUUUUCUUCCUUACUCAGGUAGAGUGCUAUAAAAAUUCAGUCUAAAAAGUAUCUAUCACCCCCUAUGAAUUUGAAUGUCAGAUGCAGCUGAUUAGCAUGUGACCAUUUUGAUUUUCAGAUGGUGGCACUUUGAAUCUUUGGAACAGUUGUAGGAGGAAGCUUUGCCAAAGCCUCCCUAUGCAAUACAUGGGCCUUGGCUGCA
rnacentral:lncRNA from 1 species